rnacentral:lncRNA from 1 species
GCAGAUAAAUACGGUAUAAGCACCACGCCUACACAAUAUCUAUCAUUUACCCAUGGAUCCGAUGGAUAAACGCUAUACGAUCCUAAGCAUGUAUAUAGAUCCAAUCUAACUAAGCCAAGUACAUAACUAUGAUAAACUAAGAACAAUAUAAUCUUGAAUAUAAGCAAGUAGAGCAAAGUCAUAAGCAAUAUAUUGAAGUAGAACAAAGUCAUAUUCAUAAUAUUGAAGAACAAAGAUAAUUAGAAAGCAAUUAGAAGCACAAUUAGAGAAUUACCAAGAAUCCUCCUGACAGAUCCGGAAACCAAUCAAAGAUUGACUCCUUCUAGUUCUAAUCCUAUGUAGCUAUGCUAAUCUAGAUGUCUAAUUGAUGUGGUGGCUCUAAUCUUGAUCAGAGGCUUCUUCUCCCUUGAUGGAACAAUGAAUUAGGGUUGAGAGGCUCCCUCCUCCAGGGGCCAGGGGGUCUGGUUUUAUAGUCCCUCCAAGUGAAUAUGGGUCAUUGGAUCAAACCGACAUAGAUUGUAUGGUUUAGAUUCAUCCUUUAGGUCGGUGGAGAUCUCCCGCAAAGCAGAGUCCUGAUUGGACUUGGGGGCAGGGCGGGCGCCCAGUAGGACAGGGCGGGCGCCCUGUCUCUAGCCCCGUUUCGCCUCUGCUUCGGUCUCGUGGCUUCUGGAGUCUUCUAGAUAUAAGAUAAUUGCGCAGCACGUUAAUAUCUUUACGUAAUCCCGACAUGUGGGACUUUCUUCCAUAUUUCCUGAUAACCCCCUGCAGAAAUAGACAAAUACCAAAACUCGUGGAAUUCUGUCAGAUAAAACCCUAAGUCUGGAUGUUGAUUUCAUUUGGAUCCUUUUCUUUAUUUAUUUGAUAAUUAAAUUUGAUACUUAAGGACCGUCAACAAACUCCCCCAAGCUUACCUCUUGCUCGUCCCUGAGCAAGGAUAGACUCAGCUAUGGAUCAUAAGUUGUUGCAAUAUUUAAAAAUUGACGGUACACAUGCUUUUUAAAUAAGAUCUCGUCUCUGAGUUAGAGUAAACUGUCAAGACUUAAAACUUACUUACUUUACCUUCACCAUGGGACUUGUAACCGUCACUUCUGUCUUGAGUAGUUAAAAGAUAGAACAGUCUAGCCAAGUGCCGUGUCUCUUAUUCUUGAUCAGCUAUAGCUCUAGAGUUUUUGUAGAUUUUCAAAUAAAACUCAAAGAUUCCUUGUAUGAUUCUCUCAGAUCUCUCUUUCGUGGUAUUUCUGGAUCCUUACCAAGGCAGUGAUGGUAUAUGCCUUCUCUCAAUAUAUGUAGUAUUUGUGGUAUGAGGCAUAGUGACAUUGCCUUCUCUCUCACCCUACUCUAAUAAGGCUUUAAUAUCUGGAGCUCAUAGGUGGGAGAUAAAGUAUACAUACUUACAAGACAUUUAUUGCAUAGUCAAACCAUGGAUCCAAAGAAACAUAUCAAUAAGCCAAAUCAAGAUGUGCAUGUGUGGCGAAUGAAUGGUGUAUGGUGAUAACGGUGAUAACAAUGGUGGAAACAAUGGUGGUGGAAGUCUAAUUCUACUUUCCUCUUUGAGGGGAUACAUACCUUCCUUGCUUUUGAAACUUUAUGAGGAGAAUGAGAUGCUCAUCUUUUUCUUUUCUUUCGAGGUUCCGAGCACUUGCUCCUUUUUAUUUCCUCGUAUCUUUUUUCUUUUUCUCUCUUUUUUCUUUUUUUUAAAGCAUUCAUCUCUUGAGAUAAUAUAGCAAGUGGUAGUAACAAGAUAACUUGAGCAUUUAUUUCACAAGGGGAAAACAGAAAUAUUUUUGGUUAUUCUCUCCCGGAUUAGGAGUAGAAUAUUUUUGGUUGGUUCUGGAGAUGGAAUGGGUGGAUAUAUGUGGAUGGUACUUCCGGAGUAGAAGUAGCAUAUAUGAGUGAACGUACAAGUCAAUCUUGAUUUAACCACAUGACAAGUUCCUAAGGGUCUACACAGCUUGACCACACUCAAUGCUCAUAAGCAGUAAAUAAUAAAUGUGUGGCUCAAAGUCUAGCAAGCAUGUAUAUAUGGCUGUGGUAGGAAUUUAAACUCUCAUCAUAUAGGAACUUAUCAUGCAACAUUUUAAAGAUUUUCAAAGAUAAAAUUCUCCAGAAUUCUAGCAUCUCUAGGAAUAGAUAAACAGCAGCUCAACCUUCCCAUAUCAUAUCCGUUAACAACUUAGACUUCAGAUCAAGUUUUCAUCCCACAAGUUUAGGUCUAGAGCAAGCUUUAAAUUAUAACAGUUAUAUCUAAACUUGAGAGAGAACUUAAAAUUUGCAAAUUAGGCAGAGCAACUAUUUAUCAUAUCCAUGCUUAAGUUUUAUUUAGAUACAGAUUAGCAUAGCCACUUUAUUUAUUAAACACACUAAGCAAAAGAUAUAUAAGCAUAAAAUCUUUAUUUGGUUUUCCAUAGUUUAUGUGUAUUUAUAUUCUAAAAUAAUAUAAGUAUAAAGAUAGAUAGAAAUACUUAUCGAGAUAAAUGGGGGUGCUCUCCCCCAAGCUGAAUUUUGACGUAAUUUCUCUUGAUGUAGCUAGCAGAUGACAGAGGUGUGUUUGAAAGUCAGCAGCAUUCUGACAGCGAUUAGAAUGUCCUCCGUCUGCUAGUCUUCUUGAUUCUUAAAUUCUGUGGAGCUCAAAUAGACAACAUAGCUUGUGGAACUGAUUAAGUGUUAGCAUAAAUAUCUAGCCUUUAUCAUGUUGAGACUCCUUAAUAAUUGUUACUCCCUGUUUUUAUAUUUUUGUUUUUAUAGAGCAGAAAAAAUAUUUAUUUUAUUUUUAUGCCACCACAGUGAAUGUACUUAUGGGUUUUAUGCCACUCAUCUACUCACAUGGGGCUUACAGUUUUUUCACAUUUUUAUUUUCUUUUUAAGAUAGUAUGAAUAUGAUUAACUCAGUAAACUAUUUGAAAUAAAUAAAAGGGAAAAGAUAACUACCAAGUUUACCUCUUGGCAAGGCGUUCGGUGUUUUUAAGUCCUCCGAAAGGGACUCUCCAUUUUCUUAAUCGUCCUGAGGUUCGUUGGGUGGCGUAGUCGGUACUUCCGGCAGCGCCUCCUCUUCUUGUAUAGUUAUCUUCAUUUUCCAUACCUGACUUGGUGCUUUAAUCUCCUUUGGAUAAUUCUGUUUAAACUCUACGUCUUCUGACCUUAUAACUUCUCCUUCAUAGUCUGCCCAUCCGUCCUUGAUGAUCUGCCUCCUCUGGAUGCGUCGCUUUCUUACCUGCUUAGAUUCUUCAACGAUAUAGUUAGGGUUAGUAAAAUAACGGCGUACCUUCUCUAAGGGGAAGUGCAUAUGGACUUCUCCGGUUCCAAUGUAGAUAAUUGCUUUAACGGUGCUGAGGAACGGUCUUCCAAGGAUGAUGGGUGGAUCAUACUCAUCUUCUCCCUUGUCAAUAACUUGAAAGUCUGUGUAGACAAAGUGAUCGUCUAUUUUGACCGGGACAUCAGAUACUAUUCCUUUAACUUCUCGAAAUGUCUGAUCUGCCAUCUGGAGCUGAAUGUAUGUUGGUCUUAGGGGCAUGGUUCCGAAUAAGAGCCGAUAGGUGACUGCGGCCAUUAUGUUGACGCCCGAUCCGGUGUCGCAAAUCGUCUUGUAGAAGUUGUAUCCAUUUAUGGAGCAGUAGAUGCUUGGCAUUCCUGGGUCGUCCUUCUUGGUCAAAAGUGGUGACUUAAGUUGGUGAUCUUGGCCUCCAUGAACUACAGUGACCAUCUUAGCUGACUCGGUCCACACUUGCUUGUUCCUGUUUCUCCUAUUGGUCCUCUUCCUUGAUUUACGUCUGGAUUGAUCUUGAAUUUGUGUAGUCUUGUUCUUGAAGAAAAAUGUCUCCUUCUUCCCUUUGACGUAGAAACUGAUCUUGGCAGCACUGGCGUUGAUGAUAACUCCCGUGGUGUUCAAGAAUGGCCUCCCUAGGAUGAUAGGUGCUCUCUCAUCAUUCCCGGUCUCUACCACUACGAAGUCUGCUGGGGCAUACAAGGUACCAACUCGGACACAAAGGUUCUUCACUAUUCCUUUUGGAAAACUUAUCGUCUGAUCUGCAAACUGCAAACACAUGGUUGUUUCUAAUAAAGGAUACGUAAAGAAUUUCUCAUAGAGUACCCUGGGUAUAAUGUUGACACUGGAGCCAAAGUCACAGAGUGCUUCUGGAACGUCCACCAUGCCGAUGGAGAUCGGGAUGACGGGGCGUCCUGGAUCGCCUCUCUUGACCGGCAGAAGGUCAGUAGAGAAUUCAUUGACGGGGUUACUCCAAUUACCUGCAUCAAACAUGUCUACAAGAUUUGCAGAUUCUAAUCCUUCCAGUUGUGAUGGUAUACCGGGGUUAGUAGUAGGAACAGCAGCAGCUAUUUGAUUUAACUGAGAUUCAAUCAUUUUAUUAAAGCUAAUUUGAUUCUUGAUGGCAGUAGAAAAAUUAUCCAUUCUAUUAUUUAUAUUUUCUAGCAUUUUAUCAUUAGAUGCCAAUUUCUUAGAUAGAUUAUCCAUUAGCUUGCCUUGAUUAGACACUAACUCUCUCAAAGGUGGAAAAUUAUUAUUAUUGUUGUAAGAAUUGUUACCUUGAUAAUUACCUCAGUAGUUAGGCCUCUGUUGAUUCCAACCUUGAUUUUGUUGAGGACGGUUGUAGUAGUAGUUGUUGUUGUUGAUGAUGUUGUUCACAUCCUCAAGCAUCUCAGGGCAGUGGUUGCCUGAGUGUCCAGUGUCUCCACACUCCUCACAAGUCAUGUGAGAGUCGUAGAUGUUCAUAACUUCUUUCUUAUCUCCAGCUCUAUCAUCGAGCUUCUUCAUGAGCAGGUCUAGCUUUGCAGACAGCAUGUCUACCUCCUUCAGCUGAUGUAUACCUCCACCUCUCUUGCCUGUCUGGGUCCUCUCUUCAUUCCAGCUUUGGUUGGACGCCAUCUUCUCCACAAGAGUUGUGGCUUGUGGUAUAGUAAGUGAUAAGAAUGCUCCUCCAGCUGCAGCAUCCAUGGUCUCUCGGGCACUGUUGCUGAGCCCAUGAUAGAAUGUCUGCAUCAAUAGCCAGCUCUCCAUUCCAUGAUGGGGACAUUCUAGGAUGUAGUCUUGAAAGCGCUCCCAUGCUUCUGGAACAGAUUCAUCAUUUUGUUGCUGAAAACUUGUAAUCUUCCCACGGAGAGCAUUGGUCUUGCCCAUGGGAAAGAACUUAGCCAGGAAGUUUGUUGAGCAGAGUGCCCACAUAGUAUUCUUCUCCUUGGUAGCGUAGAACCACUGCUUCGCUCUUCCUAACAGUGAGAAUGGGAAGAGGCGAAGUAGUAUAGCGUCUUUGGAAACUCCUGCUAUGGUGAAUGUGUUGCAAAUCUCCAGGAAGUGUUGUAAAUGAGCACUAGCAUCUUCGUGUGCCUUCCCACAGAAUUGGUUGGAUUGCACCAUGUUGAUAAGUCCAGGCUUGAGCUCAAAGUUGCCGUCGAUCUCUGUAGCAGGUCCAGUGCGGAUGUUGUCCGUAGUGGGAGCUGAGAACUCGCGGAUUGAUUUGUUCGCCAUGGCUUCGAACUCUGAAGACAAGUUCCGGUGAUCUUCUUGAUUGGAAGCUUCUUCGUGAAGUGUUGAUGAUCUCUUCUUGAGUUUGGCCCUCGUCUUCUUGAAUAAUGCUUCGGGAUUGUCAACAAAAUUUCCUGGAAGAUGUCUUCUAUUCAUACAUUCCCCUGCAUAAGAUGAAAUACAAAAAUAUCGGGGUAAAACUGUAUGAGAGAAUAGAUAAGCUCAAUCAUAUUAGUGAUGCGAAUGAUAACUCAAAAUCUUUUAUUCCAUUCCUGAUUGGUAAUCAACCUUCCCCGGCAAUGGCGCCAAAAAUGCUUGUUGGGUAUUCUUAACAUCAUUACCAAAAGUAGACUAAGUUCUCUAAAUCUAGCAACGGUGCCAAAAAUGCCAAACCUAUCCCUCACACCACUUAUGCCAAGUUGUCAUCCCCAGCAUGAUAUAAGAGACGCGGUAUUGAAAUAUGCAAUUGCUCUUCUAAAUGAAUAAUGAAUGGGAUCUGCAAGCGCACAGAUUAAUACCGAUGCAGCAUUUUAACCGGGAAGUAUUCCAGGUAUCGUUAUUUAUAUUUUUACCACUAGGAAGGGAUUAGAAAUCAUCACUAAUGAUUACAGAAUAGAAUAUGAGAUUGGGCAUCUAUCAUUGCAUGUAUAAUUGAGAACAUUAUAUCUAACUCUUCAUACAGGGAUAAGUGUCACAUAAAAGAUAUAUGAAGUAAUAAUAGUGACAAGGAUAAUUAAUCUGAUCUAGCCACAUAAUAAAUAUGAUAAGCACCUCAAUUAGAUACUCUAGAAAGUCAUUAGCAUGGUAUUAGAACGAACUACAAGAAUAUUCCCUAAGUUAUUCUUAACUAUAUAGUCUAGCAUUAUCAUAAUUAGUGCAAGCAUACUUAGCAAUCAUUGUGAGACAAGACUACGCCCAUGCAUAGUGAUAUUAGCAAGGAAUAUGAGAAACAUAGCAAUCACUCCCCUGUAAUAAUGUUGCUCUGCCAGCCCAAUACACGAGAGGGGGACUAUAUAAGAAUCAAUGAAGCUGUCACUAUCACGAACUACCCCACGAUCUGGCAUAUUGGGUACAAUCGCAGAUAAAUACGGUAUAAGCACCACGCCUACACAAUAUCUAUCAUUUACCCAUGGAUCCGAUGGAUAAACGCUAUACGAUCCUAAGCAUGUAUAUAGAUCCAAUCUAACUAAGCCAAGUACAUAACUAUGAUAAACUAAGAACAAUAUAAUCUUGAAUAUAAGCAAGUAGAGCAAAGUCAUAAGCAAUAUAUUGAAGUAGAACAAAGUCAUAUUCAUAAUAUUGAAGAACAAAGAUAAUUAGAAAGCAAUUAGAAGCACAAUUAGAGAAUUACCAAGAAUCCUCCUGACAGAUCCGGAAACCAAUCGAAGAUUGACUCCUUCUAGUUCUAAUCCUAUGUAGCUAUGCUAAUCUAGAUGUCUAAUUGAUGUGGUGGCUCUAAUCUUGAUUAGAGGCUUCUUCUCCCUUGAUGGAACAAUGAAUUAGGGUUGAGAGGCUCCCUCCUCCAGGGGCCGGGGGGUCUGGUUUUAUAGUCCCUCCAAGUGAAUAUGGGCCAAUGGAUCAAACUGACAUAGAUUGUAUGGUUUAGAUUCAUCCUUUAGGUCGGUGGAGAUCUCCCGCAAAGCAGAGUCCUGAUUGGACUUGGGGGCAGGGCGGGCGCCCAAUAGGACAGGGCGGGCGCCCUGUCUCUGGCCCCGUUUCGCCUCCGCUUCGGUCUCGUGGCUUCUGGAGUCUUCUAGAUGUAAGAUAAUUGCGCAGCACGUUAAUAUCUUUAUGUAAUCCCGACAUGUGGGCCUUUCUUCCAUAUUUCCUGAUAACCCCCUGCAGAAAUAGACAAAUACCAAAACUCGUGGAAUUCUGUCAGAUAAAACCCUAAGUCUGGAUGUUGAUUUCAUUUGGAUCCUUUUCUUUAUUUAUUUGAUAAUUAAAUUUGAUACUUAAGGACCGUCAAGAAUAACUUCCAUGCUCACUAUUGUUUCUCUCAUUCUCAAACUCCAAGGAUGAUUCUUCCUGAAUGCUUAAAAUUCCUCUAGGAUUGUCUCUCAAGUUUGUUUUAUCUAUCCAUUCAAUGGUGAUAGCACAUGGAUUUUUAAUGCCUUCUAGCCAUCGAUGUUGCUCUUCUCGAUCCUCCUUGUGGUCUUGGUGACUCUUAUGCAUGGGAUGUCUAGAGAGAUUCAUAGGAUUAUCGGGAGGUUCAAGAGAAAGAGCGUAGUAGAAAUUAUUAAGCUCAAGGAUGGGUUGGAUAGCCGAAUCAUGGGAUUGGAAUGUUUGGAAAUCGGCUAUUGAAAUUUCCUUUCCUUGUCUGGGAGAUGAUUCCUUCUCUAUCUCUAAGAUUUUUCUAUGAAGACUAGUACAAGAAGGAUGUCCACGAAUGAAGACAUACCUUCCUUUACUAAUAGAUAAAGAAAGAAGGACUCUACCAAAGGUUAUAUGAUUAAGACCAAUGUGAAAAUAUCUAGGAAAAACAUGGUCUUGUAGGGCUAGGUCUAAACCAGAAUUUAUAGAAUGAUUAACAGAUUCCCUAGGUGUAGCCAAAAGUGCAUUAUCUUCUUGAUUAAAAGAUAGGACCUUGGCUAUAGAAAAGGGUUGGCUUUGACCUAUUGCAAUCAACUCCGAACACAGAUCAUAAUUAGGGGCAGGACUUGUUGACUCCCAUGGUCUAUGGCUGUGGGGGUAUAAACCCCUAUACCCUUACGGCUAGACUUCGGCCAGGAGGCUUGGCCCAUUACGAGACGAGUUCAAGGCUUGAUCCGACAACCUGGAGUUUCGCGCAAGGAAACAAGAUGUGGAGAUCAAGCAGGAUUCUAGUCGGUUAGAAUAGGAAUUGAUAUCGAAUUAUCCAUGGCAAUUGUAACCGACUAGGAUUAGUUUCCAGAUCUGUAACCCUGCCCUCUAGACUAUAUAAGGAGGGGCAAGGGACCCCCCUAGGACAUCAUAUUCUCUCAACACAAAUCAAUACAACCAGACGCAGGACGUAGGUAUUACGCCAACUCGGCGGCCGAACCUGGAUAAAAAGCUUGCCCGUGUCUUGCGUCACCAUCGAGUUCGUAGUUUGCGCACCGUCUACCGAUAAACUACUACCGUGGGUAUACCCCAAGGUAGACUGCCGACUAGCUUUCGUCGACAAUGGCUGGUCUCUGAAGGUGCAAAGAAUUCAAUAAUAGGUAUGGAAUUUAACUUAUCCAUAAAAAAAGAUAAAAGAAUAAAAGUAUAAAAGUAUAAUACAAGAUAAUAGCAAGAUUCAAAGUUAUCUCAGCAAACCGUCUUUCUCCCCGGCAAUGGCGCCAGAAAUGCUUGUUGAUAUUUGGUAACGCAAUAAGAAAAUGAUCCGCAAGCGCACGGAUAUCGGUGAGCAUUUCACCCAGGAGGUUAUCCAGAGUAUCGUAUUUAUAUUUUUACCACUAGGAGAAAGGGUGCAUCUAACUAACCAAAUCUAUUGCUACUAUCCCUUUAGGCUACAAAGAAUGUUUCUCGAUGUGAGUGACGUAUAGAGAAGACUCCAACCGUAGUCUCGUUCUAACCUUGGUAAGGAUGAUCUACUGUUCUAUUGGGGAAGCUUACGGAAUCUAGACAUCACAAAGGAUGUUCGACCCGCACCUAUAAACCUACCCGUCUUGCUAACAAGAUAUGGGAUACAAAGGUUACUCGGAAAUGUCACGUUCCUCGCUACUACCACGGUCCAGCUAGUUAGGGGAUAUCUAUGAGUACCCUAGCCUAAACACCACGUUUACGCUAGCAAUGAUUACUCUAAUACUCAACCGGAAGAGGAUUAAAGUAAACUCAUAAACCAAAGAACAAUAAAACAAGAACUUACUAGAAUUAGAAGUCAAAAUACUGAAGAAUCUUAGAAGCAAGCCUCGGGUUAGGAGACUUGAUCCCGCAGGUACAACUCGGAGUAGACACCGACAGGCCGGCCUUCCUCCGAUCUACACCUCCACUCUAUCUCUCUCAAUCUAGUAGAAACUAGAAGAUCUAUUUCUACUCACAUUGGUUGCUAAGCCUAAAAAGAAAUAUUAUUGAGAGAAGAGGUUUUCCUUCGAGGGCAGCCCUCAACUCUAUGAUAACUUCUUGUCUUCUCCAGGGGCUAGGGGGGUCUCCUUAUAUAGUCCUCCUCCUCUAUGCAUUUUUGAGUCGGUAGGCGAUGUGGUACUACGUUAUCCUUGAUCCUUUAGGUCGGUGGAACAUCGUGUGCGAAGAGAGUCCCGAACGGAGUCCAGGUCAGGGCGGGCGCCCAGGGAAGGAGGGCGGACGCCCUGGGCCUGGCCCCUUUCGGCCUCUGCUUUCUUCCCGUGGCUUCUGGAGUCUUCUAGAUGGUAGAAAAUUGCGCGGUGCGUUGAUAUCUCUAUGCAAUCCCGACAUGUGGGCCUUUCUCCCAUAUUUCCUGAUAACCCCCUGCAGAAAUAGACAAACACCAAAACUCGUGGAAUUCUGUCAGAUAAAACCCUAAAUCUGGGUGUUGGUUGCAUUUGGAUCCUUUUCUUUACUUAUUUGAUGAUUAUAUUUGGUACUUAAGGACCGUCAACAACCGUGUUCACCUCGUGGUCGUGGUCGCGAGGGCGCUUGCCCCUGAAAUCAUCGCGAUUGUCACGCCGCCUAUCCCAACCUUCUCUGUGGUCGCGGUUGUCAGGGCGACGAUGGUUCCUGUUGUCAAAACGACCACGACUGUCGUCCCGUCGAGGAAGCUGGUCGGGACCUCUCGCAUCCUCUCGGAUGAGCUUUUCUACGUCAUCGGCGUCAGCGUAGUUUUUUGCCGUGGCAAGGAGCUCGGCCAUCAUGGUCGGCCUUUUACGCAGUAGCUUGUUCCUCAAUGCUUCGUGGAAGCGUAGACCUUUGAUGAAAGCCGAUAUGGCCUCAUCGUGAGAAAUUUUCAGAAUUUUAAGACGCAUAUGCGAGAUUCGUCGGAUGUAAUCAUGCAGAGGUUUGUUUUUCCUGUCCCUUAUUCGCUCGAGGUCGUACUUGUUCUCAGGCUGCUCGCAGGUAGCGAUGAAAUUGUCGAUAAACGCCUGGCGCAGUUCUUCCCAAGAGUCGAAAGAGUCCUCGGGCAGGCCAAGGAGCCACUGAUGACUAGCCUGGUCGAGGACAACUGGGAAGUAGUUAGCCAUGACGUGCUCAUCUCCUGCUGCUGACCGGACUGCAAUCUCGUAGAGAGUGAUCCAGUUUUCUGGGUUUUCCUUGUCGUCGUAUUUUUUAAGCUUCUCGAGUUUAAAGUUGUGGGGCCAGACGACUUGGCGAAGGUGUGAAGAGAACUGUCUUAGGCUGGGGGGGCCGUGCGCGACAUCGUACUCAAUGCGCCGCAGGUUUUCGUGCACGGCCCUUUCUGUGGCGCGCCUGUUGAUGCGGUCGCGGGCGUCUUUCGGAGGGAUGUUGUAUCGUAGAUCUCUGUCCUGGUUUACUUCCUAACCACGCCCACGCCUUUGCUCGCGGUAGCCGCCGGCGUCCCGACCACAGUUGUCGCGCCCCACAUCCUUCCUACAAUGGUUGGGGGAGCGGCUACGGUGGCGCUCGCUUGGUUGUGGUGAAGUCCGGCUACGAUGAGUCUGGUCGGAAGAGACCUCUGUGUAGGAGAUAGCUUGGACCCUUUUGAGUAAGGUGGCUGUCUGUCCCAUCGCGGCGAUCAGGUGUGCGCGUACGCUGGAUCGGACACCCUGGCACUCAGGAGUAUCAGGGAGUCGGUCCAGGUUUGCCAUAGCAACAGCCACGUUAGCACUUGGCGUUUUGUAGACUUGCUGAUCUCCGACCAUGUCGAAAGCAUCACUGAGGUUAUGCGGUGCAAAUUGCCGUUCCUCAUCCGCGCGUCGCCGAGCACGGACGGCAUUGCGCUGUUCACGGAGCUGCUUCUGCUCGUCUGUUUCUCCAUCGACGACCGGUUCGUCGUUGCUGACAUUGAAGAUAAGAUCUCCCCGCCGGGGCGGAAAGACUGGGAAGCGAGAGAAACCCGGAGGAUACGGUGGUAAAUCCAGGUCGUAAUCUUCAUCCUCAGAAUUUAUAACCUCGGUGGGAGCGGACCCUGUGCUGGAGUUCGUGCUGGAAGCCUGGUCGUUCGGUAGCACUUGGAUUGUCACCAUGUUGACGUAAUGGUGAGCUGGUCGACUGCUCUGUUUCGACGACCAACCCGCCAUGUUGAAAAGGGAUUGGACGUGCCGUGAGUAGUGAACGGCCGAGUUAUUUAAUCCAUAGGGAGGACUCUGGUCUGGAUCUGCCUUGAGCUCGACGGACCGCCCCGUGGGGGUGGACGUUAUUGUCAGAGACGUCCCCAGCUGUUCGUGCAUGACGACACGAGUUGGCCGGCAGGAGUCGAAAGAGUCUGUCGGUGCGACUUGAUCAGAUCGGCGCGAGAUCCCAUCUAUCAGUCGGGAAGCUUCAAGAAGCCUGAGAUCGGUGCGAUCAAGGGCUCGAAAAAGAUCCGAGUCGUCAACCUUUUUUCCCUUGUAACGAGGGAGCGGAGGUCGAGUGCUCGGUGCCGGCGUGAUCGGAAUCGACGCCGCUGUCGCCCCAGAUCGGAUCUGGGUUUCUUCCGAAGUCGUGGUCGUGAGGCCGCCGCCAUGAGUCGUCCACGUGAUCUGGCCGACGGUGAACACGAGGCCUUUAGGCACGGCCGCGGAAGCUGGAAUGAUGACCAUCUUGUUCGUUGAGAGAGCUGUACGCACACCCCCUACCUGGCGCGCCACUGUCGACGAAAGCUGGUCGGCAGUCUACCUUGGGGUAUACCCACGGUAGUAGUUUAUCGGUAGACGGUGUGCAAGCUACGAACUUGAUGGUGACGCUAGACACGGACAAGCUUUUUAUCCAGGUUCGGCCGACGUGUGGGCGUAAUACCUACGUCCUGCGUCUGGUUGUAUUAGAUUGUGUUGAGAGAUAAUGUGUCCAAGGGGGGUCCCUUGCCCCUCCUUAUAUAGUCCGGAGGGCAGGGUUACAGAUCUGGAAACUAAUCCUAGUCGGUUACAAUUGCCAUAGAUAGUACGAUAUCAAUUCCUAUUCAUCAAGUGGAAACGUCAUGAUUACAAAGUUUGUUACACUCAUCAAGUUCUACAUUUAGUCUAAUGGUCAACUUUUCAUUUGGAAAAGUUUGAACCACUCAAUUUUGAAUUUUGAAAUAAUUCAUAGCCACGCAUCGGUUUUGAAACCCUAGAUGGUCUCGAAUGGAAAAGUCAUGAAUACCAAUAUUGUUCCACUCAUCAAAAUCUACAUUUAAUAUAUAGACCAUUUUUGCAUUUGACAAAGUUUUGGAAAGGUGUAGUUGAAACUCCACAAUUGAAACAUAUAGUCUCAUAUAGUUUGUGUGAGAUUCAAGAUUUGGUGGGUAUUGUUAACUUAAACUUUCUCAAAUGGAAAAAUUGUGUAUAUAAAAGUUUAGAUCUUGAUGAUAUCUGACAACUUGGUAUUCAAAAUUUUUUCAUUUUAAGUAAUUUAGUUUGUCAUUUGACCAAGUUUGACCAAAACCCAUCUUGGAUUUUAAAGAAAUGUGCCUAGGAUUGGCUCAAAUUUAUCCAAAUGGAAAAAUGGACAAUAUAUCAAAUGUAGAUCUUAAUGAUCUCUAACAACUUUGUAUUCCAAUUGUUUUCAUUUGAAGUCAUCAAAUGGGUCAUUUGACCAAGUUUGACCAAAGUCAAAGUAUUGGUUUUUACAAAAACACCCUUUGACCGAACCCUAGAAGGUCCCAAAUGGAAACGAAAUGAUUACAUAGUUUGUUACACUCAUCAAGUUAUACAUUAAGUCUAAUGGUCAACUUUUCAUUUGGAAAAGUUUGAACCAAUCAAUUUUGAAUUUUGAAAUAAUUCAUUGCCACGCAUCGGUUUCAGAACCCUAGAUGGUCUCGAAUGGAAAAGUCAUGAAUACCAAUAUUGUUCCACUCAUCAAAAUCUACAUUUAAUAUAUAGACCAUUUUUGCAUUUGACAAAGUUUUGGGAAGGUGUAGUUGAAAAUCCACAAUUGACACAUAUAGUUUCAUAUAGUUUGUGUGAGAUUCAAGAUUUGGUGGGUAUUGUUAACUUUAACAUUCUCAAAUGGAAAAAUUGUGUAUAUAAAAGUUUAGAUCUUGAUGAUAUCUAACAACUUGGUAUUCAAAUUUCUUUCAUUUUAAGUAAUUUAGUUUGUCAUUUGACCAAGUUUGACCAAAACAUGUCUUGGAUUUUAAAGAAAUGUGCUUAGGAUUGGCUCAAAUUUACCCAAAUGGAAAAAAGGACAAUAUAUCAAAUGUAGAUCUUAAUGAUCUCUAACAACUUUGUAUUCAAAUUAUUUUCAUUUGAAGUCAUCAAAUGGGUCAUUUGACCAAGUUUGACCAAAAUCAAAGCAUUGGUUUUUACAAAAACACCCUUUGACCGAACCCUAGAUUGUCCCAAAUAGAAAAGUCAUGAAUAAAAAGUUUGAUACACUCAUCAAGUUCUACAUUUAGUCUAAUGGUCAACUUUUCAUUUAGAAAAGUUUAAACCACUCAAUUUUGAAUUUUGACAUAAUUCAUAGCCACACAUCGGUUUCGGAACCAUAGAUGGUCUUGAAUGGAAAAGUCAUAAAUACCAAUAUUGUGCCACUCAUCAAAAUCUACAUUUAAUAUAUAGACCAUUUUUGCAUUUGACAAAGUUUUGGGAAGGUGUAGUUGAAAAUCCACAAUUGACACAUAUAGUCUCAUAUAGUUUGUGUGAGAUUCAAGAUUUGGUGGGUAUUGUUAACUUAAACAUUCUCAAAUGGAAAAAUUGUGUAUAUAAAAGUUUAGAUCUUGAUGAUAUCUAACAACUUGGUAUUCAAAAUUUUUUCAUUUUAAGUAAUUUAGUUUGUCAUUUGACCAAGUUUGACCAAAACCCGUCAUGGAUUUUAAAGAAAUGUGCUAGGAUUGGCCCAAAUUUAUCCAAAUGGAAAAAUGGACAAUAUAUCAAAUGUAGAUCUUAGUGAUCUCUAACAACUUUGUAUUCCAAUUGUUUUCAUUUGAAGUCAUCAAAUGGGUCAUUUGACCAAGUUUGACCAAAGUCAAAGCAUUGGUUUUUACAAAAACACCCUUUGACCAAACCCUAGAUGGUCCCAAAUGGAAACAUCAUGAUUACAUAGUUUGUUACACUCAUCAAGUUCUACAUUAAGUCUAAUGGUCAACUUUUCAUUUGGAAAAGUUUGAACCACUCAAUUUUGAAUUUUGAAAUAAUUCAUAGCCACACAUCGGUUUCGGAACCCUAGAUGGUCUCGAAUGGAAAAGUCAUGAAUACCAAUAUUGUUCCACUCAUCAAAAUCUACAUUUAAUAUAUAGACCAUUUUUGCAUUUGACAAAGUUUUGGGAAGGUGUAGUUGAAACUCCACAAUUGAAACAUAUAGUCUCAUAUAGUUUGUGUGAGAUUCAAGAUUUGGUGGGUAUUGUUAACUUAAACUUUCUCAAAUGGAAAAAUUGUGUAUAUAAAAGUUUAGAUCUUGAUGAUAUCUAACAACUUGGUAUUCAAAAUUUUUUCAUUUUAAGUAAUUUAGUUUGUCAUUUGACCAAGUUUGACCAAAACCCGUCAUGGAUUUUAAAGAAAUGUGCUAGGAUUGGCCCAAAUUUAUCCAAAUGGAAAAAUGGACAAUAUAUCAAAUGUAGAUCUUAGUGAUCUCUAACAACUUUGUAUUCCAAUUGUUUUCAUUUGAAGUCAUCAAAUGGGUCAUUUGACCAAGUUUGACCAAAGUCAAAGCAUUGGUUUUUACAAAAACACCCUUUGACCAAACCCUAGAUGGUCCCAAAUGGAAACAUCAUGAUUACAACGUUUGUUACACUCAUCAAGUUCUACAUUUAGUCUAAUGGUCAACUUUUUAUUUGGAAAAGUUUGAACCACUCAAUUUUGAAUUUUGAAAUAAUUCAUAGCCACACAUCGGUUUCGGAACCCUAUAUGGUCUCGAAUGGAAAAGUCAUGAAUACCAAUAUUGUUCCACUCAUCAAAAUCUACAUUUAAUAUAUAGACCAUUUUUGCAUUUGACAAAGUUUUCUGAAGGUGUAGUUGAAACUCCACAAUUGAAACAUAUAGUCUCAUAUAGUUUGUGUGAGAUUCAAGAUUUGGUGGGUAUUGUUAACUUAAACUUUCUCAAAUGGAAAAAUUGUGUAUAUAAAAGUUUAGAUCUUGAUGAUAUCUGACAACUUGGUAUUCAAAAUUUUUUCAUUUUAAGUAAUUUAGUUUGUCAUUUGACCAAGUUUGACCAAAACCCAUCUUGGAUUUUAAAGAAAUGUGCCUAGGAUUGGCUCAAAUUUAUCCAAAUGGAAAAAUGGACAAUAUAUCAAAUGUAGAUCUUAAUGAUCUCUAACAACUUUGUAUUCCAAUUGUUUUCAUUUGAAGUCAUCAAAUGGGUCAUUUGACCAAGUUUGACCAAAGUCAAAGUAUUGGUUUUUACAAAAACACCCUUUGACCGAACCCUAGAAGGUCCCAAAUGGAAACGAAAUGAUUACAUAGUUUGUUACACUCAUCAAGUUCUACAUUAAGUCUAAUGGUCAACUUUUCAUUUGGAAAAGUUUGAACCAAUCAAUUUUGAAUUUUGAAAUAAUUCAUUGCCACGCAUCGGUUUCAGAACCCUAGAUGGUCUCGAAUGGAAAAGUCAUGAAUACCAAUAUUGUUCCACUCAUCAAAAUCUACAUUUAAUAUAUAGACCAUUUUUGCAAUUGACAAAGUUUUGGGAAGGUGUAGUUGAAAAUCCACAAUUGACACAUACAGUUUCAUAUAGUUUGUGUGAGAUUCAAGAUUUGGUGGGUAUUGUUAACUUAAACAUUCUCAAAUGGAAAAAUUGUGUAUAUAAAAGUUUAGAUCUUGAUGAUAUCUAACAACUUGGUAUUCAAAUUUCUUUCAUUUUAAGUAAUUUAGUUUGUCAUUUGACCAAGUUUGACCAAAACCCGUCUUGGAUUUUAAAGAAAUGUGCUUAGGAUUGGCCCAAAUUUAUCCAAAUGGAAAAAUGGACAAUAUAUCAAAUGUAGAUCUUAGUGAUCUCUAACAACUUUGUAUUCAAAUUAUUUUCAUUUGAAGUCAUCAAAUGGGUCAUUUGACCAAGUUUGACCAAAGUCAAAGCAUUGGUUUUUACAAAAACACCCUUUGACCGAACCCUAGAUUGUCCCAAAUAGAAAAGUCAUGAAUAAAAAGUUUGAUACACUCAUCAAGUUCUACAUUUAGUCUAAUGGUCAACUUUUCAUUUGGAAAAGUUUGAACCACUCAAUUUUGAAUUUUUAAAUAAUUCAUAGCCACACAUCGGUUUCGGAACCCUAGAUGGUCUCGAAUGGAAAAGUCAUGAAUACCAAUAUUGUUCCACUCAUCAAAAUCUACAUUUAAUAUAUAGACCAUUUUUGGAUUUGACAAAGUUUUGGGAAGGUGUAGUUGAAACUCCACAAUUGAAACAUAUAGUCUCAUAUAGUUUGUGUGAGAUUCAAGAUUUGGUGGGUAUUGUUAACUUAAACAUUCUCAAAUGGAAAAAUUGUGUAGAUAAAAGUUUAGAUCUUGAUGAUAUCUAACAACUUGGUAUUCAAAUUUCCUUCAUUUUAAGUAAUUUAGUUUGUCAUUUGACCAAGUUUGACCAAAACCCGUCUUGGAUUUUAAAGAAAUGUGCUUAGGAUUGGCUCAAAUUUAUCCAAAUGGAAAAAAGGACAAUAUAUUAAAUGUAGAUCUUAAUGAUCUCUAACAACUUUGUAUUCAAAUUGUUUUCAUUUGAAGUCAUCAAAUGGGUCAUGUGACCAAGUUUGACCAAAGUCAAAGCAUUGGUUUUUACAAAAGCACCCUUUGACCGAACCCUAGAUUGUCUCAAAUGGAAAAGUCAUGAAUACAAAGUUUGUUACACUCAUCAAGUUCUACAUUUAGUCUAAUGGUCAACUUUCCAUUUGGAAAAGUUGGAACCACUCAAUUUUGAAUUUUGAAAGAAUUCAUAGCCACGCAUAGGUUUCGGAACCCUAGAUGGUCUCGAAUGGAAAAGUCAUGAAUACCAAUAUUGUGCCACUCAUCAAAAUCUACAUUUAAUAUAUAGACCAUUUUUGCAUUUGACAAAGUUUUGGGAAGGUGUAGUUGAAAAUCCACAAUUGACACAUAUAGUUUCAUAUUGUUUGUGUGAGAUUCAAGAUUUGGUGGGUAUUGUUAACUUAAACUUUCUCAAAUGGAAAAAUUGUGUAUAUAAAAGUUUAGAUCUUGAUGAUAUCUAACAACUUGGUAUUCAAAUUUGUUUCAUUUUAUGUAAUUUAUUUUGUCAUUUGACCAAGUUUGUCCAAAACCCGACUUGGAUUUUAAAGAAAUGUGCUUAGGAUUGGCUCAAAUUUAUCCAAAUGGAAAAAUGGACAAUAUAUCAAAUGUAGAUCUUAAUAAUCUCUAACAACUUUGUAUUCAAAAUGUUUUCAUUUGAAGUCAUCAAAUGGGUCAUUUGACCAAGUUUGACCAAAGUCAAAGCAUUGGUUUUUAGAAAAACACCCUUUGACCGAACCCUAGAUGGUCCCAAAUGGAAAAGUCAUGAAUACUAAGUUUGUUACAAUCAUCAAGUUCUACAUUUAGUCUAAUGGUCAACUUUUCAUUUGGAAAAGUUUGAACCACUCAAUUUUGAAUUUUGAAAGAAUCCAUAGCCACGCAUCGGUUUCGGAACCCUAGAUGGUCCCAAAUGGAAAACUUAUGAAUACAAAGUUUGUUACACUUAUCAAAAUUCACAAUUCUCAAAUAUAGUUUCAUACAAUUCUCAGAAUUCGUACAUUUUACGACACAUACUAUUAAACAUUACUUUAUAUUAAGCCGACACAACAGUAAACUUCUUCUUGACGUAUGACCCUUGGUUAUGAUCCUGCCGUAACCAUAGAGUAUCCUCAUUGUUUAAUAGAAUGCUUGGGUCUUUGUUGACUAUUGUUGAUGGUCCUUAAGUAUCUAAUAUAAUCAUCAAAUAAAUAAAGAAAAGGAUUGCAUAGAGGGUUUUGGUGUUUGUCUAUUUAUACAGGGGGUUAUCAGAGAAUAUGGAGGAAAGGUCCACACGUCGGGUUUACAUAGAGAUAUUAACAUGCACCGCAAUUAUCCAACAUCUAGAAGAGUCCAGAAGCCACGGGAACGAGCGGGAGGCCGAGUGGGCCUGGGGUCUGGGUGCCCGCCCUCCCCCCUUGGGCGCCUGCCCAAGGCUCUCAGCCAAUCAGGCUCCGUCUCACGGAUAAUGCUCCACCGACCUAAAGGAUUAAGGAAAACUGUGCGAUUAAGGUUGGUUUGAUCCAACGGCCCAUAUUCAUUUGGAGAGGCUAUAUAAGUAGGCCCCCUGACCCCUGGAGGAGGCACUCAUUCUCAUUCCUCAAACCCUAAUUCAUUCAUCAGGAAGAGAGUCUCUGAUCAAUCCCUAGAGCCACCACAUCAACUAGAUCUCUAGUUUAGCAUAGCUACAUAGGACUAGAACUAGAAGGAGUCAAUCUUUGAUUGGUUUCCAGAUCUGUAAAGAGGAUUCUUGGUAAUUCCCCUACUGUUCUUUAUUUGUUCAUCAUUGUUCUUCAAUAUUAUGAAUACAAAUUUGUUCUAUUUCAAUAUAUUGAUUAUGAGUUUGCUCUACUUGUUUAUAGUUGAUCAUAGUUAUAUGCUUGGCUUAGUUAGAUUGGAAUUAUAUACAUGUUUAGGAUCGUAUAGCGUUUAUCCAUCGGAUCCAUGGGUAAAUGAUAGAUAUUGUGUAGGCGUGGUGCCUAUACCGUAUUUAUCUGCUAUUGUACCCUAUAUGCCGGAUCAUGGGGUAGUUCGUGGUGGUAACAGCUCCAUUGAUUCUUAUACAGUCCCCCUCCCGUGUAUAGGGCAGGCAGAGCAACAUUAUUUCAGGGGAGUGAUUGCUAUGUUUCUCAUCUUCCUUGAUAAUAUCACUAUGCAUGGGCGUAGUCCUUUCUCGCAAUGAUUGCCAAGUAUAAUUGCACUAACUAUGGUAUGCUAGACUUUAUAGUUAAGAAUAACUUAGUAAAUAUUCUUGUAGUUCAUCCUAAUCCCAUGCUAAUGACUUGCUAGAAUAUUUGUUGAGGUGAUUAUCAUUAUUAUAUGUGGCUAGUUAUGCUGAUCAGAUUAGUUAUCUUUGUCACCAUUCAUACUUUAUCUAUAUUUUAUGUGACAUUUAUCCCUGUAUGCAAGAGAUAGAUGAAUGCUCUCUAUUACACAUGCAAUGAUAGAUACUCAGUUCUAUAUUUCAUUCCAUAAUCAACACUGAUGUUAGUAAUCCCUUCCCAGUGGUAAAAAUAUAAAUAACGAUACCUGUAAUACUUCCCGGUUAAAAUGCUACAUCGGUAUUAAUCUGUGCGCUUGUAGAUCUCAUUUAUUAUUUAUUCAGAAGAGCAAUUGCAUAUUUCAAUACCGCGUCUCUCAUGUCAUGCUGGGGAUGACAACUUGGCUUAAGUGGCAUGAGGGAUAGGUUUGGCAUUUUUUGGCGCCGUUAUCAGAAAUAGAAAACUAAGUCUACUUUUGGUAAUGACGUUAAGAAUGCCCAACAAGCAUUUUUGGCACCGUUGCCGGGGAAGGUUGAUUUACUAAGAAGGAAUGAAUAUGGAAUUAUGGGUCAUCAUUUGCAUCACUAAUACGAUUGAGAUCAUCAAUUCUCUCAUACAGCUUUACCCCUGUACUUUUCUAUUUUUAUUAUUUUAUGCAGGGUGAUGUAUGAAUAGAAGACAUCUUCAAGAAAAUUUUGUUGACGACCCAGAAGCGUUAAUCAGAAAAACCAGAGCCAAGCUCAGAUCGUCAACACUUCAGCGUAAAGCUUCAUCCAAACCAGAAGACCGUCGAAGUUUCAUCCGGAACUUGUCGACGGAGUUCGAAGCCAUGGCGAACAAGUCGAUCCGCGAGUUCUCAGCUCCCACUACGGACAACGUCCGCACUGGACCUGCUGUAGAGAUCGACCGCAACUUUGAGCUCAAGCCUGGGCUCAUCAACAUGGUACAAGCCAACCAGUUCUGUGGGAAGGCACACGAAGAUGCUAGUGCUCAUCUCUAACACUUCCUGGAGAUUUGCAGCACAUUCACUAUAUCAGAAGUCCCCAGAGACGCCAUACUACUUCACCUCUUCCCAUUCUCACUGUUAAGGAGAGCGAAGCAGUGGUUCUACGCAACAAAGGAGAAGAAUACUACGUGGGCACUCUGCUCUACGAACUUUCUGGCCAAGUUCUUUCCCAUGGGCAAGACCAAUGCUCUCCGUGGGAAGAUUAUAAGUUUUCAGCAACAACAUGAUGAAUCCGUUCUAGGGGCAUGGGAGCGCUUCCAAGACUACAUUCUAGAAUGUCCCCAUCAUGGAAUGGAGAGCUGGCUGCUGAUGUAGACGUUCUAUCAUGGGCUUGGUAAUAGCGCCCGUGAGACCAUGGAUGCUGCAGCUGGAGGAGCAUUCCUAUCACUCACCAUACCACAAGCCAUAGCUCUUGUGGAAAAGAUGGUGUCCAACCAAGGUUGGAAUGAAGAGAGGACCUAGACACGCAAGAAAGGUGGAGGUAUGCACCAGCUCAAGGAGGUAGACAUGCUGUCUGCAAAGCUGGACCUGCUCAUGAAGAAGCUCGAUGACAAAGCUCAAGACAAGAAAGAAGUCAUGCACAUCUACGACUCUCACAUGACUUGUGUAGAGUGUGGAGAUACUGGACACGCAGGCAAUCACUACCCUGAGUUGCUUGAGGACAUGAACUACAUCAUCAUCAACAACAACAACUACUACAACCGUCCUCAACAAAAUCAAGGUUGGAAUCAACAGGGGCCUAACUACUCAGGUAACUACUUAGGUAAUUAUCAAGGUAACAGUUCUUACAAUAAUAAUAAUAAUUAUCCACCUUUGAGAGAGUUAGUGUCUAAUCAAGGAAAGCUAAUGGAUAACCUGUCUAAGAAAUUGGCAUCAAAUGAUAAAAUGCUAGAAAAUAUAAAUAAUAGAAUGGAUAAUUUUUCUACUGCCAUCAAGAACCAGAUUAGCUUUAAUAAAAUGAUUGAAUCUCAGUUGAAUCAAAUAGCUGCUGCUGUUCCUGCUACUAACCUCGGUAUACCAUCACAACCGAAAGGAUUAGAAUCUACAAAUCUUAUAGACAUGUUUGAUGCAGGUAACUACUGGAGUAACCCUAUUGUGGAAGUACAUAGUGACCUUCUGCCAGUCAAGAGAGGUGAUCUAGGAUGCCCUGUCAUCCCAAUCUCCAUCAGCAUGGUGGACUUCCCAGAGGCACUCUGCAACUUUGGCUCCAGCGUCAACAUUAUGCCCAGGGUACUCUAUGAAAAAUUCUUUACACAUCCUUUAUUAGAAACAACCAUGUGUUUGCAGCUUGCAGAUCGGACACUAAGCUUUCCAAAAGGAAUACUGAAGAACAUCUGUGUCUAAGUUGGUACCUUGUACGCCCUAGCAGACUUCAUGGUGAUGGAGACCGGUACUGAUGAGAGGGCACCCGUCAUCCUGGGGAGGCCAUUCCUGAACACCUCGGGAGCUGUCAUCUACGCUAGUGCUGCCAAGAUCAGUUUCUACAUCAAGGGGAGGAAGGAGACGUUUUCCUUCAAGAACAAGACUGCACAAAUCCCAGAACAACCCCAAUAUGAACCAAGGAAAAGGACCAACAGGAGGAAUAAGAGCAAGAAGCAAGUGUGGACCGAGUCAGCCAAAAUGGUCACUGCAGUUCACAGAGGCCAAGAUCGUCAACUCAAGCUACCCAUUCUGAUAAAAAAGGACAACCCAGGUGUGCCAAGCAUCCAGUGCUAAAUCAAUGGAUACUAUUUCUAGAAGACACUCUGCGACACCGGAUCAGGCGUCAACAUAAUGGGCACAUUCACCUAUCAGCUUCUGUUCAGAACCAUGCCCCUAAAACCGACAUACAUUCAGCUCCAGAUGGCAGAUCAGGCAUUCUGAAAGGUUGAAGGUAUAGUAACUGAUGUCCCUGUUAAAAUAGACAACCAUUUUGUCUAUAUAGAUUUUUAGGUCAUUGACAUGGGAGAAGACGAGUACGAUCCACCCAUCAUCCUCGGAAGACCGUUCCUCAGCACCGUCAAUGUGAUCAUCUACAUUGGAACUGGAGAAGUCCACAUGCACUUCCCCUCUGAGAAGGUACGCCACUACUUUAAUGACCCUAACUAUAUAGUUGAAGAUUCUAAGCAGGUCAGGACAACAAGAAGGCGAUGCAACCACAAUCAGUGGAGGCAAAACAUCAAGGACGGAUGAGCAGACUACGAAGGAGAGGUAGUAAGGUCUGAGGACAUAUAGCUUGAACAAGAGACCGUAGCACCAAGUCAGGUGUGGAGAGAAAAGAUAGUUCUACACGAAGAGGAGGCGCCGCCGGGAGCACCGUCUACGCCAUCCAGCGAAUCCCAGGACGACUGAGAACACAAGGAGUCUCGUUCGGAGGACUUAAAAACACCGAACACCGUGCCAAGAGGUAAACUUGGUAGUUAUCACUUUCCCUUCUGUUAUUUACUUUUUCUUAAAAAGCUUGUUUAGUUAAUUAGGUUCAUACUAUCUUAAAAAGAAAAUAAAAAUGUUAAAAACAGUAAGCCCCAUGUGAGUAUGCUCGUGGCAUAAAACCCAUAAGUACAUUCACUAUGGUGGCACAAAAAAAAUAAAUAUUUUUCCCUACUCCAUAAAAUGAAAAUAUAAAAAUAGAGAGUAACACUUAUUGAGGAAGCUCAACAUGAUAAAGGCUAGGUAUUUAUGCUAACACUUAACCAGUUCCACAAAGCUUUGUUGUCUAUUUGAGCUCCACAGAAUUCAAAGAAGACUAGCAAACGGAGGACAUCCUAAUUGCUCUCAGGGUGCUACCGACAUUCAAAUAUACCUCUGCUACCUGCUAGCUACAUCAGAAGAAAUUACGUCUAGAUCUAGCUUGGUGGAGAGCACCCCAAUUUAUCCCGCUAAGUAUUUCUAUCUAUAUUUAUACUUAAACUAUAUUAAAAUAAAAAGAUACAUAAUCAUGAAAACCCAAAUAAAUAUUUUGUGCUUGUUGGUGUUUUGCCCUUGGGGGGUCACACCAACGAGUAAAUUUGUAUGCGUGUUCCCUCUCCCAGAUGGUGAUGCAAGAAAGACACAGAGAUUUAUCCUGGUUCGGGCAAGAGAAGGCCCUACGUCCAGCGGGGGGAUGUUUUCUAUUGUCUUGCACCUAAGUGCUUGUACAGGGGUGAAUACAAGUGGAUGUCACGGUGGAUUCUAAGUCCUAGAUGGAAGCGAUGUAUGGGGUGAUGUAUGGUUGUUGUUCUACAUGAAGUGUUCUUUCUAUUCCUUCCUCAGCCUCGCCUUUUAUAGUUCCAAGGGGAGACCUAGGUUACAUGUCGUAGGCAAUAAAAUAAGGUUCGAUAGGAGCGUGGUGCGCUGACCUACUCGAGGCCUCCGUACCGACGUGGCCUCGAGCCGUCUUGUUACUCAGUACUUUGGUGAUGAUUGUGCACGCUUCUGAAUUCGGCUCCUGUGCGUCGCCUUGGAUUGGCUUAACCGUGGGCACGCCUGUACGUCGCGGCAGCAGUCGUGUCCAGAGUGGUUGAGGUGCUGUCUUUCUCCGCCUGACUCUUCUCUGGGAAGGAACGUAUUCGCUCGAGGGUCCGGCACUGCGCAAGGCUUUGUUGAUCGGUGCGCUGACUUUGGGUGCCUCGAGGGGGGUCGUGAUGUGACAUCCCGACUGUCUCACUGUGCUCGGCCAUACUCUUGUUCAUCUGGGGGACAAAGCUAUGAAAAGUGGGAUUGGAUGGGUGCUUGCUCCCUAUCACGUUUCCCGUGACUGUCGGGUUAGGUGAGAACAUGGCAGGCGCAUUAAAUGCUCUGGCUCCCGUACCCGCGACAGGCGGUGGACGACAUCCUUGCGCUCGAGGCCUAUUGAUUCGCAUGACCCCUUUUCCGUGUUCGAGGCUAUGGUCGACAUCAUGCCUUGGCGAUUACGCGUGUUAAGCGGGGGCGUCAAGUCAGGGGCCUUGACUUUGUGGUAGGGUCGUCUCAUUAUGGGCGUUGGUUGGGGUACCCCUUAUUGACACCCUCGACAGUAGCCCCCGAGUCUCUACUCGAGCGCUUGCGCUCGGGUGGAGGCUCUUUCGUCGGUCGAGUUUCCAUGGGGUCGCACGAGUGACCCCCGCGGGGCUCCCCCGAGCCCUUGGAGGAGUCUUUGACUCCUUCGAGGGUUAUGUUGCUUUUUCUAAUGGAAUUUCUCUCGAUCUCCCCUUUCUCCGAAAGUCAUACGUCAUGGAAGAGGGGCUUUGAGCCUCAACCAGUCGGUUUCGCAUUUUCGAGGUUGGAGUCGUGACGUACUCCCGGUGGAGCGAGCGUCACCUACCCAGGUUGAGUCCCUAUCGGGUAAUCCAAGUGAGAACUCGUGCCCCGUUCGAGGGGGUCAGCUGUAGCCCAGAGGCGUUCUCAUAAAAGCAGGGUCAGUGUGGUCGGGGUUACUGGUCUCGUUCGAUAGAGUCCAGCGGCUCGCUGCCUCCCUCCGUGGGGAUUCCUCUCGACCCUCUUGCCCCUGCCUUGGACAUCUCCAGCGAGUUUUCGAGGCAGGCCUCGUUUUCGACCUCUCGCCGGGCAUCGCUUACUCUGGUACUCGAGGGCGACCAUUGAACCCAUCCAGCGGGUCGGUCUGCGAUCCCUCAAGAUUUCUAUCGCGACACGCACAUACCUUAUCUUACAGGAGAAGGAAGGGCUACGGCGGUUCGCUUUCUUGCCCGUUGGGCGCACCUUUUUAGGCGGGAGCCGUUGCAACACUGUGCCGUUUGCGGAAUUCGUAGCGUCAUGUCAGUGAGAGCAACAGGACCGUUAGUCGGCGCAUUUACUAGGGAGGUUACCGUAUUUGCCGGAUCUGCCCGUUGGAGGUUGGACAUCUAUAAAUAUCGUCGGGUCUCUCGGCUGUUACUCCUUCCACCUUCUGCCAUCGUUCUUGCCCUUGCUCUCCUUGCCAUCUCCACGCGCGCGCGCGCACCCUCGAGCACAUAGCAGCGGAGCCGCCUUUCUUCAUCCGUCAAGAUGCCGGUGAGGCUCGUCGCUGCCGAUGACUGGUGCCCGUCGUCGAUGACGCAGUGCCUGCUGCUAGACCUCGAGAAAGAGGGGCUCCUGCGCCCCCGCGUUUCCUCGUUGCGGCCGGAGUGGAUCACGCCGGCGGCGGACCACAGGGAGCCGAGACCGCCCAAGGGGUACGUGGUCUCCUUCGCCAAGUUCCAUCGUCACGGCCUCAGUUCUCCUUCAAGCCGCUUCAUGCGGGCGCUCUGCCACCAUUAUGGUGUGGAGCUCUAGCAUUUCUCACCAAACGGUAUUACCGCCGUGGCGAUUUUAGCCGCGGUGCGCGAAGGCUACCUGGGGAUGAUGCCGCACUGGGACCUGUGGCUUCAUCUGUACCGGGGCGAGCUCUUCCAUGCCCCUGGUGGAGCCACAGGGGUGAGGAAAUCGGUGCGGGCCGGCUGCCUUAACCUGGUGCAGAAGACUAGGAAGGCGGAGGAGCCUCGAGAGUACAUCCCGGUGGGGCUGACGUCGAACCACGCCCAAUGGGUCUCCCAAUGGUUCUAUCUUCUAAACUGUUGAUAUUUGGGAACGCAAUAAGGAAUUGAUCCACAAGCGCACGGAUAUCAUUAAGCACUUCACCCGGGAUGUUAUCCAAAGUAUUGUAUUUAUAUUUUUACCACUAGGAGAAAGAGUGCAUCUGACUAACCCGGUCUAUUACUACUAACCUUUAGGCUACAAAGAAUGUUUCUCGAUGUGAGCGAUGUAUAGAGAAGACUACAAUCGUAAUGUCUUUCUAACCUUGGUAAGGAUAAUCUACUAUUCUAUUGGGGAGGCUCACGGAAUCUGGACACCACAAAGGAUGUUCAACCCACACCUAUAAACCCUAUCGAUCCUACUAACGGGAUAUGGGCUGCAAAGGUAACUCAGAAAUGUCACGUUCCUCGCUACUACCACGGUCCAACUAGUCAGGGGAUAUCUAUGAGUAUUCUAGCCCAAACACCAUGUUUACACUAGAGAUGAUUACUCUAAACUCUACGCGAAGAGAUUAAAGUAAACUCAUAAACCAAAGAACAAUAAAACAAGAUCUUACUAGUAUUUAGAAGUUGAAAUUCUGAAGAAUCCUAGGAGCAAGCUUUGGGUUAGGAGAACUUGAUCCCGCAGGUACAACCUUGGAGUAGACACCGACAGGCCGAGCUUCCUCCGAUCUACACCUCCACUCUAUCUCUCUCAAUCUAGUAGAACUAGUCUACUCUCACAUUAGAUGCUAAGCCCUAAGUCUAUUUAGAGGAAAGGUUAUCCUUCGAGGGCACCUCUCAACUCUAUGAUGAACUUGUUCUCCUCCAGGGGCCAGGGGGUCUGCUUAUAUAGUCCCCUCAGGUGAACGUGGACCGUCGGAUCAAACCGACAUUGAUUGAACGGUUAUCCUUGAUCCUUUAGGUCGGUGGAGCAUGAUCCACGAAGUUGGACGUGAUUGGGCACAACACCUGGGCGGGCGCCCUGCCCCCAGGCCCGAUUGCCUUCCCGUUCGUUCCCGUGGCUUCUGGAGUCAUCUAGAUGGUAGAAAAUUGCGCGGCGCAUUAAUAUCUCUAUGUAAUUCCGACAUGUGGGCCUUUAUUCCCUAUUUCCUGAUAACCCCAUGCAGAAACAGAUAAACAACAAAACUUGUGGAAUUCUGUUAGAUCAAACCCUAAUUCUAGGUGUUGUUUGUAUAUUGGUCCUUUCCCUUGUUUAUUUGAUAAUUAAAAUUGCUACUUAAGAACCAUCAACAAACACCCCCAUACUUAGGCUUUUACUCAUCCUCGAGAAAAGGAUGGUUAAGAAAAAUAUCUAGGGUUAAAACAUUGUAAAGCAUUUUCUGCAUACCUGCAGGGUGUUGUAAAAAUUCACUGUGUACCGUAGUCAGGGAAAUAUAUGGUCUUUUCUUCUUAAUCUUGCCACUUGGAGUUUUUGUAUAUUUUUGAAAAGAAAUUUAGUAUACUUUUAUCCUCAUAGGUUCUCUCAGAUCACUCAUUUAUCUUUUAUGUAUCUCACUAAGGCUGUUUUAAUUUGCAGAAAUUCUCAACCAUACUUACCUUGUAUUUAUUGCCCGAUCAAAAUAGGAUCUGAGGAGAGGAAUGUCAUACUCUUAGAUCAAAGACUUUGGAAAUUAAAAACUUGUCAACUCUUACUCGCAUAUUGCUUAUUAGAGGGACCAUGGGCUAUCAUUUUCUUUCUUUUCUCUCUUUUUAAAGUGGAUACCGAGGUACCCCUAAUUCUACUGCCGGACACUUGUCCAUUUUUCUGCGAGGUUGUCGAGCACUUGCUCCUUUUUAUUUCCUCGAAUUAUUCAUAUUUUUACGUGGCCCAUGCCUCUAACGCAAUAAUACUUUGGAAGAGUGAAUCUUUCUGAAAUAAUGUCUUGAUCUUAGGAGCAUGAUAAAUCUCUCAACAAGGGUCUAACUCAUUUUGAACAAACUCAAUACAGAGCAGAUAGCUUUUAUAAUUAUCAAUAUUUUCAGGUUUAGUAGGCAUAUAAAACGCUGAGGAUGGUAGCUAGAAUUUUUGAAUAAAUUCUCCAAGCAACAAUGAUAUCAAGAAUAAGGUACUCAUACUCUACCAUCUCACAUUCCACAAUGACUUAAGUAACACAGGGUUUUAAAAUGAUUUUUCAAUAAUUGCAAGUUUUCAGGAAAUAUCACAGAGUGAGAUUAAUCAUGAUUAGAAACAUUUUAAUCUUUUUAAUUUAUCAUGUCGGAGACAAUAUUCUGCAUAAUCCAAGAUAUAUGUGUAUGUGUAAAGUGUGCAGAGUAUGUACCUGAAUCGUGGAGUGGUGUAGUCGAAGUGCGUUUGGCAUGUCGAGGGAUCUCCCCCAUACUUGUUUUCUGCUUUCUUGCAUAAAAAUAAAGUAGAGACACACAGGACAUAAUAAUAAUAAUCUUUAUUAACCUUGAGGCAUUUAUUACAAAUGACUAGUAAUGAACUGAAGCUAAUAGUAAAUCUAAACCGAAUUUAAAGAUAAAUAACUAAGAUGCAUUGCCUCAAGAUCUAAUCUAGAUAACUUAGCGGCGCUCUAACUCCCUAAUCUUCUUAUUGGCACUAGCAAGAUCAUGACUAAGACCUAGUAUAAUGGUGUUCUGGUUAGAGAGCUGCCUAGUGAUAGAGUUAACCGAGGACUGGAGUUCUAUGAUGAUCCUGUCUAGCCUACGAACGUCCUCAUCAAUAUCUACUAUAGUCUUGCGACACUUAGGAGGUGUCUCGAGAGCAUUGAGAGCGUGUUUUGGGGCUGCCUUUGGAGGGAUGAAACGGAAUUUGGCUGUGUUGGGUAUUCUUAACAUCAUUACCAAAAGUAGACUAAGUUCUCUAAAUCUAGUAACGGUGCCAAAAAUGCCAAACCUAUCCCUCACACCACUUAAGCCAAGUUGUCAUCCCCAGCAUGAUAUAAGAGACGCGGUAUUGAAAUAUGCAAUUGCUCUUCUAAAUAAAUAAUGAAUGGGAUCUGCAAGCGCACAGAUUAAUACCGAUGCAGCAUUUUAACCGGGAAGUAUUCCAGGUAUCGUUAUUUAUAUUUUUACCACUGGGAAGGGAUUAGCAAUCAUCAAUAUUGAUUACAGAAUAGAAUAUGAGAUUGAGCAUCUAUCAUUGCAUGUAUAAUUGAGAACAUUAUAUCUAACUCAUCAUACAGGGAUAAGUGUCACAUAAAAGAUAUAUGAAAUAAUGAAUAGUGAGAAGGAUAAUUAAUCUCAUCUAGCCACAUAAUAAAUAUGAUAAGCACCUCAAUUAAAUACUCUAGAAAGUCAUUAGCAUGGUAUUAGAACGAACUACAAGAAUAUUCCCUAAGUUAUUCUUAACUAUAUAGUCUAGCAUUAUCAUAAUUAGUGCAAGCAUACUUAGCAAUCAUUGUGAGACAAGACUACGCCCAUGCAUAGUGAUAUUAGCAAGGAAUAUGAGAAACAUAGCAAUCACUCCCCUGUAAUAAUGUUGCUCUGCCAGCCCAAUACACGAGAGGGGGACUAUAUAAGAAUCAAUGAAGCUGUCACUAUCACGAACUACCCCACGAUCUGGCAUAUUGGGUACAAUCGCAGAUAAAUACGGUAUAAGCACCACGCCUACACAAUAUCUAUCAUUUACCCAUGGAUCCGAUGGAUAAACGCUAUACGAUCCUAAGCAUGUAUAUAGAUCCAAUCUAACUAAGCCAAGUACAUAACUAUGAUAAACUAAGAACAAUAUAAUCUUGAAUAUAAGCAAGUAGAGCAAAGUCUUAAGCAAUAUAUUGAAGUAGAACAAAGUCAUAUUCAUAAUAUUGAAGAACAAAGAUAAUUAGAAAGCAAUUAGAAGCACAAUUAGAGAAUUACCAAGAAUCCUCCUGACAGAUCCGGAAACCAAUCGAAGAUUGACUCCUUCUAGUUCUAAUCCUAUGUAGCUAUGCUAAUCUAGAUAUCUAAUUGAUGUGGUGGCUCUAAUCUUGAUCAGAGGCUUCUUCUCCCUUGAUGGAACAAUGAAUUAGGGUUGAGAGGCUCUCUCCUCCAGGGGCCAGGGGGUCUGGUUUUAUAGUCCCUCCAAGUGAAUAUGGGCCAUUGGAUCAAACCGACAUAGAUUGUAUGGUUUAGAUUCAUCCUUUAGGUCGGUGGAGAUCUCCCGCAAAGCAGAGUCCUGAUUGGACUUGGGGGCAGGGCGGGCGCCCAGUAGGAUAGGGCGGGCGCCCUGUCUCUGGCCCCGUUUCGCCUCCGCUUCGGUCUCGUGGCUUCUGGAGUCUUCUAGAUGUAAGAUAAUUGCGCAGCACGUUAAUAUCUUUACAUAAUCCCGACAUGUGGGCCUUUCUUCCAUAUUUCCUGAUAACCCCCUGCAGAAAUAGACAAAUACCAAAACUCGUGGAAUUCUGUCAGAUAAAACCCUAAGUCUGGAUGUUGAUUUCAUUUGGAUCCUUUUCUUUAUUUAUUUGAUAAUUAAAUUUGAUACUUAAGGACCGUCAACAAAUUCCCCCAAGCUUACCUCUUGCUCGUCCCUGAGCAAGGAUAGACUCAGCUAUGGAUCAUAAGUAGUUGCAAUAUCUUAAAUAUUGACGGUACACAUGCUUUUUAAAUAAGAUCUCGUCUCUGAGUUAGAGUAAACUGUCAAGACGUAAAACUUACUUACUUUACCUUCACCAUGGGACUUGUAACCGUCACUUCUGUCUUGAGUAGUUAAAAGAUAGAACAGUCUAGCCAAGUGCCAUGUCUCUUAUUCUUGAUCAGCUAUAGCUCUAGAGUUUUUGCAGAUUUUCAAAUAAAACUCAAAGAUUCCUUGUAUGAUUCUCUCAGAUCUCUCUUUUGUGGUAUUUCUGCAUCCUUACCAAGGCAGUGAUGGUAUAUGCCUUCUCUCAAUAUAUGUAGUAUUUGUGGUAUGAGGCAUAGUGACAUUGUCUUCUCUCUCACCCUACUCUAAUAAGGCUUUAAUAUCUGGAGCUCAUAGGUGGGAGAUAAAGUAUACAUACUUACAAGACAUUUAUUGCAUAGUCAAACCAUGGAUCCAAAGAAACAUAUCAAUAAGCCAAAUCAAGAUGUGCAUGUGUGGCGAAUGAAUGGUGUAUGGUGAUAACGGUGAUAACAAUGGUGGAAACAAUGGUGGUGGAAGUCUAAUUCUACUUUGCUCUUUGAGGGGAUACAUACCUUCCUUGCUUUUGAAACUUUAUGAGGAGAAUGAGAUGCUCAUCUUUUUCUUUUCUUUCGAGGUUCCGAGCACUAGCUCCUUUUUAUUUCCUCGUAUCUUUUUCUUUUUCUCUCUUUUUUUUAAAGCAUUCAUCUCUUGAGAUAAUAUAGCAAGUGGUAGUAACAAGAUAACUUGAGCAUUUAUUUCACAAGGGGAAAACAGAAAUAUUUUUGGUUAUUCUCUCCCGGAUUAGGAGUAGAAUAUUUUUGGUUGGUUCUGGAGAUGGAAUGGGUGGAUAUAUGUGGAUGGUACUUCCGGAGUAGAAGUAGCAUAUAUGAGUGAACGUGCAAGUGAAAUCUUGAUUUAACCACAUGACAAGUUCCUAAGGGUCUACACAGCUUAACCACACUCAAUGCUCAUAAGCAGUAAAUAAUAAAUGUGUGGAUCAAAGUCUAGCAAGCAUGUAUAUAUGGCUGUGGUAGGAAUUUAAACUCUCAUCAUAUAGGAAUUUAUCAUGCAACAUUUUAAAGAUUUUCAAAGAUAAAAUUCUCCAGAAUUCUAGCAUCUCUAGGAACAGAUAAACAACAGCUCAACCUUCCCAUAUCGUAUCCGUUAACAACUUAGACUUCAGAUCAAGUUUUCAUCCCACAAGUUUAGGUCUAGGGCAAGCUUUAAAUUAUAACAGUUAUAUCUAAACUUGAGAGAGAACUUAAAAUUUGCAAAUUAGGCAGAGCAACUAUUUAUCAUAUCCAUGCUUAAGUUUUAUUUAGAUACAGAUUAGCAUAGCCACUUUAUUUAUUAAACACACUAAGCAAAAGAUAUAUAAGCAUAAAAUCUUUAUUUGGUUUUCCAUAGUUUAUGUGUAUUUAUAUUCUAAAAUAAUAUAAGUAUAAAGAUAGAUAGAAAUACUUAUCGAGAUAAAUGGGGGUGCUCUCCCCCAAGCUGAAUUUUGACGUAAUUUCUCUUGAUGUAGCUAGCAGAUGACAGAGGUGUAUUUGAAAGUCAGCAGCAUUCUGACAGCGAUUAGAAUGUCCUCCGUCUGCUAGUCUUCUUGAUUCUUAAAUUCUGUGGAGCUCAAAUAGACAACAUAGCUUGUGGAACUGAUUAAGUGUUAGCAUAAAUAUCUAGCCUUUAUCAUGUUGAGACUCCUUAAUAUUUAUUACUCCCUAUUUUUAUAUUUUUAUUUUAUAUUUUUAUUUUAUAAAGCAGAAAAAUAUUUAUUUUAUUUUUAUGCCACCACAGUGAGUGUACUUAUGGGUUUUAUGCCACUUGUAUACUCACAUGGGGCUUACUGUUUUUCGCAAUUUUAUUUUCUUUUAUUUUUAAGAUAGUACGAACAUGAUUAACUAAGUAAACUAGUUGAAAUAAUUGAAAGGGAAAGGUUAACUACCAAGUUUACCUCUUGGCAAGGCGUUCGGUUUUUUUUAAGUCCUCCGAACGGGACUCUCUAUUUUCUUAAUUGUCCUAUGGUUCGUUGGGUGGCGUAGUCGGUACUUCCGGUGGCGCCUCCUCUUCAUGUAUAGUUAUCUUCAUUUUCCACACCUGACUUGGUGCUUCGGUCUCCUCUGGAUAAUUCUGUUUAAACUCUACGUUUUCUGACCUUAUAACUUCUCCUUCGUAAUCUGCCCAUCCGUCCUUGAUGAUUUGCCUCCUCUGGUUGCGGUUACGUCUUUUCCUUACCUGCUUAGAUUCUUCAACGAUAUAGUUAGGGUCAGUAAAAUAACGGCGUACCUUCUCUGAGGGGAAGUGCAUAUGGACUUCUCCGGUUCCAAUGUAGAUAAUUGCUUUAACGGUGCUGAGGAACGGUCUUCCAAGGAUGAUGGGUGGAUCAUAUUCAUCUUCUCCCAUGUCAACAACUUGAAAGUCUGUGUAGACAAAGUGAUCGUCUAUUUUGACUGGGACAUUAGUUACUAUUCCUUUAACUUCUCGAAAUGUCUGAUCUGCCAUCUGGAGCUGAAUGUAUGUUGGUCUUAGUGGCAUGGUCCCGAACAAGAGCCGAUAGGUGACUACGGCCAUUAUGUUGACGCCCGUUCCGGUGUCGCAAAUCGUCUUGUAGAAACUAUAUCCAUUGAUGGAGCAGUAGAUGCUUGGCAUUCCUGGGUCGUCCUUCUUGGUCAAAAGCGGUGACUUAAGUUGGUGAUCUUGGCCUCCAUGAACUGCAGUGACCAUCUUAGCUGACUCGGUCCACACUUGCUUGUUCCUGUUCCUCCUGUUGGUCCUCUUCCUUGAUUCACGUCUGGAUUGAUCUGGAAUUUGUGUAGUCUUGUUCUUGAAGAAAAAUGUCUCCUUCUUCCCUUUGACGUAGAAAGUGAUCUUGGCAGCACUGGCGUAGAUGAUAGCUCCCGUGGUGUUCAAGAAUGGCCUCCCUAUGAUGAUGGGUGCUCUCUCAUCAUUUCCGGUCUCUACCACUACGAAGUCUGCUGGGGUAUAUAAGGUACCAACUCAGACACAAAGGUUCUUCACUAUUCCUUUUGGAACGGUUAUCGUCUGAUCUGCAAACUGCAAACACAUGGUUGUUUCUAAUAAAGGAUAUGUAAAGAAUUUUUCAUAGAGUACCCUGAGUAUAAUGUUGACACUGGAGCCAAAGUCGCAGAGUGCUUCUGGAAGGUCCACCAUGCCGAUGGAGAUCGGGAUGACGGGGCGUCCUGGAUCGCCUCUCUUGACCGGCAGAAGGUCAGUAGAGAAUUCAUUGACGGGGUUACUCCAAUUACCUGCAUCAAACGUGUCUACAAGAUUUGCAGAUUCUAAUCCUUCCGGUUGUGAUGGUAUACCGGGGUUAGUAGUAGGAACAACAUCAGCUAUUUGAUUUAAAUGAGAUUCAAUCAUUUUAUUAAAGCUAAUUUGAUUCUUGAUGGCAGUAGAGAAAUUAUCCAUUCUAUUAUUUAUAUUUUCUAGCAUUUUAUCAUUAGAUGCCAAUUUCUUAGAUAGGUUAUCCAUUAGCUUUCCUUGAUUAGACACUAACUCUCUCAAAGGUGGAAAAUUAUUAGCAUUAUUGUUGUAAGAAUUAUUACCUUGAUAAUUACCUGAGUAGUUAGGCCGCUGUUGAUUCCAACCUUGAUUUUGUUGAGGACGGUUGUAGUAGUAGUAGUUGUUGUUGAUGUAGUUCACAUCCUCAAGCAUCUCAGGGCAGUGAUUGCCUGAGUGUCCAGUGUCUCCACACUCCUCACAAGUCAUGUGAGAGUCGUAGAUGUGCAUAGCUUCUUUCUUGUCUCCAGCUCUAUCAUCGAGCUUCUUCAUGAGCAGGUCUAGCUUUGCAGACAGCAUGUCUACCUCUUUCAGCUGAUGCAUACCUCCACCUCUCUUGUGUGUUUGGGUCCUCUCUUCAUUCCAGCUUUGGUUGGACACCACCUUCUCCACAAGAGCUGUGGCUUGUGGUAUUGUAAGUGAUAAGAAUGCUCCUCCAGCUGCAGCAUCCAUGGUCUCUCAGGCACUGUUGCCGAGCCCAUGAUAAAAUGUCUGCAUUAAUAGCCAACUCUCCAUUCCAUGAUGGGGACAUUCUAGGAUGUAGUCUUGAAAGCGCUCCCAUGCUUCUGGAACAGAUUCAUCAUUUUGUUGCUGAAAACUUGUAAUCUUCCCACGGAGAGCAUUGGUCUUGCCCAUGGGAAAGAACUUUGCCAGGAAGUUUGUUGAGCAAAGUGCCCACGUAGUAUUCUUCUCCUUUGUAGCGUAGAACCACUGCUUCGCUCUUCCUAACAGUGAGAAUGGGAAGAGGCGAAGUAGUAUAGCAUCUUUGGAAACACCUUGUAUGGUGAAUGUGUUGCAAAUCUCCAGGAAGUGUUGUAAAUGAGCACUAGCAUCUUCGUGUGCUUUCCCACAGAACUAGUUGGAUUGCACCAUGUUGCUAAGUCCAGGCUUGAGCUCAAAGUUGCCAUCGAUCUCUGUAGCAGGUCCAGUGCGGAUGUUGUCCGUAGUGGGAGCUGAGAACUCGCGGAUUGAUUUGUUCGCCAUGGCUUCAAACUCUGAAGACAAGUUCCGAUGAUCUUCUUGAUUGGAUGAAGCUUCUUGCUGAAGUGUUGAUGAUUUCUUUAGCUUGGCUCUCGUCUUCUUGAAUAAUGCUUCAGGAUUGUCAACAAAAUUUCCUGGAAGAUGUCUUCUAUUCAUACAUUCCCCUGCAUAAGAUGAAAUAGGAAAAUAUCGGGGUAAAACUGUAUGAGAGAAUAGAUAAGCUCAAUCAUAUUAGUGAUGCGAAUGAUAACUCAAAAUCUUUUAUUCCAUUCCUGAUUGGUAUUCAACCUUCCCCGGCAACGGUGCCAAAAAUGCUUGUUGGGUAUUCUUAACAUCAUUACCAAAAGUAGACUAAGUUCUAUAAAUCUAGUAACGGUGCCAAAAAUGCCAAACCUAUCCCUCACACCACUUAAGCCAAGUUGUCAUCCCCAGCAUGAUAUAAGAGACGCGGUAUUGAAAUAUGCAAUUGCUCUUCUAAAUAAAUAAUGAAUGGGAUCUGCAAGCGCACAGAUUAAUACCGAUGCAGCAUUUUAACCGGGAAGUAUUCCAGGUAUCGUUAUUUAUAUUUUUACCACUGGGAAGGGAUUAGCAAUCAUCAAUAUUGAUUACAGAAUAGAAUAUGAGAUUGAGCAUCUAUCAUUGCAUGUAUAAUUGAGAACAUUAUAUCUAACUCAUCAUACAGGAAUAAGUGUCACAUAAAAGAUAUAUGAAAUAAUGAAUAGUGACAAGGAUAAUUAAUCUGAUCUAGCCACAUAAUAAAUAUGAUAAGCACCUCAAUUAAAUACUCUAGAAAGUCAUUAGCAUGGUAUUAGAACUAACUACAAGAAUAUUCCCUAAGUUAUUCUUAACUAUAUAGUCUAGCAUUAUCAUAAUUAGUGCAAGCAUACUUAGCAAUCAUUGUGAGACAAGACUACGCCCAUGCAUAGUGAUAUUAGCAAGGAAUAUGAGAAACAUAGCAAUCACUCCCCUGUAAUAAUGUUGCUCUGUCAGCCCAAUACACGAGAGGGGGACUAUAUAAGAAUCAAUGAUGCUGUCACUAUCACGAACUACCCCACGAUCUGGCAUAUUGGGUACAAUCGCAGAUAAAUACGGUAUAAGCACCACGCCUACACAAUAUCUAUCAUUUACCCAUGGAUCCGAUGGAUAAACGCUAUACGAUCCUAAGCAUGUAUAUAGAUCCAUUCUAACUAAGCCAAGUACAUAACUAUGAUAAACUAAGAACAAUAUAAUCUUGAAUAUAAGCAAGUAGAGCAAAGUCAUAAGCAAUAUAUUGAAGUAGAACAAAGUCAUAUUCAUAAUAUUGAAGAACAAAGAUAAUUAGAAAGCAAUUAGAAGCACAAUUAGAGAAUUACCAAGAAUCCUCCUGACAGAUCCGGAAACCAAUCGAAGAUUGACUCCUUCUAGUUCUAAUCCUAGGUAGCUAUGCUAAUCUAGAUAUCUAAUUGAUGUGGUGGCUCUAAUCUUGAUCAGAGGCUUCUUCUCCCUUGAUGGAACAAUGAAUUAGGGUUGAGAGGCUCUCUCCUCCAGGGGCCAGGGGGUCUGGUUUUAUAGUCCCUCCAAGUGAAUAUGGGCCAUUGGAUCAAACCGACAUAGAUUGUAUGGUUUAGAUUCAUCCUUUAGGUCGGUGGAGAUCUCCCGCAAAGUAGAGUACUGAUUUGACUUGGGGGCAGGGCGGGCGCCUAGUAGGACAAGGCGGGCGCCCUGUCUAUGGCCCCGUUUCGCCUCCGCUUCGGUCUCGUGGCUUCUGGAGUCUUCUAGAUGUAAGAUAAUUGCGCAGCACGUUAAUAUCUUUACGUAAUCCCAACAUGUGGGCCUUUCUUCCAUAUUUCCUGAUAACCCCCUGCAGAAAUAGACAAAUACCAAAACUCGUGGAAUUCUAUCAGAUAAAACCCUAAGUCUGGAUGUUGAUUUCAUUUGGAUCCUUUUCUUUAUUUAUUUGAUAAUUAAAUUUGAUACUUAAGGACCGUCAACAGGCUGCUCUAAUCCCCUCAAAGUAAGGUCUCUCUUCCUUCGUAGUGCAGCGGAUGCUGCUGAUCUCGCCGCUCCGGUUGGUCUUGACUCCAACGACCCUCUCAUUGGGUCUAGGUGGCAGGAUCCUCGUGCCGACUGGCACCUUGAUGGUGGCCUCCUUCUUGGCUGAUGGUCCCUUGAGAAGUAGGGGUUGUGGCAGUGCGGUGAGAACUGGUUGAGCAUGGUAGGGUUGGGCGGAGCUGCGCUGGCGUAAUGGCAUGGCUUCUAGCUGUCGCUCUGUGUUGGCCGGGACGAGAGCGUGGGCGUCGGGGUCUUCCCUGGGCUUCUUGUUGAGGUCAUAGGGAACGACUUCCCAAUCAUCGUGGAACUCUUUGGCCAUUGGAGCAGCGAGGGACUAAGCAAGCUCUAAUAGAAGAAGGAGAGAAGGCUUGAAUAGAUUGGUGUUUGAAAACUGACGUCAGGGGUCUGUUUAUAUAGGGGUCAAAAAGUGCCUCUAGGGUUUGCUCGGGCUACUCCCGCCGCCGUGCGUGCGAAACUUUCCAUUUAUAUGAUUAUUUGGUUUACCAUAAAUGUGUUUUCGCGACAGAGGAAAUCAGGACUGAGAGGGGGCAGGGGCUGGGCGCCCGCCCUCAUCAUCAGGGUGCCCGCCCUGUGCCUGGCCCCUCUGUGGGCCCGCUUCCUUGAGCGUGCUUCUCGAUGCAGACUUUAUUAGGAAAAUAUAUAUGUGGCCCAAAAACGCCAGAUUAAAAAGGUCGGGCUCUAAAUCUCCAUGAUAAGAUAAAAAUAGAUCACGUCUAUCUCUUCUAAUUCUUUAUUGGGCUCUAAAAAUGGUCCUUCCCAUUUACUCUGGAGUUUUCCAUGCCCGAAAAGCUUCACCCUGGAAUGAAAAAGUAAUACUUUAUCUCUGGGUGCGGACUCCUUCUUCUUGAUCCUCUUGUCAUGCCACCUUUUGACUCUUUCUUUGUAGAUCUUCGAAUUGUGAUAUGCUUUCUCUCGCCAUUCUUCCAAUUUUGAAAGUUGCAUUCUUCUAUGAUCUCCAGCGACAUCCAGGUCCAUAUUCCAUCUCCUUAUGGCCCAGUGUGCUUUGAAUUCUAGUUCAACAAGUAGGUGGCAAGUCUUCCCGUACACCAAUUGGUAUGGGGACAUUCCAAUUGGGGUCUUGUAUGCUGUCCGGUAUGCCCAGAGUGCAUCAGGUAACUUGUCGUUCCAUGCUGUUCCCAUCUCAUUGACUGUCUUCUGAAGAAUAUUCUUGAUUUGCUUGUUAGAAGUCUCUGCUUGGCCACUUGUCUGAGGAUGGUAGGGGGUAGCGACGUUAUGACGGAUUCCAUGUUUUGAUAGAUAUUGCUUGAAGCGUAUGUCGAUGAAAUGUGCUCCUCCAUCACUUAUCACUACUCUGGGAACUCCAAAUCUUGGAAAUAUAACUUCUUCAAACAUCCUCUUUGAACUUAUGUUGUCGGCGUGUUUGCAAGGUAGUGCCUCCACCCACUUGGAGACGUAAUCAACUGCCACCAAGAUGAACUCACACUUCUUUGAUGGGGGAAAUGGACCCAUAUAGUCUAUUCCCCAGACAUCAAAGAGCUCAAUCUGAAGGUUGUUGGUGAGUGGCAUGGCAUCUCUUGUGUUUAUGUUUCCGUGCCUUUGACAUGGCCCACAUCUUCUGAUAUAUUGCUUUGUGUCUUCAUACAUUAUAGGCUAGUAGAAUCCACACUGCCAGAUCUUUGAAUGUGUACGGAAUGCUCCAUAAUGACCUCCAUAUGGUGAUGAAUGACAUCUGUCGAUGAUCUUCCAUCCUUCCUCGGUGGUCACACAUCUCCUGAGAAAGCCAUCAGAGCAUACUUGGAAGAGGUAUGGCUCAUCCCAUAUAUGUGAACGACUCUCUUGAAUAAGCUUCUUCUUGUUUGCUCCUAGUGGUACAUACCCUGAAACCAUAAAAUUAACAAUAUCUGCAUACCAGGGGUCAGACCUGUUAAUCCCGUAGAGCAUGUCGUCUUGGAGUGAAUCAUUGAUGGGGGUUUCCUGUGGAUUCUUAAAAUACAUUCUAGACAAGUGAUCAGCAACAGAAUUUUCUACUCCCUUUUUAUAUUUUAUUUCCAAGUCAAAUUCUUGAAGUAAUAAGAUCCAUCUAAUCAGGCGAGGUUUAACAUCUUUUUUAGUGAGCAAAUAUUUUAGUGCAGCAUGAUCAGUGUAAACAAUUAGUUUAGCUUCAAAUAAAUAAGAUCUAAAUUUAUCAAUGGCAAAGAGAACAGCCAGAAGCUCUUUUUCAGUGGUUGCAUAGUUAAGUUGAGCUCCUGUCAAAGUUUUACUGGCAUAAGCAAUUGCAUGAUGCUUCCUAUUUUUAGUUUGUCCCAAAUCUGCCCCCACAUUAUAAUCACUAGCAUCACACAUAAUUUCAAAAGGCAACGACCAAUCAAGGGGUUGAAUGAUUGGUGCAGAGAUGAGUGCAUUCUUUAAUAAAUUGAAAGAUGUUAGGCAUGCAUCAUCAAAUUCAAAAGGAGCAUCCUUGGCUAGCAAAAGAGUAAGUGGUCUAGCAAUAAAUGAAAAAUCUUUUAUGAAUCUGCGAUAAAAACCAGCAUGGCCAAGAAAGCUUCGAAUUCCUUUUAUAUUCACAGGUGGAGAUAGUUGUUCAAUUACUUCAAUUUUAGCUUUGUCUACCUCAAUUCCUCUUUCAGACACUAGGUGUCCCAGCACUAUUCCUUCCCUAACCAUGAAAUGACAUUUUUCCCAAUUAAGGACUAAGUGCUUUUCUUCACAUCUUUGCAAAACCUUGUCUAAGUUUUCAAGACAACUAUCAAAAGUUUUUCCAUAAACAGAGAAAUCAUCCAUGAAAACUUCCAUAAUCUGUUCAAUCAUAUCAGAAAAUAUAGACAUCAUGCAUCUUUGAAAAGAAGCUGGUGCAUUACAUAACCCAAAAGACAUUCUACGGUAAGCAUAAGUUCCGUAAGGGCAUGUAAAAGUGGUUUUGCUUUGAUCAUCGGGAUGGAUCGGGAUCUGGUGAUACCCUGAAUAUCCAUCCAAGAAACAGAAGAACGAAUGGUUCGCUAAUCGCUCUAGCAUCUCAUCUAUGAAAGGUAAAGGAAAAUGAUCCUUUCUCGUGACUUUGUUUAGUUUCCUAUAGUCUAUGCACAUCCGCCACCCUGUGACGGUGCGUUGCGGAAUUAGCUCGUUCUUUUCAUUCGUAACAACAAUCAUGCCUCCCUUUUUAGGCACAACUUGAACUGGGCUCACCGUGUGGCACAGGAUAUAUAAUCCCUGCAUGCAGCAACUUUAUAACUUCCUUUUUAACUACCUCUCUCAUCGCGUUGUUAAGUCUGCGUUGGGGCUCUCGAGAAGGUGAAACAGAAGGAUCUGUCGGAAUACGAUGGGUACAAAUCAUAGGACUUAUUCCUGUAAGAUCUUGGAGUGAGUAGCCGAAAACUGAGUGUUGUUUCUCAAGAAUGGUCAUUAAUCACAGAGUUUGCUCCUGAGUGAGUUUAUCACUAAUGAUCACAGGAAACUCUGGAUUAUUCUUUAGGAAAGCAUAGAUAAGACCGGGUGGUAAAGUUUUAAGCUCUAUGGGAGGUCUAGGCAUUUCUGCAAACUCGUGUAGAAGGUUCGGCCUCUUCUUCUGUGAAGAAAGGAGCUUCGUCUUCUAAGUCUGGUUCAUCUAAAAGCUCUAGAGAUGCAGCCUUUACCUCCUCUGUAGGAUAAGGAAAUGAUCCGCAAGCGCAUGGAUAUCGGUGAGCACUUCACCCGGGAUGUUAUCUAGAGUAUCGUAUUUAUAUUUUUACCACUAGGAGAAAGAGUGCAUCUGACUAACCCGGUCUAUUACUACUAACCUUUAGGCUACAAAGAAUAUUUCUUGAUGUGAGCGAUGUAUAGAGAAGACUACAACCGUAAUCUCUUUCUAACCUUGGUAAGGAUAAUCUACUGUUCUAUUGGGGAGGCUCACGGAAUCUAGACACCACAAAGGAUGUUCAACCCGCACCUAUAAACCCUAUCCAUCCUACUAACAGGAUAUGGGCUGCAAAGGUAACUCGGAAAUGUCAUGUUCCUCGCUACUACCACGGUCCAGCUAGUCAGGGGAUAUCUAUGAGUAUUCUAGCCGAAACACCUCGUUUACGCUACAGAUGAUUACUCUAAACUCUACGCGAACAGAUUAAAGUAAACUCAUAAACCAAAGAACAAUAAAACAAGAACUUACUAGUAUUUAGAAGUCAAAAUACUAAAGAAUCCUAGGAGCAACCUUCGGGUUAGGAGAACUUGAUCCCGCAGGUACAACCUCGGAGUAGACACCGACAUGCCGGGCUUCCUCUGAUCUACACCUCCACCCUAUGUCUCUCAAUCUAGUAGAACUAGUCUACUCUCACAUUAGAUGCUAAGCCCUAAGUCUAUUUAGAGGAAAGGUUAUCCUUCAAGGGCACCUCUCAACUCUAUGAUGAACUUGUUCUCCUCCAGGGGCCAGGGGGUUUGCUUAUAUAGUCCCCUCAGGUGAACGUGGACCGUCGGAUUAAACCGACAUUGAUUGAACAGUUAUCCUUGAUCCUUUAGGUCGGUGGAGCAUGAUCCGCGAUGUUGGACGUGAUUGGGCACAACACCUGGGCGGGCGCCCUAGGGGGGAGGGCGGGCGCCUUGCCCCCGGGCCCGAUCGCCUUCCCAUUCGUUCCCGUGGCUUCUGGAGUCUUCUAGAUGGUAGAAAAUUGCGCGGUGCGUUAAUAUCUCUAUGUAAUCCUGACAUGUGGGCCUUUCUUCCCUAUUUCCUUAUAACCCCCUGCGGAAACAGAUAAACAACAAAACUUGUGGAAUUAUGUCAGAUCAAACCCUAAUUCUAGGUAUUGUUUGUAUAUUGGUCCUUUCCCUUGUUUAUUUGAUAAUUAAAAUUGCUACUUAAUAACCGUCAACAGAAACGACGAUGACCUCUUCCCCGACUACACCGGGCGCUUGAUCUCGGAGCGUCCGGACAACUGGAACUAUGGCGUCAUCAAGACCCUCCAGUCGUGGCUCCGCCCCAUCCCCGACGCCCUGAAGACGCUGCGUGAGGAAGGUCUGAUCGCCGCGUCCGUCCUCUUGGCUGUACACCAUCGACGGGUACUCCUGUUGAUGUCUCGACCGCAGAGAAUGGACGAGAUGGGUCCCGGCGUCUCGUCUCGCGACCUCGAGGCAUGCCGAAUGUCCAAUGAAGCACCUGCAGACGAGGAGGUUGCCGCCAGGGUUAGGGCGACUGUCGCCGGUGAUUUUGAGCCAGAGCACGUCAACGGCUUCCCCAUGAAACCUGACGAGGGGUCGAUCAACCUGGUAAGCUCUUUCAAUUGCCGUUGCUCAAUUUUUUAUUUUUCCGAUCCUCCCUGGGACUUACGCCUGCUCGUACAUGGACCGAUCGAUGCUCGGUCCUCGAGGCCUCCGGUGAAGGAGGACGGUGUCGAUCGUGAGAGGAGACGCGAGUCCGCGGAGAAACAAAAGUCCGCAAAGGACUUAGAAAAGAAAAAAAGAGAAGAAGAAGAAUCUCGAGCGGCAAGCGCUUGAGAAAUGUCGUGCGAAAUCGAGGCAAAAGGGGGAGUCCGAGGAGGAUUCUCCUGACGCGGAUGACGGUAACGAGGGCGACGACGACAGCAAUGACUCCGAGGGGAUGGCGGCUCGUCUUGAUAGAAUCCUCGAGGGCCCGCCGCAAGCCGACGUCGACGUCCCGCGGACGGGGGCUCCUAAGAGGACGUCGGGCGGUCCCCACGAAGGUCAGCAAAGAGAGUCCUCACCGCGCCGUUCCCGCGCCGACACCCCUCCGGCGCCCGCACAGGGCCGGACCGUUUCCCAGCCGCAACCUCCUCCCGCGCCUGGAGCGGGCCACUGGGUCAAGACUAUGGCGACGGGGCCAUUGACUCGCGGCCGUGCCGCCGUGGUGGCCUCAAGUCAGAGGGAAGGAGGUCGUGGGAGCUCUAGCCCCGGCACUCGCCAAGCGGGAGACGUGGAUCCGAGGCCCACGCCUGCCUAGGAGAAGCCUGGGAUCUCGACACGGGGCGGCUCGAGGCCAGUUGGUCGAGGGACUGGUAGGCGGGUUGUUCUUCCCGUGGGGUAAGAUUUUUACGUUGUGACUUUGGUUUUCUGAUGUCUUGCCCCCUCUUUGGUUUCGGUUUCUCUUAGGCUAUUCCCCAUUUUCUUAGGUUGAAGCGGCAGUUAGAAUAGGCCUAACCCUCGAUGGCCAAGAAGCUAAAAGUGGGGGCGGUCUCCAGAGGCUCGGGUGAGUGAUUUAUUCUUCUUUCUGCGGUACUGGAGUUGGGCCAUUCUUGUGUCGAACUCCUUUGCGACUAACGUAUUGUCUUUGGGCGCACACAGGUUCCUCUGAUCCUCGACCAUCGACGGAUGUCGAAAGAACACCGCCUCGGCCGUCGGAUGGGGGCGACGUCUUUGGAACUGCCCCGCUGUCACCAAGGCGGGUCGAGACACCUCGUCUCCCAGAUCAGGAGGGAGCCCCGAGCCUCCCCAGUCUGGUGGUAUGAGCGACCCCAUCACCAUCAGUGACGGGUCCGGCGGCGAUUCGCUUUUGAGGGAGGUUCGUACUGCGGACAAGGGAGUCGAGGCUUCUCCUGUUGGGAAGCGGAUGCCAUGGCCCAUCGGGCUCCACUCCGUCGAGGAGAGGAGGAAAAAAAGAAGAGGAAGGGCGUAAGGGAGGGGAAGAAGAAGAAAAAGAAAAGCAGCAGCGGCAGCAGCAGGAGGAACAGCUCGAGGAGCAGUUGGAGCAAUGACGGCAGCAAGAGUUGCUGGAGCUUCAACGGCAGCAACAGCAGUGAAGUCAGCAGCUGGAAGAGCUACUUGAACAGCCACCGCGAAGCCUGCGCCAGCUAGUAUUGCCAUCGCCGCAAGGGCCUGAGACCGAGGAGGAGGGACUGACGGUCUAUGGCCCGCCGACCCCUACAUGGCUCCAUCAAGGGGGGCCAGCUUCUAUCUCGACCGAACCUGGGUGGGAGGAUGGUGUUGUGGCUAUCGCGUGUGCUAUGCGCACGCCGGGGUCCGAAAUCAAGGGCACCCUCUAUGGUAUCGAUGGGAUCGCCUCAGGGUUCCUCCGAGAUCGGCGGCCGUGGGAGGAUCUCAGCGCCGAGGGGGGGGGGGGACAAUGCCGGCACUUCUGGCGGUGGUGACGCCAUUGAGACCAGGAUCUGGGGGUCGGUGGACGAUGAUGGGCGGUUCCCUUCUCUCAUCGACAUAUUCCUGCGCCACGGAGGCUCGCUCGAGACCGUUCAAGAGCUUAUUGGAGGCGUCAAGGCGUGCACGGAGGAGGAGAUGGAGAACUAGGGCCCCGAUUGGAUCCGUCUUCGAGCCUCCACCUACCCAGAGGAGCCCAACAUUAUGAUGGAUGACCGGAAGGAGGCUGAAAAGUGGGAGCAUCUCGAGGAGCUUCGGCUUUGGAUGAAGCACGUCAUGGGCCUGAUGUCGGAUAUUGUCAACAACGGGCUCGACCGAGCUUUCUUUGUAAGUAUCCUUGGUGCUUAGCUAUUCGGGUACCUAAUCUCGUAUCCUUAUUGUUCGGCUACUCGCUGCAGGAUCUGAAGGAGACCUCCCGCCUAAAGUCGGGUUUUAUUCACGCGACGAGAGGCGGUUGGGAACAGCUCCCUCUUCUCAAGGAUCAGCUUCUCGAGUCGCAGGAAAAGCUUCUCCGGGCAUACAAGGACCUCAUGGCGGCUGCGGAGGAGAAGAAGGAGAGUGAGGCUACCCUGGCAAAGGCUCGGGAGGCCUCGGAGGAGGCGAAAGAAGAGGCUGUGCGGCUGAGGGAGCGGACCGCCUCGGCUGAGGAGACUACUUCCAAGGCCCGGAAAGAGGCUAUGCAUUACAAAGGUGCAGCCGCCGAGCUUGACAAGGAGAAGAGCCUCAUUAAGUUAGAUCUCGCCUCCGCCCGAGAGGCCUAUCGUGAGAUAAAGGAAGAGUGCGUGAAGAGCGAGAUCGCUCGGAGCGCCGUGGAGCAGGCGGGGAAGAAGGUCCGUGAGGACCUCGAGGCGGAGCGAGCUCAUUCUCGCAGCCUCUCUGACGAUGUCAACCGUUUGAAGAGAAUGCUGCUGGAGAAGGAGGGAGCCGUCUUACAAGCAGGUAAGAUGAUCGAGGACUUGCAGGCCGCAAACACUGACCUGGCUUGCUCUUAUAAGGACAUCGAGAGGGCCAACACCGACUUAGUUGGUGAGAACACGGCUCUCGAUGAAAGGAUCCGCGGUGAGUUUCUCCAUACUUUCGUGUUUCUUUUGUAAGGUAUUUCUCUUGUGUUGCCUAACUCUCUUGUGUCGGCCUUUGUAGGGCUUAAGGAUGAUCUCCUGGCUGCCCAGGUCGAGGCUCGUUCUACCAAGGCUCAUCUUGAGGAGGAGGUUGCUUUAAAUGGUCGACUAAGGACUACGAUAAGCGACCUCUUGGCCUCCUGGUAGCUCCAGCCUAUGGAUGAGUCGAGGGAGGUGGCCCGAGGUGACGCGCUGGUCGACUAGCUGUGCUACUUAGGUGCCACGCUGAGGGAUCGGGUGCGGGACGCUCUUCAUAACGGGGUGAAGCGAGCGAUGGCGGUUGUCUGCUCGGGCUUCUCCUACGACAUGGAGGUGGUGUCCCACGGCUUCAUCACCGAUAUCUCCAAGACCGACGCCGAGAACGAGGAGAGGCUCCAUGCCUUGAUCGACGAUGCAGAGGUCCCUGGAGAAAGGCUGGUGAGGCUGUUCGAGCCAGAGGUACUCCCUCCUAAGACUAGCCCAGGCGCAGAAGGUGGCGGUGAGGACAGAGAUGUGGACUGAGGCCUGCGAGCCUAUUCUGGGUAUUUAGACCCGUUGUAAAAUACUUAUCACAUGUCUUAAGUAAACAUUGUGGCCUGAAUGGUCUUGAGACCUGUAUAUAUUUGUUUAUUUUUAUGCUCAAAUUUCCUUUGUUUCCUUUUCUACCCAAUUCGAUCUUUCGUUGAGGUGUCUUCGAUUGCCUUAAAGGUGAGGAAGCGAGUAGAGUUACCAUAGCCCGGGGGCGUAAGGGUUCUCAGGCUCGAUGUUUCUCCACCCUUAAGGGGCUCGAGGUGCCUUUGUUACUUGAUCUCACGGGGUUUUCUUAGGGCUCAAAAAGAAAAAUAGUCAUUUUAGGAAUCUGGGGGGGUCCCCCCUGCUAGCCCCUGAGGAAGUAUCGACUAUGAUGGAUCAUAGUUGGGACUUCCUCUCUAACGUCGAGAUUUGAGCGGUGAUAGCGUAAACUUCUCAAAAAAAAUUUUCUUGUUUAUUCACAUAUUCAUUCAUAGGGUCUUGGUACAAAAUGUGCAUGAAAACAUAAAGCUUCGAAGCUCUAAGGGUAGAAGCGACGUAGUUGUUCGAUGUUCCAUGUGUUGGUGAAGACCGAUCCUUUUUCGUCUGCGAGCUUGUACGUCCCCGGCUUCAAGACUUCGGCCACCACAUAUGGGCCUUCCCAGGGUGGAGUCAGCUUGUGGCGUCCUUGGUUACUUUGUCGUCGUCGUAGGGAUACCGUACCUUGGUUUCUGAGAGCACCUCGCUAAUGAAGUAGACCAGCCGUUGGACUGGUAACGCGUGUCCUUCCUUCGGCCUUUCGACCACCACAGCUGCACUAACCACCUGAGUUGUCGCAGCGACGUAUAACAGCAGGGGCUCUGCAGGCUGAGGGGGAACCAGGAUCGGGGUGGUGGUCAGCGUCCUUUUCAGGUUGUCGAGGGCUUUCUCGGCCUCAGGGGUCCAGGAGAAACGAUCAACCUUUUUCAAGAGCCGAUACAGCGGCAACGCCUUGUCCCCUAACCUCGAGAUGAAACGGCUCAGUGCCACCAAGCAACCCGUGACUUUUUGCACACCUUUGACGUCUCGAAUCAGCCCCAUCCUUGCAACAGCCGAAACUUUCUCAGGAUUAGCCUCGAUGCCGCGUUGGGAGACUAUGUAACCUAGGAGCAUGCCUCGAGGCACGCCGAAGACGCACUUCUCAGGGUUAAGCUUGAUUCCAUUUGCACGUAAGCAGCCAACGGCGAUCUCGAGGUCCUAAAUCAGGUUGUCUUGCUUUUUUGAUUUGACGAUGAUGUCAUCGACAUAUGCCUCGACCGUCGAUCCUAUGUAUUCACCGAACACGUGGAGCAUGCAUCGCUGAUAUGUUGCACCAGCGUUUCGAAGCCCGAAGGGCAUGGUCACGUAACAAUACAUCCUAAAAGGUGUGAUGAAAGAUGUCGCGAGCUGGUCGGAGUCUUUCAUCUUUAUUUGAUGGUAACCAGAAUAUGCAUCAAGGAACGAAAGGGUUUCACAUCCCGCGGUAGAAUCAAUGAUUUGAUCGAUGCGUGGUAAAGGAAAGGGAACUUUUGGACAUGCUUUAUUCAAACUCAUGUAAUCGACACACAUCCUCAUUUUCCCAUUCUUUUUCUUAACUAAUACAGGAUUUGCUAACCAGUCAGGAUGAUGAACCUCCUUGAUGAAUCCGGCCGUCAAAAACUUGUGGAUCUCCUCGCCAAUGAUCUUGCGUUUCUCCUCGUCGGAGCGACGCAAUUGUUGCUUCACUGGCUUGGAACCGUCCUAAAUUUCCAAGGAGUGCUUGGCGACUUCCCUCGGUAUGCCAGGAAUGUCCGAAGGACUCCAUGCAAACAUUUCGUCAUUCGCACGGAGAAAGUCGACGAGCACGGCUUCCUAUUUGGGGUCGAGGUUGGCGCUGAUGUUCAACGCCUUAUCAUCGGAGCCGUUGGGGUCGAGUGGGAUCUUCUUCGUGCCUUCUGCUGGUUCGAAGCUACCCACAUGACGUUUGGGCUCUGGAGCUUCAGCGGCAAGGGCCUCGAGCUUCGAGGCAAGUUCGGUAGAGCUCUCGACUGCUUCUCUGUACUCGACGCACUCGACGUCGCAAUCGUACGUGUGUUCGUAGGAGGAGCUGAAGGUGAUGACCCCCUUGGGCCCAGGCAUCUUCAGCUUCAGGUAGGUGUAAUUGGGGAUAGCCAUAAAUUUGGCAUAGCCCAGAUGUCCGAUGAUGGUGUGGUACGUGCCGCGAAAUCCCACCACUUCAAAGGUGAUUGUUUCCUUCCUGAAGUUGGCCGCCGUGCCGAAACAGACCGGCAGGUCGAUUCGACCUACCGACAACGCCUUCUUUCCUGGCACGAUGCCAUGGAAGCUGCCCGCGCUUGGCUGGAGCUGCGCUGUUUCGAUGCUGAGGAGGUCAAGGGUCUCGAGGUAAAUGAUGUUUAGGCUGCUGCCGCCAUCCAUCAGUACCUUCGAGAGUCUGGUGUUGACGAUGAUGGGAUCGACGACAAGCGGGUAGACAUCGGGAGCGACCACCCUGUCAGGAUGGUCGUCGCGGUUGAAGGUGAUGGGGGUGCUCGACCAGUUGAGGUACUGGGGCACCGCCAUCCUUGCCGCAAAGACCUCGCAGCGCUCCCUCUUGCGCUGCCUCGCGGUGAGCUGCGUCGAGGUUCCACCGUAGAUCAUGUAGCAGUCGUGGACGGCAGGGAAUCCCUCAUCUUCUUUGUUUCCCCCCUUGUCGUCGCUCUUGUCUUUCCUUUGGUCGUCUUUCUUCAGCCCUGUUGAUGCAAAAACUGGUCUGCAAACACAAAGGGCUAAUACCCGAUUGAAACGUUAAGGCGUGCCAGCCGAUUUGACCUUACUAUCGGCAAAGGUGAUAACUCGAAUACUUUAGUCCUGACAACAGCGAUGCGCCCGGAUGUCACGGCUAAGAGGUACUCACGCGGAACUUGAGAACACGCCGAGCCUAAGUCGACGAAUUCCUAAGAACUCGUAAUAAAAGGAAAAAGUAUGACGAAGUCGUCGAAAAAGCAGAUGCUGGAAUAUGAGUAAAAACGUGUGUUUGAUUGAUUGAUAGAUCAUUACAAGGUCCUAGGGUCUAUAUUUAUACCCUACUCAAAGAGCUUCAACCAGACACGACUAGAACUCGAAUUCCAAAUUACACGGAAUCCGUAUACAAAACGACUUAAAUAAAUAAGGAAAUAACAAAGCUAUCCCCCCGUGACGAACUAAAAUUCUUCCACAAACCGACCGGCAGCUUCCGGACUCCCCCCUUGUAUCAUCGGCAGACUCCCUUGCCAUAAUCACCGGCAGGCUUCCUCAUCAUAGCCAUCGGCAUAAACACACCAUCGCCCGUAAACUUAAUCAUGUUCAACUUCUCCUUUAUCGGCAGCCAUUCUCAUCGGCAACUCAUCCUGUAAACCACAUACUGCCUGUCUCAUCAUGCCAUCCUGGACACGUGCCCAAAAACGGUGUCAACACAUGCCCCCCAAUUUCGGAGUAUGAAACUAUUAAUGCUCCAAAAUUCUCUGCAGUAAUGAUGCCUUUUCCCGCAAUUAAUGCUCCUAAUCUGGUAACCGACAACCUCAAUCUGAACAACUCCGAUCCUAUUCUCCUGCAGAUUCCUCGAAAUCCUUAACUUCCUGAACGGGCAUUUCCUUCUCAUCCGCAUAUCGACAAUUCUGAACGGGCAUUUCCUUCUCAUCCGCAUAUCGGCAAUAUUCAAAAUCUUCAAGACCUCCGACAAGCACUCCUCCUCAUCAACUCCGGUGCCCUCAAACGCUCUCCUCGCGGCAAGAUGGCCAUUAGCUUCGUCGUCCCUGAGGUCAGAUCUCCACCCUGUCUCCUGUAUUUUUCUUCAUCCGUAACUCAUUUUACUGAAUAUUUUCCUUUUCUUCCCCCUUUUUAUAUAUUUCUUUUACUCCCAAAACCACUAGGAGCUGUCUAACAAAAUUGUCAUCCCCACCGAUCAACCACACCUUCAAUGCCUCGGCCCUCUAGGGGACCCAGAUCCAACUGAUCUUAUUAACGCAGAAACCAACAGGAUCCCCUUCAGAGCCGAAAACUUUUCUUUAGAUCUGUGGAAAGACACCUUCCGUUCUUGGCCCAGCCCUACCGUAGGGUGGAAAGAUUGGUUCUUGAGGGUCAGCAACUCCAAUGAAGUCCAGUGGGGUGAGAGAAAGCUAGAUCAAUGCAUUAGGUUAUCCAUUGCCGAUAUAGACAGGAAUGAGUCACUGUUGAUAGCUGCGUCUUACUUUUGGUCAGACACCCUCAAUGCUUUUGUCUUUGGCCACGGCCCUGCUUCCUCUACUCUUGCCGAUGUAGCCAUGCUCACCGGUCUAGAUGUAUCUUCUGCCGAUAGCACCCACUUUUUUGAUACUGCUCCUAGUGCCAAAGUGGAGACUCGCGCUAUCGGCGGCUGGUCAGGGUACAUUCAGAAGUAUCGUGGGAAAGGGCCUGUCACCAUAAAGGAACAAACCACCUUUCUGAACAUGUGGCUGGACAAGUUUGUAUUCUGUGGUCGAUCGGCAGGACCGACUUCCGUCUAUCUAUCGGCAGCAGAGAGACUGGCUAACGGUGGCCGAUUUCCUCUCGGCCGAUACUUGCUUGGUGCUGCUUACCAUCUUCUCCAUCAGGUGGCCCAGAAACUCCUGCUCGGCCAGUCUAUCGGCAACUUGGGAGGCCCCUGGUGGUUUAUUAAUAUGUGGCUCAAUCUGCAUCUGCAUAAGCGCCUCGACUUUAACUUGUUCACACAACGUUUCCCAAGAGAUAUAGCUGAAAAUCAUGUGUUGGGUGAAGAAGAAUCGGCAACACGCGCCCCCUUGAACUUUGGCGAAGCUGUCAUAGUUCUACCUGGUUCAGGGGGUAAUCCAGAUCAGAUCGGCCGAUUCUUCCAGAUUCUGUAUGAGGGCUUGGCCAGAGAUGAACGACCAUGGUUGGCCUAUGAUGACCCAGACAGUAUGCUUCCCCUGGCCUUCAAUCCAUUUGAUGAAGCUCUUGACAGGGAUAAUGAGGUAAUGAUGGCAAUUGUGACUCCUAGAGCCAUACCAGUGAAUUUCUUUGGUAGCACAAAAACCUCUCCCCAAACUUAUGAAUUUUACAAUCCAUCGGCAUUAGCUCGUCAGUUAGCUUUCGGCCAGUUGCCGAUUGCGCUUUGUUAUGCCGAUGUGAUAAAACCCAGAGAGCCCAUCACCAACUUUCUUGAGUGGAUUCGAGUAGCCCAACUACCGCCAAACGCCGAUACAGAUGCAGAUCUGUCAGAAUGGGUUCCAGCUGCUUUUAUUACUCAGGCAUACAAGCUAUGGUGGGCAGAAUGGAAAGAGCAUCUAUUCUGCAGAUCAGCCCUUUCGUACCGCGGCAUGAUUGACCCCAAAUACCACGUCUCCGACGACGCUGUAAGUAGGUAAUGGUUAUAGGCCAAGGCCUACUUUUAUUAGCGCUAAGUUAGAUUCUGAGUGUAAGCAACAAUUAACUGAUUUGUUAAAGGAAUAUAAAGAUUGCUUUGCUUGGGAUUAUACCGAGAUGCCUGGUUUAGACCGAUCGAUCAUUGAACAUCGGUUACCUAUCAAGUCUGGGUUUCGGCCGCAUCAGCAGUCAACACGCCGAUGCAAUCCUAAUAUUCUUCCUGAUAUUAAGGCCAAAAUAACUAAACUUAUUGAAGCUAAAUUUAUUCGGUAGUGUCGGUAUGCUGAAUGGAUUUCCAAUGUUGUCCCUGUUUACAAGAAGAAUGGGAAACUUCGUGUCUGUAUUGACUUUAGGAACCUCAAUAAGGCCACACCGAUGGAUGGUUAUCCGAUGCCGGUUGCCGAUUUAUUGGUUGAUGCAGCAGCUGGACAUCGGAUCAUUAGCUUCAUGGAUGGUAAUGCAGGAUACAAUCAAAUAUUUAUGGUUGAGGAGGAUAUUCUCAAGACUGCAUUUAGAUGUCCUGGUCAUGUCAGACUGUUUGAAUGGAUAGUCAUGACUUUUGGCUUGAAGAAUGCUGGUGCUACUUAUCAAAGGGCUAUGAAUUUCAUCUUUCAUGAGUUCAUCGGCAAGCUGGUGGAAAUUUAUAUUGAUGACGUGGUGGUUAAGUCUGGAGAUUUCACAAGGCUUCUAGCCGAUCUGCGAAAGGUGUUGGAGUGCACAAGGAAGCAAGGUUUAAAGAUGAAUCCUAAUAAAUGUGCAUUUGAUGUAUCGACAGGGCAAUUUCUUGGUUUCAUGGUGCAUCAAAGAGGGAUUGAAAUUAGUAGGAGAUCCAUUGAUGCCAUCAACAAUAUAGUUGCUCCCACCAAUAAAACUGAACUUCAAUCAUUGAUCGGCAUUAUAAAUUUCAUCAGACGAUUUAUAUCUAACUUGUCUGGUAAGAUUCGUGCUUUUAGUCCUUUACUUAAGUUGAAGGCCGAUCAAGAGUUUAUAUGGGGAAAAGAGCAACAGUUAGCAUUGGAUGAGAUCAAGAAUUAUUUAAUAAACCCUCCAGUUUUGGUUCCACCACAGCAAGGAAAACCCUUCAGAUUAUAUUUAUCUACCGAUGGUGUUGUCAUCGGUUCAGCUCUAAUUCAAUAAUUUGAAGGGAAGGAAUGAGUGAUUUAUUAUCUAAAUAGAAGACUUGUGGAUGCUGAAACAAGGUAUUCGGCAAUUGAAAAGUUAUGCUUAUGUUUAUACUUUUCUUGCAUCAAAUUAAGACAUUAGUUGUUACCGGCCGAAUGCACUGUUAUAUGCAAAGAUGAUGUCGUCUGAUACAUGUUAUCAAUGCCGAUUAUGAGUGGUAGAAUCGGCAAGUGGAUAUUAGCAUUGUCGGAAUUUGAUCUACGAUACGAGUCGGCUAAGGCAGUUAAAGGGUAGAUUAUGGCCGACUUCGUAACUCAGCAUUGCGGCGUAGUGGAUGCUUUGGAAAUCGUCCCUUGGACGCUCUUCUUUGAUGGGUCUACAUGUGACCGGGGGUAAGGAAUCAGUAUUGUGCUAAUUUCUCCUCGAGGAAAGAAAUAUGAGUUUUCUUUGCCGAUUGUUGCCGCAUCGACGAAUAAUCAAGCUGAGUACCAAGCUUUAAUCAAAGGGUUGGAGUUAUUAAAUGUGGUUCAUGCCGAUGCUGUUGAAAUCUUCGGUGGUUCUAUGAUUGUUAUAAAUCAGUUGGUUGGAAUUUAUGAAUGCCGAAGCGAGGUUUUAAUAACCUACUAUGAAAAGUGCUCACAACUUUUAAGGGAAUUCAAAGAUUUCCGAUUGGAGCAUAUUCCUCGAUUGCAUAAUGAAGAAGCCAACCGAUUGGCUCAACACGCUUCGGGAUAUCAACCCAUCUUGGACAUAUUAUCGGCAAUCAAUGCCGAUGAUUGGAGAAAAGAAAUUAUUGAUUAUCUGAAGGAUCCAUCCAAGAAAGUUGAGAGGCGUGAUAGGUUUCAAGCUACAAAAUAUGUAUUCCUUGAAGAAGAGUUGUAUUAUCGAACGAUAGAUGGAGUCUUGCUCAAAUGUUUGGGUGAUGAUGAAGCUAAAAGCUUGAUGGGUGAAAUUCAGGAAGGAGUGUGUGGAGCACAUCAAUCGGCUUUCAAGAUAAAAUGGAUGAUUAGGAGAAAUGGAUAUUAUUAGCCGACUAUACUUGAAGAUUGCUUUAAAUACUUGAAAGGAUGUCAGAGGUUUGGCAAUAUUCAAAGGGCACCCGCAUCGGCCAUGAAUCCCAUUAUCAAACCUUGGCCGUUUCGAGGUUGGGCUAUUGAUCUCAUCGGAAAAAUUUAUCCACCAUCAAACAAGGGGCAUAAGUUUAUCUUAGUUGCCACUGAUUAUUUUACUAAAUGGGUAGAAGCUAUUCCUUUGAAGAAAGUGACAUUGGCCAAUAUAAUUGAUUUUGUAAAAGAACACAUUGUUUACCGAUUUGGUAUUCCUCAAACAAUCACUACCGAUCAAGGCACUAUGUUUACAUCGGGAGAGUUUGAUGAAUUUGCAGUCGGUAUGGGGAUUAAAGUGUUGAAUUUUUCACCUUAUUAUGCUCAAGCUAAUGGACAGGCUGAGGCUUCUAACAAAGGGAUUAUUAAGCUUAUUAAGCGAAAAGUUGAAGAAAAUCCAAGAAGAUGGCAUACAUUGUUAAAUGAGGCUUUAUGGUCGUGUCGGAUGGCGUGUCAUGGAUCAACCAAAGUUUCACCCUAUCAGUUGGUAUAUGGACACGCUGCGGUGUUACCAUGGGAAAUUUAGACUGGAUCUAGGAUGUCUUUUCAAAAUCAUUUAACUACCGAUGACUAUGCUACUUUGAUGAAGGAUGAGUUGGAUGAUUUGGCAGAGCAUCGGUUGGGGGCUUUAAUCAGUAUAGAGGAAAAUAAAAGGAGGGUUGCUAAAUGGUAUGAUAAAAAGGUGAAGGCUAAAGAGUUUGCCGAUGGAGAUUUGGUGUGGAAGUUAAUUCUACCGAUUGGGACUAAAAGUUCAAAAUUUAGAAAAUGGUCUCCUAAUUGGGAAGGUUCUUAUCGGAUAAGUCGGUCUGCUCUUGGCAAUGCUUAUAUUUUAGAAACUAUCGAAGGAGUUGAAUUUCUCAGAGCGUUAAAUGGAAAAAAUACUUAAAGAAAUACUAUCCUAGUAUCUGGGUUGACGCAUAAAAGUUCAAAUGUCGAUAACACUCCUAUCGGCUGGAUGAAAUGUGUUUGGGAUCAUGCAUAGUGUUUAAAAGUGCCGAUAACAGUCCUAUCGGCUGGACCAAAAUGAUUAGAAGUUUUCCAAGGGUAAAAAUUGAACAAGUUGCCGAUGAAGAGCUCACAUAUUCAGUAGAGCUUGGAUAGUAGAUAUGGCGCGCAGACGGAUCUGGUUGGCCUCUCCUAUCUCUCGCAUGUCUUCAUCGGCAUAACCCUCUAUCAGCUUGAGCUUCUUUUUCAUCUACAGUGCUUUGCGAGCUUGAAUAUUUCUUUCUUGCUGAAGAGUUUUAAGCACUUCAGGGAGCUGGCUUUCUUCUUGCUGAGAUUGAGUCAUGGCCUCUUCUACUUAUUUGAGCUCAGCUAGUAGGGCUUCUCUUCUUGCCGAUAGAUCGGAAAUCUAACGCUUUAGCUCAUCCCCUGAGGACUGCAGAAUGCCGAUGCUUUUGUAUUUUUCAUCAGCGGCGCGCUUUACUUGCAUCACUUCUUCUAUGAGCGGGGCGUGAGUAGCUUUAUCGGCAAGACGUUGAGUGACCUUUUGAUAUUGGAGCUGGUAGCUUUCUAAGUGCGCAGCUUGGAAGAGGACUUCUUCUGCAUCGGCUAGGAUCUAACCACGAAGAGUCUUGAAUAAAGCCUUGGCUAGAUCGGAAUCGUCUACUAGCUGGGCUGUAUCUUGAUGCAGCAGAGCCAACAAGUCUUCUAGCUUAGAUUUAAUCUCUGCCGAUGAGAUUCCCACCGCCUGAGAAGAGCUUGCUUCUUCACCUUCAUCAUCGGAGAUGUCGAUGGCAAAGGAGAACAGACUGUCUGGAGAGUCUUGUUCCUGAAAAUGGAAAAGGAUAAGUUGCCCGUCGAUCAAGUGUUAAUGAUAUAAAGGCUAAGAGAUCAAGUAACUUACUUACUUCAGAAGGAUUUCCUACCUUUGGCGUGGGGAUGCAGCCGGUACUAUGCGUUGAUCGGCUGGAGUUGCCGAUGGAACAACUUCAACUAAGAAAUCACAAGGGUGAUUAUGAUUUACAAAAUAAGAUUCAUCAGUGAUAAUUCUAUAAUCAAUACUUUACCUUGAGGAGGUAUGGUGGUCGUUUGUUCUGGAGGGACGACCGAUGAUGUGCCCAGAUCAGUCGGAUUGGCAACCUGUUCAGAGAUAUCGGCUGGUGCUUCUUGCUGCUGGGGUGCUUGUCGGGGAGGAGAAGGUACUCCUUUUGUCUGAGCUUUCGGUGAAGAAGGGAUGAUUCUACAUGGAUUGGUGAUACUGGCCGAGGAGGAAAAGAUGGUGCUGUCCUCUGGCGCUUUGGUUGCGACUUGGUGCUUUUGGGGCCUUUUCUCUUAGCUUGACUAGGCUGCGGGGCAUCAGCGCUUUAUGCUUGGGCCAUUCCGGUCUUAGCCGAUUUGCCAGUUUUCUAUUGCAACAACCAAAAAUUUCAUGAGUGAAAGCAUAAAAGAAUACUGAUGAAAUUUUGCUGAAAAAUAAAGUUACGAUGAAGUUCCCGUUGCGGCUGAUGUACCCUGAAAAGAUGAUAAGUAUAAGAUGAAAUCGGUGCAAGCAAAGGAAAUUAAGGAGUUUUACCCUGAAAGCCUGUGCUAGCAUAGCAGCGGCUACUUAUGGGGAUAAUUUUGACCGUUUGGUGGUCGUCUUCUUGAAACACACGUUGCGGUGUGUCAGAGCCGCUAGACUUGGCGCGUGAUGACCGAUCAAAGAGAUUGGGCCUGAUUGGAGAAGAUCGAUCGGCUUCCCACUCCUACUGACUGUUGGUGCUGGGUUGUCGACCUGUUGAAGUAAACAAGAGAACAAGUAAGUUGCCGAUAGGGUUAGAAAUAACAGGAGGAUCAAAGUAUUGGUAAAAAACUGACAAUGUCAUCGGGGACUUUAUAAUCAGGGUCGAUCAUGCCACGGUAUGUGUGGGCCGACACGCUGAAAAGGUGCUCCUUCCAUUCUUCCCACCACUGUUUGUACAGUUGAGUAAUAAAAAGAGCCGGCAACCAUGCCGAUAGAUCGAUGUCUAUCGUAUCGACAUUUGGUUCAAGCUGAGCUAUCCUUAUCCAUUCCAGCCCACUGGUUAUGAUCUCCCUUGGCUUCACCACAUCGGCAUAACGGAGUCUGAUCAGCAGUUAAACAAAAGCUAGUUGACGGGCUAGUGCCGAUGCGUUGUAAAAAUCAUAAGUGGGACUAGUGUUUUUCCCACCACCAAAGGUGUUCACUGGGAUGGCUCUCGGAGUGAUGAUUGCCAUCAUUAAAUCAUUGUCCUUAUUGAGAGCAUUGUCGAAAGGAUGGAAGAUGAGUGGGAAUCUGGUUUCUGGAUCUUCGUAAAACAUCCAUGCUUGUUGUUCCUUGGUAAGGCCAUCAUACAAGGUCUAGAAGAAUUGGCAGAUUUGGUUUUCGUUGCAGCCAGUGCCGGGCAGAACUAUAGCAGCCUCACCAUAAUGGAGGGGCGGGCGAGUUGCCGAUUCAUCAUCAGCUAGUUCAUAAGCUUCGGCAAUAUCGUUGGGGAAUCGAUGUGCAAAGAGAUCGAACCGAAGGCGUUUGUGCAUAUGAACAUUAAGCCACAUGUUGAUAAACCACCAAGGGCCUCCUAGGUUGCCGAUGGUUUCACCUAACAGAAGCUUCUUAGUCACUUUGUGGAGGAGGUGAUAGGCAGAACCUAACAAGUAUCGGCCAAGGGGAAAUCGGCCGCCAUCGGCUAGGUUUUCUGCUACCGAUAAGUAGACAGAGGUUGGUCCUACAGAUCGGCCACAGAAGACGAACUUGUCUAGCCACAUGUUCAGAAAAGUGGCGUGUUCCCUUUGCCCAACUGGUCAUGUCCUCUAGUACUUUUGGAUAUAUCCUGACCAACCGCCGAUGUUGCGGGUUUCUACCUUGCGUUCAGCUUUACGGUCGUAUAGAUGGCCGUCAUCGGCAGAUGCAAUAUCUAAGCCACUAAGCAUAAGCACAUCGGCAAGAGUGGGAGAAGCCAGGCCAUGACCGAACAGGAAAGCAUUGAGAGUAUCUGACCAGAAGUAUGAAGCAGCUAUCAGUAGUGACUCAUUUCUAUCCAUCUCGGUAAUGGAUAGCCUGAUACACUGAUCUAGUUUGCAUUCACCCCAUUGUACUUCGUUCGAAUUGCUGACUCUCAAGAACCAGUCCUUCCAUCCCUUGGUGGAACUUGGCCAGGAUCGAAAGGUAUCUUUCCACAGAUCUAUUGAAAAAUUUUCGGCCCUAAAGGGGAUUCUAUUGGUUUCUGCAUUGAUCAAAUAAGUGGGGUCUGGGUCACCCAAUGGACCGAGGCAUUGAAGGUGAGGUUGCUCGGUGGGGAUGACAAUUUUUUCGCUCAACUCCUAAAAGGUUUGGAGAUUGGAAGAACAGAGAAAGAAAGAAAUUGCUAGUAAAUAAACUUGCAAAAAGGUAAAAGCACGGUAGAGAGAGGAAAGAUGGGAAUAGAUUAUCGUCAGGGACGAUGAAGUUGACGGUCAUUUCUUCCCGGAGAAGAAGAAGAUCGGAGGCUUGAGGAACUGUUGGAGAAAACCUUUGUUGGAGUUCUCGGGCUCUUCAACAAUGCCGUCGCCAGAAGAGAUGGGUUUGUGGGAUGCAGAAUGACAAGGUGGAGAAGGAGUGAUGAGGAAGGAAGUAUUUAUAGGAUAAAGUGAGUAGGGGCAUUUCUGACUUAUCUCUUUGCCGUAUCCGUAAAACUUGAGGGUGUUUAGGUGGAUAUGGUAAUUGUUCGCACGGUAAUCAAGGGAUUGUGCAGGUGAUUUGACAGCAAGCGGUCAUGAUUUUGGGAGAUAUUUUACUAUGCAGGAUCUCCUGGUCGGCUCAUCGGUAGUCCACUCUAAUGGAAAACUUGCCGAUGAACGGGUGUUUAGGAGAUUCGGUUCGAGAAGUUGAGGGAUUUGAGGUGCAUGCUAGAGACCCAGACUAAGGUUGUUUGGAUUUGAUAAUUAAUUGCUGUCAGAAGAGAGUAACUACGGAAAGGCAUCAUUACUGGAGAGAAUUUUGGAGCAUUAAUGAUUUUAUACUCCAAAAUUGGGGGGCAUGUGUUGAUACCGUUUUUUGACACGUAUCCAGACAGAUAGUAGAACCUGGAUCGGUAGGUGAAAAAGUAAUGACUGGUUGACAGAGGAGUAAUCUUUCCCUGGUACGAAAUUUAGUGCAUNNNNNNNNNNNNNNNNNNNNNNNNNNNNNNNNNNNNNNNNNNNNNNNNNNNNNNNNNNNNNNNNNNNNNNNNNNNNNNNNNNNNNNNNNNNNNNNNNNNNNNNNNNNNNNNNNNNNNNNNNACCCAGCUCUCACUGUAACUCUUUAAACAGAGUAUAAAUAUGGACUUGUAGCGAUGUAAGAAUAUCACAAUAAAUCAAACACAAGUUUUUACAUCUAUUCCAGGAUCUACUUUUUCGACGACUUCGUCAACUUGCAUAUUUUCUCUUUUACUUACGAGUUCUUAGGAAUUCAUCGAGUCAACCUCGGUGAGUUCUCAAGUUCCGCGUGAAUACCUCUUGGCCGUGGCAUCCGGGCGUAUCGCUGUUGUCGGGACCAAAGUAUUCGAGUUAUCACCUUUGUCGGUUGUAAGGUCAAAUCGGCUGGCACGCCUUAACAUUGAAUCGGGUAUUAGCCUGUUGUGUUUGCAGAUUCACUUUUGCAUCAACAGGUACCCAGGUUUUUUUGCCCCUCUUCAGCGGUGGGAUAUAGCGAUUUCCUAUGGUCCUCUAGCAUGUGCUCAAACUUGGCUUUCUCUUUUUCACUUUCACAUUCUCUUUGUGCAUCACGGAUGACAUCACCAAAAGCAUUCAUUGCCCCGAUCAUGUUAUGCCGCUACCUCUUCUUCAUUAUCUCCCCCCAUUGCAACAUCAUUGAAGCCACCAUACUGAGCAAUAAUGUUGGCGUGGUCCAAUUCUUCUUCUUCUUCUUCACCUUCAUCGAUUAUAAUCCCGCUUUCUCCAUGCUUGGUCCAACAAAUAUAGUUUGGUACGAAACUAGUCUUUAAUAAGUGCGAAUGAAGAGUUCUUGAGUUAGAAUAUUCCAUCAAAUUCUUGCACACGGCACAUGGACAACACAUGAAACCGUCCCUCUUGUUUGUCUCGGCCACACUUAAGAAAUAGUGCACGCCAUUAAUGAACUCUUCGGAGCGCCGAUCGGCAUUAUACAUCCAAUUACGUGUUACCAUCUGCACUAAAUAUAACAUAUAUAUUAUGAAAACCAUGCACACAUAUAGUUUCUCAUCUUAUUGCAUAACAUGUCUAACACACAUAGUUGAUUAAUUCAAGCAAGCUUGGCUACCACAAAUACAAUUGCAACUAGCACUAAAAAAACCAAAACUAAAAUGCACUUAAGCAACAUAAUUAGUUCGUGUCUGAUCCCAACUAUAAUAGAUAGAUCAUUCGCUUGAUCAACAUCAUUGAACUCCUUUCGCUGGCUCACUGCCUCAUCACCUUCAGCCUCAACCACCCGUGCAAAAUACUUCUUGAUGAGUUGAAUGUAUUCUUCCUUCUAGUACCAACCUGUACAUCCGUCGGUACCAUCCCACUGAAAUUAAAAGAGAGAAUCAAAAGUUUAAUUAAUAUCAUUAAAAAAAUAAGCACAUAUAUAAGCAAAUGUCUAGAAAUAACUCACAGUACGAUCCGGACACUUGUAGAAUAUACGACCCUUGUUUACUCCCUCUUUCGUCACUUUGUACUCCAUCACAAUCUUCUGCCCACACUUGCCACAAGUAAUGAGAGGGAGUUCUGGCCGGUAUCGCUUUUAAACCCGUUGAGAGACCGAAGACCCGGUCACGGUUGCCAUCUACUAUCCAUACUCAAUUUUUAAACUACUAUAAAUUCGACAUUUACUAGUAAACAUGUAUGAUUAAAGAAGAACCUAAUAAUAUCCUUUAUUUGUCUAGUUACUUCAACAGAUCUUUUAUAUUAUACAAUGGACAUUAUGUAGUAAUAAAAACUUAUCAAGUGAUAUUAACAAACCAAUUAAUUUGAACUAUCCUACUUUCUAAGAUCAUAAAAAGAUACUAUAAUUCAUUCUUGCAAACUACAUUAAUCUACUAGGUCAACCAUGAAAUAUGAUAUAUAUAUGGAUACUAAUUCAAGUAAAUGAUUCAAAAUAACAAAGUGGAUUUGAGCUAAAAAUAAUGGGAAAAUCACAAGCCAAACACAACAUGACAAUGACAAGAAAGGAUGCAGUUAGUCACCUCCAAGCACAAAGAUACGAUGAUGGAGUCGAAAAAGAUCAACGAUGGGCGUCGAAGAUGAAGAACAAAGGAAGACCAAGCAAAAACAACAAAAUGGAAGCUCUAAGAACAACAAUGGUGCUCUUGGUUUCGAAUGGACAGAGGGGAGGAGGUAGCUGGCCUAUAAACUAGACCUUUAGCACCGGUUCGUGUUACAAACCGGUAAUAAAGGCUUUGCCUCGGCCCAUGGCACUGGCCGGUGCUAAAGGGGACCCUUUAGCACCGGUUGGUAACACUAACCGGUGCUAAAGGGUCCCUGCCCUGACAGCACCUGUCAGUAGCCGUUGGGUAGGACCCUUUAGCACCGGGUCGCAAAAAGGCCGAAGUUUUUGGCAAUUUUAGGCAUCAACCAAUGCCUCAUUCUGUAGUAGUACUUCUUGGCUGCUGGUGAGGCCCCAAUCCUCCAUCGGAAGUGUCUGCUGGAGAGGCACCAAUCCUCCAUCGGAAGUGAUUGCUGGAGAGGCCCAAUCCUCCAUCCGAAGUGGCUGGUCGAGAGGCCCUAAACAUCCACGCCGGGAAGCUGCCUCAGGUAUUUGCUGCCUUCUGGGAAGUUGCCUACUCGUCUGUACAUCCCCAUUAGACUAGCAGAGACAGGCCAUGUUUUUGUUAAUAUCAGUUUUACACAAUACAUACUUGGUUCUUUUUUUUUGAAACGAAACAUACUUGGUUCUUUGAUGCCCACUGCAACUAUUACCACGUCGAACAAUUGUUUAUUUUCCUUUAUGUUCGCUUUUGGUAGUUCCUGUUUGCCAGUGUACUUUGUGGGUCUGAUUAGGCAUCUCAACCCAGGCGGCAUAAGUUUCUAUGAUUCUAGCAAAUUCAGUUAGUAAUUGAUGUUCCUGCUUUCAACCAAAAUUGUACGGAUCAUUCUAGCUAGUUUAAGCAGUAAUUGAUGUUCAUGUUUAUGGUAAAUUUGAUCAUUCUAACUAACUUUAACCGUCAAUUUUAGCACCUAUAUUCACUGUCCACAUUGCUCGUAAAUAUUACUGUAAGUUUUUAUAACUAUUCUCAGUGCAAAAAAAUUCUCGUAAGUGCUACUGUACGCUCUCGUAACUAUUCUUAGUGCAAAAUCUCGUAAAAAUUACUCAGUACACAUUCUCAUAAAUAUUUAUUACUGGAACGAAUUCAUACUAUUGUCAUAAAUAUGCAUGCCACAUAACUUACUGUUGAUUCUUUAAUAGAAAAUGAGGCCUCCUAAACUUGUUCAGGGGAGAUUGAAAUCAUUCAACCUACACACUACAUAGGAGGAUUUCAACAUUAAUAUAAGUGACAUCACUGGUGUAUCUCAGACACUACCACCUCAACCAGUUCAUCAGCAGGCAGCUCAUUGUCCAGGAUAUGCGAACGUCAAAGCCUAAUUUGCUCGCAUAUUUGUAGUAAAACUCUUUAGCUUCAUCAACACUAUUGAAACGCAACUCAUCAUUUGGCACUAUUGCUUUAGGCAACAAGGGUUCCUAUUUCACAAACAACAACUUUACCAUCACACUGAACAUCUUCUGGUCAUAUAGUGCAAAUUAUCUCAACACUGUGAAUAAAUUCUAUGUACACAUGGUAUAUACCACAAUAAUUAAAACUUAUCCACUAUGAUUAUAGCAGUUCGUAUCAAGAAAAAAUUACCAGAAAUGGCACUAACAAACAUUUACGACAAUUUUCACUAAUAAUAUUUACGAGAUAAUGUGAUACAAAAUAUUUUGUACUAAUUAUAAUUUUUAUGAGAAUUUACACCACCAAACACGUACGAUAAUUUUCACUAUUAACAUUUAUGAUAAUCUACUUUAAGAAAUAUUUACGAAGCUAGUAAAUACACUCACAUGCAUGUACGUCUUAUCCUUAUCAGGAGUCACCAUGGUUGCCGGCGAUACUGGUUGAAGAGGAGUCACCGGCCGUAACUAAUCUUGCUGGUGGAAGGCAUGGAGAACGUGAAGAGUUGCUCGCUGCUGUCCCAUUUGGCAUCGGCGUCGUCAUCGACGUCACCGGUGACGCUGACAACCCAACCUGCACCGACUCUGUUGACUGCUCAUCCUGGCCGCCCUGGAUGAACAUUGCCGAUGGAACUGAUGAGCCCCCAGCCGGCGAUGUUUUGGUGACUCAUGUCUGAAUCUUGAUUCUGAAUGGGUGCAUUGGAUUUAGGAUACGUACAUGCAAGCACUCAACGCCAAUAAUCAAGCACUACUGCCGGAAAGUGUAAAAUGCACCUACGCUAAUUAGGUACCUGCAUGCAUAUGCACUAGUGCUACAUGAGCGCAACUCAUGCUACUACUUCAAGCAGCUGCCUUGAUCAACGCUCCGGUAAUUCUCUGUACCGGUAGUUAACGUUCCUAGCAGGCACAGUCAUUAAUUACUAGACUGGAUGGAAUUAUGGAAAUCAACUAGCGCACGGCUGGAUAGGCAUCACUGCCGGUGGAUGGUGCGGUCAGAUUGGCCUGGCUACAGAAUAUGGUAUUCUGUAGCUAGUCACAGAGUAUACUCUCCCUUAGAUGUGUUUCUUUGUAGCUGGCUAUAGAAUAUCAGAGUGGACCAAUCGAUAAUAGAGGAAAUGUUGCAUUAUAGUGAAAAGAUGCCGAUGAGGAUCAGCCGAUGGAGAGUAGUGCCGAUGAAAGAUGAUGAUCGAUAGAGGAGUACUAUUAGCCUAAAGUCAAAGUGUUGGUUAAUAAAGUCAGAGAUGAUGUUUGCCAAUUCAGGUGUCAUCGCUGAUAAAGCUUAUGAUGCCAUGUUGCCGAUGCCGAUGAAAGAUGUGAAGGCUACUGCUGUUGAGACUUAUGCCGUAUUGUCGGUGCCGAUGACGAGAGAUAUGAAGAUUACUGUUGAUGAGGCUUGUGACAUGCCGAUGGGGCAGGAGUCGAUGAAAGCUUCAUCGUGAACGGGAUGGACACAAGGAUAGAUAGAUAUUGUUUUCUUUUUCUAUAUUUGUUAGAAUAUACCUUAAUGUAAGAGUCCUGUUUUAUCUUAAAAGUUGAGUUCUAGUCGUAUUUGGUUAUAACUCUUUAGACCAGUGUAUAAAUAUAGGCCAAGAGGUGAUGUAAAAGGACAUCAAUCAAUAUCAAACACAAGUUUAUUCCUAUUUUUGCAUCUACUUUUCAACGAGUUCGUUAGUUUACAUACUUUUAUUUUUACGAGUUCUCAUCGAUUCGGCAAGUUGCGCUCGACGAUCCUCGAGUUCCGCAUGAGUACCUCUUGGCUGUGACAUUCGGGCGCAUCGCUGUUGUCAGGACCAAAGUAUUCGAGCUAUCAUCCUUGUCGAUUAAUAGGUCAAAUCGAUUGACACGCCUUGACAUCGAAAUCGGGUAUUAGCCCUUUGUGUUUGCAGAGUUAUUUUUGCAUCAGCACAUCUUUUGGCACGCCCAGUGGGACCAAUUCAACAUCAACAACAUGCUUACCUCUGAGCUUGACACGGACAACAUCAUCGGUGUGACCGAAGCAGAUCUUAGAGAAGAACAGAAGAAAGCCAUGAAAAAGGCUAUGGAGGAGUACAGGCAGCUUUGUCUGAAGUCUUUCAGCCUGAACAGGAGUGGAGAAGUCAUCCAGAAAUAAGAUCUACCAUUGCCUUAGCAGGUUACCUUUGAUCCCAAUCCUGGUAAACUUCAAGAGAUGGUUAAUUCUAUAAUUAAUCAUGCUUUGAUUAACCACUCCAACGUGCUGUCCAACAGUGUCUAUAACACCGUGAUUCGAGCUUUCAAAGAGGUAAUAGCACCACCACUUUAUGCUGGCCUAGCCUAUCAUCAGCUAGGAUUAUCAUCGGUUGUUGCUCCAUUGGCUUAUUCAGCCGUUGUGGGUACAGAAGUCACGUCUCCUCCAAGUACGGCAGGGGUGGUUAAUGAACACUCUACACCGAUUUGAUCAGAUCCGAUCACUUCAGGAGGGCGAGUUCAACUCAACACAGAUCUAUCGGCAUUAGCUAUGUCAGGAUCUGUGUUCCAAAACAGUUAGGUUCCUCCUAAUUGGUGGGGGUAUGGUAUGCCUCCAGAGUUUUUGGCAAAUAAUUCUGGAUUAUCGCAGGCACCUGAUACAACAGGGAAGGUUCCCAUGCCAUCGGCUCCUCUAGUUUCGCCGAUGACUCAAGUGCCUUAGUUUUCCAUGACAACUACUGUGUGACCAGUUGUUGGGAAUUUUCAAAUGCUGAGAAUUCAAGUGCCUAAUGCAAGCUCAUCGGCAUUGUCUCAGGCAAGGUAUGUCAAUCUAGCAAUGACAGCGAAUUACCUGCCAUCGGCAAGUCUUGUGCAGAUGAAUGCCAAUAAUGGUUGGUUAGGACAGUUACCCUUUCAACAUACAGCACAACAAAAUCAUUAGGUUGUAGGGGUUCAGCAAGGUCACAUGUAGGUUGGCUUUCAGAAUCAAGCACUGGCAACUCAGCCGAUGAAUCUUGCUCAGCAGAUUGGAGGGGCACAUGCAAUGGCCAAUAUGCUGUUUGGUGGAGAUCAUGUACCGCAGAGACACGUGGAAGUAUAUUAGCAGAUGCCAGAAAUUCAGCCAGCACAUCGGUAGGAUGCUGAUACUUAUUGGGCCGAUAAGAUAGCAGAGAUCAUGAGAGACAAGUUUCGGAUAAAGCCCAAGGUUAAUACUUACUCUUAUCGAACGCCGUAUCCUCCUGCAUAUGACCUGAUCCCUCUUCCAAAUCAGUACAAAGUGCCAGAAUUUACCAAGUUCUCUGGACAAGAUGAUACAUCGACAAUGGAACAUGUUAAUCGCUUUAUUAUUCGAUAUGGGGAAGCUGCUGUUGACGGUCCUUAAGUACUAAAAUUAAUAAUCAAAUAAACAUGUAAAAGGAUAAAUAUGAAACAAACAUCUAGAAUUAGGGUUUUAUCUGACAGAAUUCCACGAGCUUUGGUGUUUAUCUAUUUCUGCAGGGGGUUAUCUGAGAAUAUGGAGAGAAGGCCCACAUGUCAUGUUUACAACGAGAUAAUUACGCGCCGCGCAAUUUUUCUCAAUCUAGAAGAGUCCAGAAGCCACGGGAAGGAAGCGGAGGCCGAACGGGGCCAGAGGCAGGGCGCCCGCCCUCCUGCCCUGGGCGCCCGCCCUGGGUUGGACUCCAAUUAGGACUCUGUUUCGGGGCUAAACUCCACUGACCUAAAGGAUCAAUCUAAACCACACAAUCAAUGUCGGUUUGAUCUGACGGCCCAAAUUCACUUGAAAAGACUAUAUAACCAAGGCCUCUAGUCUAUGCCUUGAUAGAUUUUGUCUAGUCUAUGCCUUGAUAGCUUUUCUCAUUAGUAAUCAUGUUCUUGCAAGUUUAUCUCUAGUCUAUGCCUUGAUAGAUUUUGUCCUUAUCUUAAUUUCAUUCCUUAUCCCCUUGAGCAAAAUUAUAAAUAACGAUACCUGGAAUACUUUAUCCUAGUGAAAUGCUACAAUGAGGUGUUUUAUCUGUGCGCUUGCAGAUAGAAUAGAUUAUUUUCUAGAGAGCCUUUACAUUUAUAAAUACCUUUGUACACUCUAGCACCACGGUGGGGAUGACAACCUAGUAUCUAAGUGGUGUUAGCUAGUGUCAACAAGCAUUUCUGGCGCCGUUGCCUGGGAACAAAAGGGUAAGACAUAGGAACGGUAAGGAAAGUCAGGAAAUCAGUCGAGGCUAUUCAUAUAAGAUAUUAGACUAGACUAUAGAGAAAUAAUUGCAUAAAAACAGCUACUAAGUGAGAAAUCAUAACAAGGCACCUCUGCUUUGGCAGGUUCACCCUGUUGUUUUUCUAUGUUUAUAUUUUUACACAGGGUAUAUCAGGAUUGACUUUGGGUACAUUCAACUCUUCAUCAUCAGAACCAAAGCAAUCAAGAGAAGAAGAAGCUAGCUACCAAUUGUUGAAGCUAUGGCACAGAAGACCUUACAAGAAUUCUCUGCUCCAAGCCUUGAGAACAUUCCAACUAGUCCAAGAUUGGCAGUAGAAGAAGGAAUAACCGAGUUUGAGCUCAAGUCAAGCCUCAUCAAUUUGGUGCAAGCUACACAAUUCAGUGGAAAGGCACAUGAAGAUGCCAGUGCACACUUGCAGAAUUUCUUAGAGAUUGGAAGCACAAUCCACAUCAAUGGAGUUGACAAAGACGUCAUACUGCUUCACCUUUCUCCAUUCUCACUAGAAGGAAAAGCGAGGAAGUGGUUCUACACUCAUCAAGUUAACAUCAACAACUGGACGAACUUGUCAGAUGCCUUUCUAUCAAAGUUUUUCCCUAUAGGCAAAACAACUGCCUUAAGAGGAAAUAUGGUCAGUUUCCAACAGCAGAAGACAGAAGCCAUUUCAGAAGCAUGGGAGCGUUUUCAAGGAUACAUAUCAGAUUGUCCUCACCAUGGAAUGGCCACAUGGUUACUUAUGCAGACCUUCUACCAUGGAUUAACCCAGAAGGCUUGUGAGUGCCUAGAUUCAUCUGCUAAAGGAUCAUUCUUGGAGCUUACAACUGGAAAUGUAGAGAUACUUUUGGAUAAGAUAGCAGAAAAUCAAAGCUGGUUCCAAGAUAAGGCUCAACAAUGUCAUCAAACUGAAGAAAUACCAGAAGAAGUAAAAGCAUUAUCAACUAAGACGGAAAAUUUGCUCCAUUGGAUUGACCAGAGGGCCAAGUUCAAAGAAGAUCAAAGGGCCAUCAAGACAGCAUACAAAUAUCAACCAACUUCAAGUCAACCCAAUAGCAAAGGUAUGAAUUCAGGUAAUACUUUCAAGCAACUUUCAUUAAAAGAGAUAAUUGCUCAACAAACUAAAAUUAAUGAUGAUGUUAAACAAAGGCUAGAUACAAAUGAAUCAUCUCUAAAAGAUAUACACAAUAAAAUGGAUUUUCUAUUAACUGCCUUUGACGAGCAAAACACUCUUAAUAAAAGGGUAGAGCUUAAAUUAAUAAAGUUAACUGCUGCACUGCCUGUUGCUACUAACAUUGAGCAGGUAAAGAAUAUAACUACUAGAGGAGGCAAAGCCACCAGAGAUCCACCAUACCCAAAAGAGAAACAAAGAACAUCAGCACCAGUGCAACCAGUAGUGAUAGAAGAAGAAAGCCCAGUUGAAGCAGAAGAUCUGCUCCAACCACCAAGAACUGGAGAAAUGAGGAAAGAUUUUUACGACACCAACUAUUUGCCAUUUCCCAGAAGAAACAGAGGACUGCAGUCGGAUGAGCAGUUUGGUAAGUUUGUAGAGGUCAUUCAGAAAUUAUAUGUCAACAUACCUCUGCUAGAUGCCAUACAGGUACCUACAUAUGCAAAGUACAUCAGAGAUAUUCUUAACAAGAAGAGACCACUGCCCACCACUGAGGUUAUCAAGCUAACAGAAGAAUGUAGUGCGGCCAUCCUCAACAAGCCACCAAAGAAGAAGGAAUAUCCCGGAUGUCCCACUAUUGACUGCUCGAUCGGAAACCAACACUUCAACAAUGCACUUUGUGAUCUCGGAGCAAGUGUCAGUGUGAUGCCAGCAUCAGUCUACAAAAAGCUUGAGCAUGCGACCCUAGAACCAACAUCAGUGUGCCUACAAUUAGCGGAUCAACCGGUUCGACACCCUCUGGGCAUCGACGAGAACAUUCCAGUCAAGAUCAGAGAUUUCCUUGUGCCAGUAGACUUCGUAGUACUAGACAUGAGUCCUGACUCAAAAGUGUCCAUCAUCCUUGGAAGGCCAUUUCUGAGCACUGCCAAUGCCCACAUUGAUGUCGGGAAAGGAGAAAUCAAGUUCAACAUAAAUGGACAAGAAGAACACUUCACAUUCAAACCCAGACCAGAGAGAGACUCUACAGUGAAGGAAGUUCAUGAAGAACCACUGGAGACACCAUCUCUGGAGGAAGGUAAUUCAGAAGAUUAAAAGAUUUGGAGGUCCAGCUUGGGGGACCUAAAAAUCCCAAACCCUCACCGGGAGGUAAAUCGGUAUUUAUCCGCAUUAUUAAUUUUCUCAUAUUUAAAUUCUUGCAUUAGUCAUAGCUUCAUUAUAAUAAUCAAAAGCCCCAUAUAAAUAAUGUUCAUGGUGUGUAACAACCCAUAUUUAUUAAUUAUUGUGGAGGCACAAAAAUAUUUUCCAUAAUCAUUUUAAUUAAGUUUCAAUUCUCAUAGAUUUUCCUGCAUUAUAUUUAAUUAUAGUAACCUUCUAGAAGUAUGACUCACACUCCUUGGGUCCCACAUGUCAUACACUUCACCUCACAUACAUCCCAUCACAUAAUUUUAUCCACCAAUAUGUUUCCACUCACCAGACAUCUUUCCACCGUCCAACCACCACCAACACAAUAUUAUUGUGCGUGAGAUCAAAGCAAGGAAGCAAGUAGAGGAGGCACACCCUGGAUGGGCACCAGGGGCGGGCGCCCGCCCACCUACCCAGGGCGCCCGCCCUGUUCCCUGCUCAGCCAAUAAAUAGCCACCUCCAGCUCCCCUUCUCUUCACACACACAUUUCAGAAAGCCUUGCAAACUCGUAGGUCUUGGUUUCCAGAGAAUAGCUCUGAGUGUGAGAAGGUUGGGAGUUCUUUUGAGUGAGAGAGUGAGUACCACCUAGUAAGUAGUGAUCCCGUUGUCUAAGUGGAAGUAAAAGUUGUUUAGGGGGAGGCUCUACCAAAAUAGAAACUUGUCUUGAACGAUUAACCCCUAGACUACUGACAUUCCGGACAGCUGACCACUAACAUUUUCUCUCACAUUUCCACUAGUUGUGUUUUUGCCAACUUUUGUUUGCAGGAUGUUUAAAAAGCUAAAGAACGCAGGGAAGGCUCUCAAGAACAUUGGUACAAGGAGUUCAGCCCGACACUCCUCACAUCCAUCAGAGAUGAGCGUCGACCCUAUGCCCACACAAGCUCCGUCAUCUUCAUCUGGUCAGCAAGUCAAGGUCCUUCUCAAGAUAGGAGACCUUGGACUGAAGACCCGAAGAGAGAAGGAAGUCUAUCAGCAACUGAAAAACAAAGAUUUCAUUCACACCCCUACUCUUGAUCCAAUCUUACUACAAGAAACAGGUAUGGACACUGAAUUUGACUUAAUCUUCUAGAUGAUAGGUUGGACAAAUUUUUGGAAUAUAACUGAGCUAGGUUCUCGUGUUCUCACCCUCGAAUUUCUUUGCACUUUACAAUACUAUGAGGGGGGAAUUGUUUUUCAGAUGUUCAAACAGGAGAUUAUGUUGUCUUGGAGAGAGCUGAGCGACCAUCUUGGUUUCUCUUCAAGAUGCAUCCUAAACAUUGACUCCGACUUACCUAACUUUGAGAGACACCAGUUUUGGAGAGAAAUAUCUAGAGAUAAUUUUUAUAGUCAAGCCCGAACCAGUGACAUGGAACACCCCACUCUUAGGAUGUUCCACAAAUGGCUUGGGUGCAAUCUUUUCUAUCGUGAUGAUAUUAGGAAAGUAAGAGUAGGAGAUUUACAACUCUUAUAUGCUGCUAUUAAUAAAGUACCUACUUCACCUAUUACACUUUUAGUUUCUCAUUGGCUUAGUGUACCUAGUCUUCAGGGACCAGUAGGAUGUACUUCACUUAUCACUCGUCUAGCCUCUAAUCUUCACUUACUAGAAAACUCAUCGUUGGACUUCAUAGAUGAGUUAAGAAUUUAUCAUGGCUAUGACACAUUUAGAUAAGCUCGGAUGUUAAACAAAGAGGGGAAUGUAAUGUAUAUGCUAUAUGAUGAUAAAGGCAAGAUUCGGUUACCUAACCCGAACCUUGGCCUCUACGUUGUUCAAAAUUUUUUGAUUGAGAUUGCAGCAACACCGGUGAAUCAGAGAGAUCCACAACGAGUGGCAUGUGAAAGGAUGACCACCCAUCGAGAAUGCACCUGGUAUGGAGCUGAUCCCGGGCCAGAAGAAGCAGCGCACCUGCAUUAUUGCGACUACAACCCUCGAGUCCUUCGAGACCCAUGGGUUCACAUUCGCAACCACAAGAGCCAAUAGAGGAGACAUGGCCGGAGAGCCAAGAUCACCAGUGGACAAACCCGCCUUUUACGGGCAGGUACUCCACUGAUCCAUACGGAGCUUCAGGAUCUAGACCUCCGCCCCAAUUUGAUGCAGGAUGAUACUCCGACGCCUCCUACGCUUUCACGAAUGACUACUACCAAGAGGCCGGUGCUUUCUUCACCUGUACUGACAACACCCUCCUCGACAUCCAGAACACGCAAGCAGAACAUGGACGACUCCUGGAAGAGCAACAAAAAUGGAACCAGGACCAUGCCGCUGCAGUAGAAGAGCUGAGACAAGAUACAACAACAAUGAACGAUAACAUCACAACCAUGAUGCGGUUCUGGAACAUUGGGUAAGACCGACAACAACAUCCAGCUUGGGGGAGUUCCUCCCAAAUUUAUCAAGUAAGUUUUUAAUUGCUCUUCUUAUUUAUUCUUUUCUAUUUUAGUGUUUUAUUUAUCUUAGAGAGAAAAAACUUAGAAAACCCAAUAAAUAUUUUCUUGCUUUAAUUUACUACAUUCUAUAAACAUGAAAACAAAAUAAAAAGAGUGUGUAGAUAAGUGUGCUUUAUUUAUCUGCUAAGUUUAAUCUCUAGAAAAGAUAAAAAGACAAAAAAAAAUACAUGAUGGAAAUGAUGAACAGUUGCUCUGUUUGCUUACUUACAAGUACCUAGCUUUUAUAUUAGAGUUCUUCCAAGAAUUACUAAAACUGAAAUCACUAUCUAUGGGAAACAUGAAACUAAAAGUCUAGGUAAGAGAAAGGCAUGAUAUAAAGUUUGAGCUACUGUUUAUCUUGUUUGUACUACACUAAGUUCUGGAGAUUUAUUUUGAAAACUUACAAAUCACAUGAUGAGUUCCUAGCAUUGCAAACUACCUACCACAGCCAUACUUGCUAUAACAUCUUUUGCUAUUUACAUUAAGUUUGAUCGAGCUGUGUAGACCCUUAGGAGCUUUUCAUGUGGUUAAAUUAAGAUAUUCACUUGCACACAUCUACCACAACAUUAAUCACCAAUCAUUAAAAUUGCUAAAAAUAUUAUCACUCACUGUCCCAAAUAUUGUUAUUCUCUCUCUCUAAAAAGAUUCAAUGCAGAAGAGGCAUGGGUUAUGCAAAAAUAUGCUAGGAAAUAAAAAGGGGCAAGUGCCCGGAACCUCGAAAAAGAAAGAAAAAGAGUGAGACGAGAGGUAAAAAUGGACAAGUGUCCAGAGUAGAAUUAGGGGUACAAAGAUGCCCACUUGAGCGAAAAAAAAUGGACAAGUGUCCGAUAGUAGAAUUAGGGGUAUCUACUACCCAUCUGAAAAAAAAGAGAUAGCCCAUGUUCUCCCAAAGCAAAGAUCAAAGAAGAGAAGAGGUAGCAAUAUGAGGAGCAAUGAGAACUAAGUUUUAUUAUCACUUAUACAUUUUUACCAUCACUAUCAUUUACUCCAUCACACAUGCACAUCUUGAUUUAAUUAUAUGCUGAGUUCCUUUGGAUCCAUGGCUCGAUUAGACAACAUAUGUAUGAGCUGUUUUUCACUCCUAUGAGCUCCACUUAAAUAUUCCAUUAGCUAUAGGUAAGUGACAUUAUGGUAAGGAUCCACAAAUACCACAUAUAGAGAGACUUGAGAGAUCAUUGCUGGGAACUCUGAGUUUUAUUUUGAAAACUUAUGAAAAACUUUAGAACAAAAGUGAAGUAUAGACAGGAGGGAUAGUGCUUGACUUAACUAUUUUGUCUUUCGAUUACUUAAGACUUAAGUGCAGGUACUAAAUGUUGACGGUCCUUAAGUACCAAAUAUAAUCAUCAAAUAAACAAAGACAAGGAUCCAAAUACAACCAACAUCUAAACUUAGGGUUUUAUCUGACAGAAUUCCACGAGUUUUGGUGUUUGUCUAUUUCUGCAGGGGGUUAUCAGAAAAUAAGGAAGAAAGGCCCACAUGUCGGGUUUACAUAGAGAUAUUAUCGUGCCGUGCAAUUUUCUAUCAUCUGGAAGACUCUAGAAGCCACGGGAACGAACAGGAGGCCGAACGGGACUAGGAGCAGGGCGCCCGCCCUCCCCCCUUGGGCGCCCGCCAUGGAGUUUCAACCAAUCACGCUCAAUCUCGCGGAUUAUGCUCCACCGACCUAAAGGAUCAAGAAUAACCGUUCAAACAAUGUCGGUUUGAUCCAACGGCCCAGAUUCACUUGAGGGGACUAUAUAAGCAGACCCUCUGGCCCCUGGAGGAGGCAACCCUUGAUCAUUAUUCAUUAUUCAUAGACAGAGCAAAAGCUAGGGUUUAGAGAUGAGAGCUCUCCUCUCUUCUCUAAACUAGAGUAGAUCUAGAUAGUAGCGAGAUGGAGAGCGAAGGAGGAUUAGAGGAGAGGCCGGCCUGUCGGUUCUUCCUCUGGUUGUACUUUGCCAUGAUCAAGCUCUAAUCAAGCUUGCUCAUGGGAUGACUUUGGUAAUCUACUUCUAAUUCAUUAUGCAAUUACUAAUCAUGUAUGUUCUGGUUCACAACUCUUUUGAGUACUUCUAAUCUAUAGGACCCUAUAGGUUAGAGUUGUAGUAUAGGUGUAAGCAUGGUGCUUAGACCUAGAUUACUUGUGGAUAUCCCCUGUCUAGCUGGAUCGUGUGGUAGGCCGCGUAGGUGACAGUUACGUUGGUCCUCUGUAGUCCACCUCUCGUUAGCAGGACGGGUAGGGUUUAUCGGCCUAUGGAUAAGCAUCCUUUGUGGUGUACUCUUAUCACGUGGUUCGUCCCAGACAUAGACAUAUCCCUUUGAAGUAGAGAAACCAUAGUUAUCCUCUCUAUUCUGCUACCAUCGCCCAUAUACUAGAUUGCUCAACUCUCUAUUCCCCUAUUAUUACUCAUUGUUAUCUUACCUUUAAUAUUGUUCUUAUUCAAUUCUACCAUCUUUCCUAUUUACACUUAUCUAUCUAUCUUGGUUAAGUUAGAGCGUAGUUGGUUCUCCGUUUCCCUGUGGAUACGAUAAAACCUUUAACCAGGUAAAAGCUUCAACGGUAUCCGUGCGCUUGCGGAUUAUCUGUGUGCGUAUAAAUACCAUAGUACACUCUAGUGCCAUGCUGGGGAUGACAACCUAGUAUUCAAGUGGUGUUAGGAAGUGUCAACAAGCAUUUUUGGCGCCGUUGCCGGGGAAACGGUUGUUGAGUUGACUACGAACUAGCUUAAUCAUUUUCUAAAAAAAUAAUAUACUUUUCCUUUUAUCUUUUGCCUGAUCUGUGCUAUUCUUUCUUCUUAUCUAAUCCUUGAUCUCUGGUCUAUCAUAAAUUCAAACAUGUCUAUCUUUGAAUUUCAUAGACCUACGGGCACACAUCUCGAUCCACCAAAAUCUUCAAAGCCUAUCACAGCAUCUAGUUUUGAGAUAGACCCCGAAUACAUAGAAUUUGUUCAAAAACAACCUUUCUCAGGAGAAGGUAAGGAAAACCCAUACACGCACCUAAGAGAGUUUUAUCGAGUCUGUGACCUCCUUCGCAUAGGAGGCAUGUCCGAUGAGACCCUUAAAUGGAAGGUCUUUCCGUUCUCUUUAAUAGGAAAAGCUAGACAUUGGUAUAAACUCAAAGUAGGGAGUGUUCAUGGAGAUUGGAAGGAGUUACAUAAUAGUUUUCUUCUUAAAUAUUUUCCAAUAUCCAAAGUGGCGGAACUUCGACUUGAGAUUAUUUCUUUUAGACAACUAGAAGAAGAAUCUCUUUGCAAAUCAUGAGACCGCUUUAUUAACCUUACUCUCACUGGCCUAAAGCUUUCUAUUCUAGAAGAAGUUCUUCUAAUUCACUUUUUUGAGGGCCUUAGUAGGGAAGAUAAGCAAACCCUUCAUGCGGCCUCUGGAGGAUCUUUCCACCACCUAUCUGCUAGUGAAGCUUGGAAUUUGAUUGAUUUAAUGAGCGGAAAGUCUCCUAGCUUUUAUAUCCCUGAGAAAGAGAUAGAACCAGUUCCUAGACAAGAAGAAGAAGUUUCGAUAGCCAGAUCACAACCACUUCAAUCCCAAACUUUAGCUAUCGAUCCUAAACCAUCAAUACCCAAAAAUUUUCCAAGGGAGGAAGUAAUUCCGACUUUAAAUCUUUCAGAUACUGAUGGUUUAGACUUCUGGUUCCAUAAGAGACCUUCAAGUAGGGAUAAUUCAAAUCCUUGCAAUAAUGGUUCUCUUAGAGAAUGUCCUGGUUCCUAUUAUGAAGAAGUCGAGGAUGACAAAUCAAGUGAAGGAGAGCUAAACCAUAUAGAAGAUUCUAUCUGCUCCCCUUCCAUGUUCACAAAUUUUAAAUCCAUCCUUGACCUUAGAGACCCCUCUUAUCCCUCUACUUUUAAGUCUCAUGAUAAUCCUAACAAUCCGUCAAGACGAUCAAACCAUAGGAGUCAUAAAGACCAUGAGGAUGACAUGUCAAGUAAUGUCAUAGAAGGAGAGCCAAGCCAUAUAGAAAAUUCUAACACCUCCCCUUUCCUGAUCACAAGUUCCAAAUGGCUAGAAUGCGUAGAAUGGAUGGAUAAGGAAGAAGCCUUAAUGGAUUCUGACUUUGGCUCAAUUUCAAAUGCUGAGUUCUUGACUCCCUUUGAAAAUGGGAUUCAUCCAACUAUAGAAGAGGACAUAAAUGAGACCAAUCCAGGAGAAACUCCGAACAUUCAGAUUGGAGACGAAGAUAACAUUAAUGAGCAUGGAAUUUAUUUCAUAGCCACUCCGUUUGCACCAUGCUCAUAUGCAUCAUCUUCCCAAUCUAUUGGUCUCCCCAACAUCACCACAUUUGAGAUCUCCAACCCCCUCUUCCUUUCUAUUUAUAAAAACUUUAAAAGGGCGGUUGUCGAUGCAUAUGUCUAUAAUAAAUAUUGUAGAUCUCGUUGAGUUGAUCUUGAUAUAAGUCAGCGUUGGAAGGGAAACCACUUCGCCGACAUAAAUUGAUGGUUUCCCAAGGACAAGCUUAGUGUCCUAAAAUAAACACUGAUCAGAUCGUAACAUGAGCUUUUAAUUAUUUACAACAUUACCUUGUGUAUUGAGCAUAUAAGGAUAAUUGUAAAAAUAUUCCUUCGGGUAUUCUUGUCACUAACCUUUCCAGGAUUGGAGCAAGAAGAUCGGAUGAAUGACAAGCACAAGGUAUGUCCAGCCAAUCACCAUACAACAUUGAAUUAAAUUCAUCCAAACUUGAAUUUUGUAAAAUUCAAGCUUGGGGGAGUACCUUACAUAAAAAUAUCCUUUGCCAUUUUGCUAUGUUGGUUGUCCCCACCUUUGUGACAUGCUCAAUUUGUUAAAUACUAAUCACACUACUUCAUCUCCACUUGAGUAGAUGUCUAUAAAUGCUCUCAAGCUACCUUUAUUUGCUUUAGUAUAUGUCUAGGUUUGGAGUAGUUUCAUUUAUCUCUUAAUUAAGCAUGGUGCUUAGUUUACGAAUGUUGAUCUUACUUCCAAGGGAUUUUAAAUUAAGCAUGGUGCUUAGGUUAAAAUGCCCACCUAAAUCAAAUUAGACAUGGUGUCUAGGAUGAUUUUUGAGCUGAUAGUAUGCUAUAGUAGAUAUUAGAUAUUUUGUUGGACUAACCCCUGCAGGAAAACUUUCAAUAUCGACCUGGGAAGUCCUGAGAUAAACUCACAUCAGAGACAAAGAGAGAGACACAUGAAGUUUAACAAUUUACACAAGGAAGACAUAGCUCAUAAGAGAUGACCCAUGGAGGGUGCCACAAACACGUUGCACAACCGCUAAGAAAGGAAAGCUUCCACAAGGUGAUACUGUACCAUCACUCUUCAAGUAAGGUAACGUCUUAAGGUACAUGAAUAUCACUUUUAUAAGCUUCUCCUUGGUUCUGGCGUUCACAUGAAUAAAAGAGACAAACAUGUAUAGUCCUUCCACCGUUUUGAUCCCACACUCCUAAUCAUAUGAGCUAAAAUGUUGCACAUUCAAUCUUUGAGAGAUAUAAAGAAAAAGACAUAUACAUAGAUAGAUUAUCUUUCCAUAAGGUUGAGCGAUCUGAUCUGACAAAUGUUUUAAAUGCUACACUCAUGAUCUUAUUAUCCAUCAAAUUUGUCUUGCUCACUAUGCUUAAGGUUAGAGAAGAACAAAUACACUUUUGGUUCUGUUGGUGUUUUCCACCAACAGGACCCAUGCACUUGAUCUCUGCCUUGUCUCUAUGAGCAGGUACACUUCGAGCAAAACAUGGAGGAGUUUUAUAACUCCCAGAUUCCACCAAGUGAAGGACAUGGAUCUACGAGGACAAACACACUGAGCAAGACACUGCCAACACCGCACUUCGAACUACUGGGCAAACAAAGAACAUGGGUGACACCGUAUUAAGAGGUGCAGACAUCAAGGUCCACACCUGAAUCAAAUGACGCACCUGAAGAAUGAACACGGUGAGAAGUCUUGUUCAGAAGACUUAAAAUAUUGAACCCUCGCCGAAAGGUAAAAUCGGUAAUUAUCCAUAUUUAUCCUUUCUACAUUCCCUUUCUCCUUUAGUUAUUUACUUUCCUUAAAUGGCUUGUUAGUUAAUUAUGCUAUCUUGAAAAGAAAAUGAAAAUGUUAAAAAUAGUAAGCCCUAUGUGAGUAUGCUCGUGGCAUAAAACCCAUAAGUACAUUCACUGUGGUGGCGUAAAAAUAAAAUAAAUAUAUUCCUGUCCUAUAAAAAUGAGAAUAUAAAAAUAAAUUUAUGAUCCUACCAAAAAGAGUAACAUUUAUUGAGGAAGCUCAAUAUGAUAAAGGCUAGAUAUUUAUGCUAACACUUAACGAGUUCCACAAAACUUUGUUGUCUAUUUUGAGCUCCACAGAAUUCAAGGAUCAAAGAAGACUAGCAAACGGAGGACAUCCUAAUCGCUGUCAGGGUGCUGUCGACAUUCAAAUACACCUCCGUCACCUGCUAGCUACAUCAGAAGAAAUUACGUCAAAAUCCAGCUUGGGGGAGAGCACCCCCAUUUAUCUAGCUAAGUGUUUCUACUCGUGUUUAUACUUUACUCAAAUAAUAAAAAGAUGCAUAAUAAAAAAAACCCAAAUAAAGAUUUUAUGCUUAUAUAUAUAUAUCUUUGCUUAGUUUGCUAAAUAAAUAAAUAAAUAAAGUUUGCUAUGAACCCUCAUGAUAAGCUCUCACAUGGAAAUGAUGAAUAGUUGCUCUGCCAUGACUAGUUCUCAAAAUUGAAAUCUCUCUCAAGUUUAGGCAUGACUGUUAUGAAUUAAGAUUUGCUCUAAACCUAAACUUGUGGGAAGAGUACUUGAUCUAAAGUCUAAGUCAUUAACGGAUAUGAUAUGGGAAGGUUGAGCUGCUGUUUAUCUGUUCCUAGAGAUGCUAGAAUUCUGGAGAAUUUUUGAAUAUCUUUAAAAUGUUGCAUGAUGAGUUCCUGUAUGAUGAGAGUUUAAAAUCCUACCACAGCCACAUAUACAUGCUUAUGAGACUAUGAACCAUACAUUUACUUUUUACUGCUUAUGAGCAUUGAGUGUGGUCAAGCUAUGUAGACCCUUAGUAGCUUGUCAUGCGGUUAUAAUCAAGAUUCACUUGCGCGUCCACUCAUACAUGCUGCUUCUACUCCAAAAGUAUGCAUCCACAUACAUCCACUCCUUUCCAUCUCCAGAUUCACCUAAAAUUAUUCUACUCCUAUCUAGGAGAGAAUAGCCAAAAACAUUAUCCCAUUCCUGUUUUUCCCUGUGAAAUAAAUGCUCGAGCUAUUUUGGUUACUACCACUUGCUACAUUAUUCCAGGAGGGUGAGUGCUCCGAAAAAAAAGAAGAAAAAUACGAGGAAAUAAAAAGGGGCAAGUGCCCGGAACCUCGAAAGAAAAAAGAAAAAGUGAGACGAGAGGUAAAAAUGGACAAGUGUCCGACAGUAGAAUUAGGGGUACAAGAUACCCACCUGAGAGAAAAGAAAAAGAAAAUAUAGAGCAUCUCAUUCCUCUCAAAAAAACCUUCAAAGUGCAAGAAAGGUAUGUAUCCCCUCAAAAGAGCAAAAGUAGAAUUAGACUUUCACCAUUAUUUUCACCAUUAUCACCAUCAUCACCAUACACCAUUCAUCCACCACACAUGCACAUCUUGGUUUGACUUAUUGACUUGUUUCUCUGGAUCCAUGGUUUGACUAUGCAAUAAAUGUCUUGUAAGUAUGUAUUAGCUGUCUCCCACCUAUGAGCUCCAGAUACCAAACCUUAUUAGAGUAGGGUGAGAAAGAAGGCAAUAUCAAUAUGCCUCAUACCACAAAUACUACAUACUUUGAGAGAAGGCGUAUAUUAUCACUGCCUUGGUAAGGAUCCAGAAAUACCACAAAAGAGAGACUAGAGAGAGUCAUACAAGAAAUCUCUGAGUUUUAUUUGAAAAUCUGCAAAAACUCCAGAGCUAUAGUUGAUCAAAGAACAAGAGACAUGGUACUUGACUUGACCGUUCUAUCUCUUAACUGCUCCAGACACAAGUGACGGCUGCAAGCCCCAUGGCACUACAAGAAAUCUCAGAUUUUAUGAUAAACAAUAUUUGUCAUGUAAAGUAAAGAAAUAGUCACAAAAUGUUUGGCAUGACGAAAAACCACCGUCAUGGAGGUCGUCAUAUAUCGACCAUCGCUAAAUGUACCUUGUGACAAUAUUAAGCAAAGUCGUCAUAUAAUGGGUUAACGUUUUGUGACGGUUAUACCAUAUCGUCGUAUAAUGUUUACCUUUAAUGACGGUUGUCGUCGUCACAUAUUUGCUGGUCAACUCGUCGCAUAUAAUACGUCACUGUCACAAUAUGCCUCGGGGGGACCAAGAUUCAGUCUAUUUUUUGUGACGAGACUGUUGCGUCUUAUAUAGUCAUGCAUAUGUUGUGACGCUAUUUUUGUGUCUUGCAAUGUAAGGAAGUUAGAUAAAUCUGAGACGACUCCAGGUUGUCAUACAUUUUCAUUUCAUUCCGUGACGAAGGCUCUAGUGUAUGUAUCAAUUGCAAUUCAUGACCAAUGUCACACAUCAUCAUUCCCAUCAUAGCUCAUAAAUCAUACACAUUUUAGGCAAGCCAUCAUCGACAUAUACACUCUAGACUAUAAGACACAAUGUUUGCAAGUUGAAAUACAUCAUAGUAGUUCUAGGUUCCAUCACAUAGGUUCAAAUCCACCAUACAGGUACAAACAUAAAAGCAGAUGCAAAUAAGUUCAGAUACUUGGUUCUACAAAUUCAGAUACUUGGUUCUAAAAACACAGUGAAACAAAAGUUCAUAGAUGUUAUUCUGGCAAAGGCAUCAGAAAUAGAAGCUGCAUUCAAACCUAGACCUCAAUCUUUCUAAAGUUUCAGCAUAGCCCGCAGCAGUGCAUUUGUGUCUUCAAACUUGGUAUGCAUCUCCUUCACUUCAUCUUGGGUCUGGCGCAACAAAGUUUGGUUUUCCUCAAGAGCUGCUUGGUUUGCUAGAAGCGAGGCCUGUUGAGCUUGAAGCUGUGCUUGUAGCUCUUCCUGAUGCCUAGCAGCUUGCUCUCUUUCAGCUUGCAGUGUUGCCUCGAACCGAGCUUGAAGGCGUGCUUCAUUGACUGUUGUUGUGGACCGGCUAGUCUUCGACACUCGAGCGACACCGAUGUUUGGAAGGAAGGUGGAUGAUCGGCAGAUCUGGCUAAGACUGUCAGCAACAAUCCUAGAGGGGCUCUUUUGUUCUUCUCCUUCAUUUGGUUCUCUUUCCUUCUCCAAAACCAUUUGUUCCUACAUGGAAUGAAUGCACUUAGUAACAAGGCCAAACAUCUUAGUUGAAUCUAGCAAUUUAUUGGUCAUAGUACAUAUAUCCAUUAAUUAUUGUACUUACAUAUAUGUCAUUUGCAAGAGGAGUACGGCCAUUUUGUGGGCUAUUCAUACACUCCCCAAAGAAUUCAAUAGGAUCUGGUUCCAUAUUGUUAUACUUCGGCCUCUGCAGCAUGCAAAAAUCUUGGGUUACAAUGACAUAAGUGAAGGUAUAUACAAGGCUAGACAAACAUGGGAUAUAAGAUGAGGCAUAAUUUUGUUUCAUGUAAACAGCAAGAUGCUAAGAAAUGUAAGCAGUAUAGGAACAUACAAUUGUGUGCUAGUUGCUAACAUAUUUUUUUUAUGGCAACAGCAAAGGAAAUCACAGGCAAUCAAUUAAUUAGUGCUAUGCUUUGUCAAUCAACAUUCACACCUAUUUGAUUCCCAGUUGGCCAUUAUCAUCAUAAAAAAUUCUGCAUCAAAGAAAGCAUGAAUAUCCAUACCAGGCUGUAUCGAUGGGCAAUAUAGGACCUAGAUCCUGUCCUUUGGUGAAGCUGCACUUGGCCUCGGUUGUCUUUGUUCUUAGUUGAUUUCUCCUACAUUAAAAAUGGAAAGCACAUGUUUCAUUCACAUGCUCAAUUUGCUUUGCAUAUUAACAAAAUCAGAUAGUGGACAUGGACCUGAUUAGUUGGGUCACACCAGUACUCAACCAACUUGAUCCAUUCCUCUUUCUGCAUUUUCGGUGGGGGUUCUUUGGCCAACAAUUGUUCUCUAGUCAGUGAGGGGUCGAAGUACUUCUUCUUCAGGAGAUACCUUUGUUGCCUUAGUCCCCUCUUAAUGAUAUCAGUGCAUGCAUCUUUGCUUGGUCCCUCUGACUUAAUAUCAACAUCCAACCUUGACUAUAAGCACAGAAAUUAAAUACUAGACUUAAUUUAUAAUUCAGAGUACUGUAAUGCAUGAAAAUAUUAGGAAGAAUGAAAUAGCUCACUCACCGCCACUUUUCUUAGCACUUUUGCAACUUCUGCUUGCCCAACAUCAUUAUCAUAAUCUUUCCAUUUUGUAUAUAUUGGUAGGUUGUCUCUAAGGGCUACACCACAUUCUGAUGCCAGCUUUGCUGCUUGAAGUGGCACGUCAGGUCUUUUCUUCCCAGGAGCCACCUCAAUAGCAAGCUUCUUUCCUCUAUUAAGCAUCUUCUCUAAACCAUGGCCCAAUGUUCUCUUGCGAACAUUCUUUUUGGGAGCUGCAUCUGCACAUAACAACAAAAAUGUUUUAUUAUAGCAGUAGCAAUUGUAGAUAUUGAAUAGGGAAACUAAUGCUUCGAAACACAAAUUAUUUACCUGCAGAGUCAUGGACUGGUUCUCCUUCAAUUGUAUGUCCCUCAGAAUUAGGAGUAUCACAUUGAGGAGAUGAUACAUUGAUGUCAUUGCUUUGUCGGCUGCUUUGUGCACCUGGUGAGUUUUCUGCAGGAACUGUUUGGUUAUUGCUGUUUGUGGGAGUAGGUUCUUGAGGUAGGCUAGCACUGGUUCUAGUAAUAGUAGGCACUCUGUAAGCACCAGGUGAAGACAUGGCUGCACUAGUCCUUGUGAAUCUACGUGGACUAGGCACUGUAUUUGGGGCAGGUGAGGAGUUCGCUGCAUUGGCCAUAAUGUUUCCCAAAGAAGUAGGCACAGUGUUUGUAGUGUCUGUGGUUAGGGUGGCGCUAGUGAGAUGGCCAUGCAAAUGGCUGGCAUUGGGAAUAGCAUUUGUAUCAGUGUUGGCUUUGUCUUGGCUUGGCUUAGGUGGUGGACGGGCUGCAGUGGUCUUUGGAGGCAAGUUUUGUCUUGGCUUAGGUGGUGGACGGCCUGCAGUUUUCCUAGGGUCUGCACUAGGCGAAUACAUGGCAGCCUGAGCCUUGGUAAAUCUGGUUGGUGUGCGCGGUGGCUGCUGAUUGGUAGCCGCCUUUUGCUUCUUCUGUUGAGGGCGAGCUCCUGGAGCCAUUGGUCUUACCUGGCAAGAGAAACGUGCAUCUUAUAAGUUAAGAACACAACAACAAAGAGUGAUAAGUACAAUGAUGUAUGUGUUGAGCUAUAGAAGGAUAUGUAUGCUUGAAAAUUGGCCCAGUGUUUCAUCUCACCUCAGUAUUGAGGUCAUCAUCAUAAUCAUCAUCAGAAUCAGAUUUGUUAUCAAUGUCAGAUGAUGGAUCAUAUUCAUUGUCAGAAUCUGGUUUUCCAGGCACUAGGCUCUUCCCUUUGCCCUCUUUCUCACAUUUUGAGAAAGCAUUUCUAACAGUUUUUGAUAACACAGGAAUACCCAAUGACAUAAAAACAUCCUGGACCAUCUUAAUGUUCUGGUCCCUCUGCAGCUCAUACUGAGAUUUUGGCAUUUCCUUUAACAAUUUUAAUGAUGCAACCCAGAAAUAGCAGAAACUUUUAACAGUUUCUGUAAAAAAAAUUGAAGGAAGUCUAAUAGUUAGUCCAAGAGUAGUAAAUUAGCUAGUAUGAAUGAAAGAGCUUGACAUGCAGAAUACUAUAAACAUGGUGCUUUUUCUGUCACACGGCAACAAAGUUCAAUACUGAAUGACACGUUUAGCUCCUGAGGCAUGGACACUUCAAAUCAAAUACUAUGACAACUGAUGACUACAAUGAUAAGUUCCAUAUUAGUUCGAAACAUGAAAGUACCUCUAAAUGUAACAGUUAGCAUGCACAGACAUGCACAAACAAAGUCAAGAAUAGGACUUCAAAGUAAAGAAUAGGACUAACACUUCAAGCAUAGACAGUGCACUUCGAGCACAGACAAAACAAAGCAUGUAGUAAUAGAAUAGUACUUACUCUGACGAGCAGACGGGAAGACGAUAGAUGGGGAGCUGGGUCCCCGCGGAGGUAAGGACAGCGUGUUGGGCGGGCGUUGUUGUUGACAGCGGGAUUGGCUGCUCCGGGCUCUAGGCUCUCGUGUUGCUAUCGACGGCGGGAUGGUGGCUUCGGGCUUCGAGCUCCGGUGGAUCCAAGAACUGGCGUAGGUGUAGUGGUGAGAUGGGGGGCUUCGCAUCCCCGUGGAGGUCCUAACGGCGGGACGGGCGGUGCCGGAUCUGGGCCCUGCCGCAGGUGCGGCGGCUAGAUAGGCGAAGGGCGGCACUAGGUUUACGGGAGGGAGGAGGAGGCCAUGGCUGCACUGAGUGGAGCCAUGCUGAGCGCUGAGGAUAAUGCCGGAUGAGUGGGGGAUUUUGGCCAUGCUGAGCGGGAGUCAUGGUGGGUUCCAUUUGUCGGUGACCGAGUGAGGGCGGGAGAGCUCCAAGGUGUAGGUGCCAAUUUUAGGUUCUGGACAGUGGGUCCUCUAUGUCAGUGACUAUAUUAGUAGUAGUACCAACUAAUUGAGUUUUUUGGAGUAAUAACUUUCAUCAAAUGUAAAAAAUGUCAGAAACAAAGUUGUGUAAUGCAGUGAGAUCUACCAUUUUGAUUUUGGGGGAUUUGUCAUAAGACUUUGUCUUGAAUUUGAAAAUAUUAGAACUUCGAACAAAUUUUUUAGAUACUUUCUUAUUUCAAAUGAAAAAUUCAUGAACAUGAAAGUUUCUCAACUCAUCAAUAUCUUUGACUUUUAUUAAGGUCAUUUCUUCAUCCAACAAACUUAUAGAAAUCUUAUUCACAAAUUCCAUGCAUCAUACUUGUUGUUUCAUAAACUAGAAGUGAGAUGCAUAGAAUUUGUGAACAACGUUUAUAUAACUUUUUCAGAUGAAAAAAUGACCUUAAUAAAAUUCAAAGAUAUUGAUGAGUUGACAAACUUUCAUGUUGAUUACUUCUGUAGUUGGAAUCAUUAAGAGUUUCAAAUAUUGGCUUAAAGUUGUCAUUUUUGGUAAACUCACAUUAUGAUUUGUGCAAUCUUUGUCACAUGAAAUGAUGAUCACAAGAAACUCAAUAAAAUGAUAGAGCAUGAAUUUAGAAAAAUUUAGGAAAAAAAGCAUCGCAUUUCGAGUAUGUAUGUGGGAGAAAUACUAGUUACAAUUUUUUUAUAUGGAUUAAAAAGAGAAAUGAUGCUUCCAUACUGAGUUCAUUGCAUCCAAGGCUAAGAACCAUAUAGGGCCCACUUGUCAGUCACACAUUGGACCCAAAUGUCUGCCAAUGCUCACUUCAAUUCGGGACCCACAUGUCAUUGGGGGCACUUAGCAAAGCAGAGUUGGAGAGGCACUUAGGCACCUCUCGGCCAGUGCAGAGGGCACUCCUGGGCAGGGGCACGCCGGCGGUCACCCCACAUCACCGUCGCCAUCCUCACUGUUGCUCUCUUGCCAGCCCCAUUACUGCUCCUCACCUUGCCUUGCUGAUGUCGCACUGCUCCACACUGCUGCUACUUCAUCGUUGACCCCAACGACUACCUCGCCGGUGAACCCGAGUACCAGCCUCGUGCGUCCCACUGGUGCUCCCAUGCUGGCCAUCCGCACUGCUGCCUCACCACCCCCUCACCUACAGCAUCUGCAGCUGCUGCCUCGGCACCCCCCUCGCCACCAGAUCUGUAGCUGCUGCUGCUUCGACGGCUAGCAGCUAGAUGGUGCUGCUACAUUAGGUCGAUUUGAACAAGGUGGGUUUUUUCUGUUCAUCAAUGACUUGUUGGUUUGUAAGACCUCAUUUAGGUUAUAGGAUUUCCACAGGAUUUUUCAGUGGAUACUUGGUGCAUUUUGCAAGUUGUUGUGUUUAAAUGACACAUGACAAUGUCAUUGAAUGACCAUAAUCUGUCAUAUAAAGUAUGGAAUUUGUCACAAAAGGCACAUGCUACAACUUAUAUGUUUUCACCAUGUUGAAAAUUCAAUUCCUAUAAGAUUAAUGGAGAUCAAUUCCUAACAUGUUGGCACCUCAAUUCAUGCAGAUCAAGAUGGACAGAAGCUGGAUUUAUAACAGCUUACCAUUUACUGAACCCUAUAAGGCUGGUGUUGAGAAAUUCAUGCAACAUGUUAGAAGUAGAUUCAGAGCAGAUGAAAAAAUCAAGUGCCCAUGUCGUCGAUGCCUAAACCACGUAGAAAAAAGUCAAGAUGAGGUAGAAGAGGAUAUACACAUCAAUGGUAUGUCUAGGAUCUAUACAAGGUGGAUUGAACAUGGAGAGGGAGAUGAUAAUGAUGUUGACCAAGAUGGUGGCACACUAGCUAUUGAACAGGAUUUGUCUUGGGAUGAAAAUGACCAAGCUCCACUUGAUGAUGAAGUGCAAGGUGAAGAUGUCAUAGAAGAUAGUGCACGGGGAGUUCAAGGGUUGAUUCAAGAUUUGUACACUGCAGCAAGCCAUGGACACAGUGGUAACUUAUAUAAAGAAAUCAUGGAAGAGGCUAAGCGAGAGCUUUAUCCAGGUUGCACCGAAGAGUCAAGGCUAAGUUUCAUUGUUAAGCUCCUACAUAUAAAAGUGUACAAUCGGAUACCAAAUUCUACGUGCAGCGAUUCUUUGGGCAAUCCAUGACUACCCUGCAUUAGGCACCAUGUCAGGAAGAACCACCAGGGGUUACUUCGCAUGUGUCCAUUGUGAUGAGAAUCCAUGCUCUGAAUGUCUAACAAACAAAAUUGGAUUCAUAGGUCAUAGACGUUUCCUCCCAGAUGGCCAUACUUGGAGGAGAAAUAGAUCUUUCAAUGGCCACCAAGAAAAUAGAGAGAAGCCAAGGAAAUUUAGUGCAGAUGAGGUUAUGGCAAGGUUGGAUGAAGUUUCCUAUGUUCCUGGCUAGAAUCCAGAAAUGCCAAAAUCAAGAAAACGACGCCGUGAUGGAGAACCAGUUUGGCAUGUGAAGGCUAGCUUGUAUGAUUUGCCAUACUGGUCAAAAUUGAAGCUACAAUACAACCUUGAUGUUAUGCACAUAGAGAAAAACAUAUGUGAAAACAUUUUGUCAACUCUACUUAAUAUUCCAAACAAGACAAAGGACACAAUUGCUGCUAGAAUAGAUUUGGAAGAAAGAGGUAUAAGAAAGGAGCUUCAUUUGCUAAAUGACAGUGGUGCUGCAUCUUCAAAGCCAAGAGCUUGUUACGUUCUAACACCAGAAGCAAAAAAGAAGUUUUUGCAAUUUGUGAGCAAUGUUAAGUUUCCUGAUGGCUAUGCCUCCAAUAUAUCAAGAUGUGUCAAUAUGGAGGGAGGAGGAUCAAUGCAUGGGCUGAAAACACAUGACUGUCAUAUACUACUGCAGCGUAUUUUACUAGCUGGCCUUCGUGGUUUAGUGCGCAAAGACGUAUACGAAGUCAUUGCUGAAGUGGGUAGGUUUUUUACGCAACUUUGCUCCAAAACUCUAAAGGUUGAUGCAUUGAACAAGAUGAAGGAAGAUAUUGUACUUAUCCUUUGCAAGUUGGAGAAAAUUUAUUCUCUUGCAUUCUUUGAUGUCAUGGUUCACCUAGCUGUACACUUACCUGAUGAGGCACUCCUUAGGGGACCGGUUCAGUAUGGAUGGAUGUAUCCCAUUGAGAGAAGAUUGGGCACCUUUAAGCGUUUCAUCCGCAAUAAAGCAAGACCUAAAGGAUCUGUGUAGAGGCAUACACUGCCUAUGAGUGCAUGACCCAGUGUUCAACAUAUUUCAGUGACAUUAUUAAUAGGUUCACUAGGCCAGAAAGAAACAUAGAUGGACAACAUAGCACCUCACCCAAUGGUUACUGUAUUUUUGAUCAUGGGAUUAACCUAUUGGGUGCUUCAAAACUUCAUUACGAAGAUAAAGACUAUGACUCCAUGGUUUGGUUUGUUCUAAAUAACUGUGAAUACGUUGAUGAAUACAAAGAGUGAGUAAUUUUUGACAUUUCUUUUCAGCCUACUUUAUUCAAUACUUGUGUCACAUUAAACUAAUUAACUUCUUUCUUCCAUUCCAGCUUGUACAGGGAAGAAUUAGAACAACAACAAGUCAACGAUAUUGAAAAAGUGAUCUCAACACAUUUCGCUCAAUGGUUUGAGAAACAUGUGUGUGCAGCUUUUACAACACGAAUCAAUAUUUUUGAUACAAUACAUUAUGAAACAUCCUAAUUAUGUAUGUCUAUAACCUACAGAUUACCAGAUUGAAAUAUGAAGGCACAACAGAUGUUGAUGAAGACCUGUACUCACUCGCAUGUCGGCCAGAUAGGCGUGUGCGUUCAUACACAGCUUGUAUAAUCAAUGGGGUACGGUACGACACUGUGGCCCGUGAGGAAUACCGGAAGACACAUAACUCCACCAUCAAAACUGCAGGUACUCACAAUGAUGACACUAUUGACUUCUAUGGGACAAUCACAGACAUCAUUGAGUUGACUUACAAUAAGAACAACAAAGGAGAUAGAUCUAUUGUCUUAUUACGGUGUGAAUGGUACCAUCUAGAGGGAAGGACAUACCAGAUGAAAGAUGAUGGUUACUUCAAGAGCAUUAACAUCCAAGGCCGAUGGUAUAAGAAUGAUCCUUUCAUUCUUGCCACAGAAGCUUCACAAGUUUUCCUCUUGGAAGAUACAAAGUUAGGUCCAUCUUGGCGUGUGGUACAAGACUUUGGGCAUAGACAUAUAUUUGAUGUCGAUGAGUCUGACAACAACCAACAAAUCCAUGAACAAGUACAGAUGAGAUGUCUAGAGGCAUAUCAAGAAGAGAAUACUUUGUCCAGAGAUGGUACAGUGGGAGACAUUUAUCCUGAUAUGGAUUUGUUGCACAUGGAAAAUGAACCAGGAAGCCCUGUUAGUAGAGACCUUGUCGACAGCAUCCGUCGCAAUCAACAAAUAGCUCAAGGUGAUGAAACAUAUGUUGUAGAUGAAGAAGAAGAAGAUGAAACCUUCCUUGAGUACCAUAGUCCAGAUGAAGGCAACAUGUCAGAGGACUACAGUGAUGGUGACUAACCUUCGCAUUUUUCUACCAAUUUGUAGUCCACUCACUCUUGUUAGUGCUCCUGUUGUAUUUGUCAACUUCUACCAUUGAUGAUGACUAACUAUUGCAUUUGUAGAACCAUUUGUGCACUAUGAACUUGUAUGAGUGAUUCUGUUUCCACUGUAUACUUGAUGUGUCAAAAAAGUUACAGUUCUCAGAAACAUUCACAUAAAUCUGCCCAGAUUUUUAGGUUAUAAUGACACAGGACAAUGUCAUGAAAUGCAAAUAAUUUGUCAUGCAAUGUAGAAAUUUUGUCACAAAAUGUACUGGCCAGAAAAAACUUCCUAGAUUUCUCUGUUAUCAUGACCAAAGACAAUGUCAUUAAAAGUACACAAGCUAUCACAAAAGAUACAUGCACACAACAGAUGUCCAAGGGGACAAAGGCCCAUAGUUCAUAACAAAGACAAAUCUAGCAUAAUAGGUUCAUUACAUCAUUUUCACCAACACCCUGCUUCAUCAGCCUUGCCUACUUGAACACUACAGCUAGCACCAAACAGAUGCCCAACACCUUCAUUAGCCUUGCCUACUUGAACACUACAGCUACAACCAAUAAAAUGGCCAACAGUAGAAACAGUGUUACAUUCACACAUCCACAGACUAGACAUAUGCAGCUUGCCAUGCCAUCCUUGUUCUUCACUACCACUUCAUUCAGCUUGUUCAGGCUUUGGGUGAAGCUUUCAAUCUUGCCUACGUCCAUGGCAACUUUUGUCGUCCUCGCAGCUGAUUGUAUAUAUCCAUUAUCCUAUAGAUAGAGCACAUAUUCUUCCUCAAACCAAUAGCUAGAACAUGUCACCUGCACCACAUUGCAAAUCAAUUAAAUUUGGUCAACGAAGAUUAAAAAUUGGGGUCCAAAAAACUGUCACAGCCAACAGCACUCACAUAGCUUUGCCUAGCACACUUGAAGUAUCUUUUUUCACGGUUAACCUCAGAUUUCAUGGUAGUGGCAGCAAGCACCCUCCUAUCCUUACAUUCAGGGCACUCUAUCAAUGGCAACUUCGACACUUCAUCAAUUGGCGCCUCCGGAUCGACAGUUCCAGACAUGUCAGGUGGUGAUGUCCGCCGAGUGCGAGCAGUACAUGACGACACCUGAGACAUGAGGCCUGAUUGAGAGACAUGGGCUCAUUAGGUCAUCGACAAAUAUUUCCUCAUGAAAAGCAUGGACAAUUUAUCAUUGCCAUUGGAAAUAAGCUUAGAAUAGCUACAACAUGAACAACAGCAGCAGCACUAGCUUGGACUUGAGCUCAGGUAAAUUAAUUAGAAGGACAGCUACUAAUAAUCAUUCAAUCUACAUGAAUUCUCUAUGUUGUUGGACACUCCUAGCUGCACUUGAACGCCGAUUGAGACUGGUAGAUGACGAGGCCUGAGACAUUAUCACUAAAUAAAAUGGAUAUUAAUUAGGCAUAGCAUUACACAUCAAUUAGGGAAGAUAACUCUGUGAAACAAAACAAGUUGAGGGAGAUGAGCAGAGGGGGGACGCGGAGGGGGAUGAGGGUGCAUCGAAGGUGUCCGAGAGGGGGAAGAGGGUGGGUGGCACCUGGGGAGAAGGCCAGAGCCUGGCGCGCCUAGGAUUGGAGAGAGGGAUAUACCUACCUCCACCGGUGCCUUGGUCCCCGCUGAAAUCACCGAGAUGCUGCCCUAGACUCCGCCCACCAGCGCCCAAACGCCGCCACGCUGUCGACGGGGAAGAGGGAUAGGGGACCCGCCGCACCGUCCUCCACCACUCGCCGUCGGCCCCUCGCUCCGUGCUCACCUCCCUCCGCCACGCCCGCAGCGACCUCGCCUCCCUCCCUCAAUUCAGUUGACGCCGGGAAGAUGGGGAAAGUGAAGUGGUCAACGUAUAUGGAUAGGGUCGACCUACAAGGAGUAUAUUUACUCUGUGAAUGGCAUUUUUGGAACUUACUUAUUGUGACACAAUUUAAACAUCACAUAAAGUCACACCAUAGUGUCAUAAAAGGACAAACGACGACGGGUGCCCCGUGUUUGGCAAUUUGUGACGAACCUGAUGACCUUUAUGUGACAUAUUAGACACUAUCGUCACAAAUACAUCUAGGUCUCACAACUUUGUGACGACACAAAAAAUAUCGUCAUAUAAAGCCAUAUUAUGUGACAAAAACUUUCCCCGUCAUAAGCUAUUUUGUCACAAAAAGAUAGAUUUCUUGUAGUGUGGUGGAAGGUAAUAUGAGUAAGUUUAAAUCUUAACAGUUUACCCUAACCUAUAGAUGAGAUUUUGUUUAAAUGCAUGUGUACCUUUAAGGCAUAAAACCACUGCAGAAACUCUUGAGUCCAUCCUUGCUCAGGGGCGAGCAAGAGGUAAGCUUGGGGGAGUUGUUGACGGUCCUUAAGUACCAAAUAUAAUCAUCAAAUAAACAAAGAAAAGGAUCCAAAUACAACCAACAUCUAAACUUAGGGUUUUAUCUGACAGAAUUCCACGAGUUUUGGUGUUUGUCUAUUUCUACAGGGUGUUAUCAGAAAAUAAGGAAGAAAGGCCCACAUGUCGGGUUUACAUAGAGAUAUUAUCGUGCCGCGCAAUUUUCUAUCAUCUGGAAGACUCCAGAAGCCAUGCACAAAAAAAAGAAGACUCCAGAAGACACGGGAACGAAUGGGAGGCCGAACGGGCCUGGGGGCAGGGUGCCCGCCCUCCCCCCUUAGGCGCCCACCCUGGAGUUUCAACCAAUCACGCUCAAUCUCAUGGAUUAUGCUCCACCGACCUAAAGGAUCAAGAAUAACCAUUCAAACAAUGUCGGUUUGAUCCGACGGCCCAGAUUCACUUGAGGGGACUAUAUAAGCAGACCCCCUGGCCCCUAAAGGAGGCACCCAUUGAUCAUUAUUCAUUAUUCAUAGACAGAGCAAAAGCUAGGGUUUAGAGAUGAGAGCUCUCCUCUCUUCUAUAAACUAGAGUAGAUCUAGAUAGUAGCGAGAUGGAGAGUGAAGGAGGAUUAGAGGAGAGGCUGGCCUGUCGGUUCUUCCUCUGGUUGUACUUCGCCAUGAUCAAGCUCUAAUCAAGCUUGCUCAUGGGAUGACUCUGGUAAUCUACUUCUAAUUCAUUAUGCAAUUAGUAAUCAUGUAUGUUCUGGUUCACAACUCUUUUGAGUACUUCUAAUCUAUAGGACCCUAUAGGUUAGAGUUGUAGUAUAGGUGUAAGCGUGGUGCUUAGACCUAGAUUACUUGUGGAUAUCCCCUGUCUAGCUGGAUCGUGUGGUAGGCCGCGUAGGUGACAGUUACGUUGGUCCUCUGUAGUCCACCUCUCGUUAGCAGGAUGGGUAGGGUUUAUCGGCCUAUGGAUAAGCAUCAUUUGUGGUGUACUCUUAUCACGUGGUUCGUCCCAGACAUAGACAUACCCCUUUGAAGUAGAGAAACCAUAGUUAUCCUCACUAUUCUGCUACCAUCGCCCAUAUACUAGAUUGCUCAACUCUCUAUUCCCCUAUUAUUACCCAUUGUUAUCUUACCUUUAAUAUUGUUCUUAUUCAAUUCUACCAUCUUUCCUAUUUACACUUAUCUAUCUAUCUUGGUUAAGUUAGAGCGUAGUUGGUUCUCCCGUUUUCCUGUGGAUACGAUAAAACCUUUAACCGGGUAAAAGCUUCAACGGUAUCCGUGCGCUUGCGGAUUAUCUGUGUGCGUAUAAAUACCAUAGUACACUCUAGUGCCAUGCUGGGGAUGACAACCUAGUAUUCAAGUGGUGUUAGCAAGUGUCAACACUAAACUUCAUAACAGUUCACUCUAAUCUGGAAGAAUUUUUAUGUAAAAGCAUGUGUGCCUGUCAGGAAAGAAAACAUCGAAGCAACUCUUGAUCCAUCUGAGUUUAGCUGUUUGCUCAGGGACGAGCAAAGGGUAAGCUUGGGGGAGUUUGUUGACGGUCCUUAAGUACUAAAAUUAAUAAUCAAAUAAACAUGGAAAAGGAUCAAUAUGAAACAAACAUCUAGAAUUAGGGUUUUAUCUGACAGAAUUCCACGAGCUUUGGUGUUUAUCUAUUUCUGCAGGGGGUUAUCAGAGAAUAUGUAGUGAAGGGCCACAUGUCAUGUUUACAACGAGAUAAUUACGUGCCGCGCAAUUUUCCUCAAUCUAGAAGAGUCCAGAAGCCACGGGAAGGAAGCGGAGGCCGAACGGGGCCAGAGGCAGGGCGCCCGCCCUCCUGCCCUGGGCGCCCGCCCUGGGAUGGACUCCAAUCAGGACUCUGUUUCGGGGCUAAACUCCACCGACCUAAAGGAUCAAUCUAAACCAAACAAUCAAUGUCGGUUUGAUCUGACGGCCCAAAUCAUUAUUCAGAGGUAGCCAUCAAAGUUAGGGUUUAGAGCUUCUCUCCCACAGAGAAUUAGAAUUAGCUACUCCCUAAUCCUUCAAGUUUAGAGGUUUGAUUAGAUAGCAAUUAGAGAAGUAGAGCACUACGCUCUGGAUUUGGAUCUUCGGUAAUAAAGAUUGGUAUUAUUCAUAUCUUUCUCUAAUUCUUUGUUCUAAUUGCAUUAUGUCUCUAAUUAUUAUGUUCUUAGUUUGCUCUAGUUCUAUAUUUGAUAUAGUUAUGAUUGAUAAUGAGUUUAUGUAUAAGUUUGCAAAGCGCUUAACUCUUGACGCGAGGGAGUUAGGUGAUAGAUCACAUGUGACCGUGGUGCUUAGAUGUUAUUUAUCUGCAAAUGUAUCCUAUUGGCCGGGUCGUGUGGUAGUUCGCGAUAGUGACAGCUUCGUUGAUUCUUAUAUAGUCCACAAUCCGUUGAUAGGACAGGCAGAACCGGUAUUGUGGAGUAAGUCGUGCGAUGCUCUGAUUUACUUUAGCAAUGUUCCUUAUACAUGAAUGAAGAGUCUUUUAUGCUAUAUAUGAUCUUGUAGAUAACUAGAGUAGAUUAUGACUUAGUAGUUAGUAGAUAACUUAGAAUCCAUUCUCUAGCUAAUCUGACAUCACCUACAUAUAUGAGGAGUAGUCUAUUUUCUAAUCGAUGUGUUAUUUAUCCCUUGAACUUAUAAUUCAUUAUCAUUAUCUUUAUGGUUUACCCCCUGCUAAAGUAAGUGACUGUGUGACGAAUUUCUCAUUAGUAAUCAUGUUCUUGCAAGUUUAUCUCUAGUCUAUGCCUUGAUAGAUUUUGUCCUUAUCUUAAUUUCAUUCCUUAUCCCCUUGAGCAAAAUUAUAAAUAACGAUACCUGGAAUACUUAUCCUGGUGAAAUGCUACAAUGAGGUGUUUUAUCUGUGCGCUUGCGGAUAGAAUAGAUUAUUUUCUAGAGAGCCUUUACAUUUAUAAAUACCUUUGUACACUCUGGCACCAUGCUGGGGAUGACAACCUAGUAUCUAAGUGGUGUUAGCUAGUGUCAACAGCUGCUAACAGAGAUGAAUUAAGGGUUCGGUUGUUUUCAUCAUCCCUAUCUAGAUUGGCUUUUACUUGGUUUAUAUUGUUGCCUCCAAACUCUAUUAUUACUUGGGCUGAUCUGGAAAAAUAGUUCCAUAAAUAUUUCUUCUCCGGGGUUCAUGAGAAGAAGCUUACCGAUUUAGGGAGACUAAGACAAUGUAAUGAUGAAUCGGUAGAGCACUUUGUGCAGAGGCUGCAAGAUGUGAAGAAGAAGUGCUAUAGUCUGGUUUACGAUGAUCGGCAGCUGGCCCAUCUGGCUUUUCAAGGGUUGUUGCCACAUCUCAAGGAUAAGUAUGCUUCUCAAGAAUUUGAAAGCUUGAGUCACCUAGUUCAAAGAAUUUCUGAUCAAGACACUAGGGUUUCUGAGCCUAGAAAGAAUUGGAAUAAAAAGGUAUCAUUUGUCGAUGAGGCAGAAGAUUCUGAUUCCGAUGAGGAGCUAGUUAUCGGCUUAGCAGAAUGGGUAAAAAACAAGAAACCAAUAUCUUGUCCCUUCGGUCAGAAAGAGCCAGAUAAUUUCUCUUUUGAUGUCACUAAAGCCGAUAGGAUAUUUGACCUCUUGCUUCAGGAGGGACAGAUUAAGUUAUCACCAAACCAUGUGAUUCCAUCGGCAGAGGAGUUGAAGAAGAUCGAGUAUUACAAAUGGCAUAAUGCAACUUCACACAGUAUGAAUGAGUGCAAAGUGUUUAGGCAACAAUUGCAAUCGGCUAUAGAAUCUGGGAGAAUCAAGUUUGAUGGCUCUAAGACUAAGAAGCCGAUGAAAAUUGAUCAGCAUCCCUUUCCAGCAAACAUGUUGGAUGCCAAAGGCAAAACUAAGAUCCUAACAUCAGAAAUUGUUGAGAAGAACGCAUUGGUGGAUCCCCAACAUUAGGUAACUACCGAUGAUGCAAAAGGAAAGGGUCUGUUAAAGGAAAGUGGUAGUCCUGGAAGACUUCCCUGAUCUAGCAUCAUGAUCACCCAUAGGCGACAGCAGGAGACAUGGCAACAGCGUGAAGACCAAUAUCGACGGCAGCAAGAAGAAAAGCGUCGGGGAGAGUGGAAUCGGCAUAAGGAUCAUUGGGAUUGCCCGUUCUUUGUUCAUUAUUGGGAACGGGGUAUCAAGUUGCCGAUAGUUAAGAGUUGCCCUGAGUGCAAUGGUUAUUAUUGGAACAAUCGGCCAGAAAGGGGGUUCUGACAUGAUAGUCGAGGUCUGUCCAUUAAUGAGCCGAUCAGAGGCAGGGCAUCAGUAUAUGAUCGGCUGGGGGGCAGGCUCAAUGUGCAUGAAUGACUGGGUAGAUGCGUUGAGUAUCUUCCAAGGAAUUAAGAAGAUUUGGAAGAAAUGGCAAAUGCUAGACUUCCUGAUGAGGAUAUAUUCUACAGAGAUCCCAAUAUACGUCGUGUGGACUCAUCUGAGGUUCAUUAUCAGCCGGUUUUGAAAACCAAGCUCCCCAGAUGGUGUCGAGAGGGUUUAACAUGGACACAAAGGAGGAGGAUGCAACGGUAAUGAUAGGAAGAUUUGUGCAGGGAGAGAAUUCUUCUAAGUCUGGGAAUCGGCAGCAGUCAGAUUACAAGGGGAAAGGUCCAUCGGCAGAUGUUAAUAUGGUAUUCAUGUUGCCGAUGGAGUUCCUUGCGCCUUCCAAUGAUGAUGAAGAAAUCAUCUCUCUGAUCAGAUGGCUCUGUUGGCGCUUGAUCCGAUGAUGGCUGUUUUUGAGAAGCCAACUGAUCAUGAAAGACAGCAUAUCAAGGCUUUGUUCAUUAAAGGCAGGGUUGAUGGACGACCAGUAUCUAAGAUACUGAUUGAUGGAGGAGCUGUGAUUAAUAUCAUGCCUUAUGUAAUGUACCAGAAGCUUGGCAAAGGAGAUCAGGAUCUGACCAUGACCUAUAUGAUGCUAAAAGAUUUUGAGGGCAACGUGUCACCAGCUAAAGGGGCAGUAUGCGUUGAGUUGACCAUCGGCAUCAAGACCUUGCCAACAACGUUCUUUGUCAUUAAUGGUAAAGGCGCAUACAAUCUGCUUUUGGGAACAGAUUGGAUCUAUGCCAAUUGUUGUGUUCCUUCUAUGAUGCAUCAAUGCCUUGUUCAGUGAGUUGGAGACAAGAUUGAGGUUGUCCCUGGUGAUUCUUCCUAAAUCAUUGCGUCGGCAGAGUCAAACACUUAUGAGCGGACCAAGUGUAUAUCAGGAGAAGCCUGGGAGAAAGAUUUCCUUAGAGUUGCCGAUUAUGAGAUUCCACCGAUCCAAGCAGAUGGUUCUAAUGAUGGAUAGAUUCGCUGAUGAUGGAAAGUUAGGACAGGGUUUCAUAUUGGCUGAUGAUUUAGUAGAAGUAGAUAUUGGUAGUGGAGAUAGACCAUGACCUACUUUUAAUAGUGCUAAGUUAAAUUCUGAGUGUAAGCCACAAUUGACUGAUUUGUUAAAGGAAUAUAAAGAUUGUUUUGCUUGGGAUUAUACUGAGAUGCCUGGAUUAGACCGAUCAAUUGUUGAACAUCGGUUACCUAUCAAAUCUAGAUUUUAGCCACAUCAGCAACUAGCGCACCGAUGUAAGUGUAACCCUAAUAUUCUUCCUGAUAUCAAGGCCGAAAUUACCAAGCUAAUUGAAGCUAAGUUUAUUUGGCAAUGUCGGAAUACGGAGUGGAUUUCUAAUGUUGUUCCUGUCUAUAAGAAAAUGGAAAGCUUCACAUAUGCAUUGAAUUCAGGAAUCUCAACAAGGCCACACCGAUGGAUGGCUAUCCGAUGCCUUGCCGAUCUGCUAGUUGAUGCUACAGCAGGGCAUCAGAUUAUUAGUUUGAUGGAUGGCAAUGCAGGAUACAACCAAAUAUUCAUGGCUAAAGAGGAUAUUCCCAAGACUAUUUUUAGAUGUCCUGAUCAUGUUGGUUUAUUUGAAUGGAUAUUUAUGACUUUUGGUUUAAAGAAUGCCGGUGCGACUUAUCAAAGGGCCAUGAAUUUUCUUUUUCAUGAGUUCAUCGGCAUGCUAGUGGAAAUCUACAUUGAUGAUAUGGUGGUUAAGUUUGGGGACUUUGCAAAAUAUCUAGCUGAUCUAUGAAAAAUACUUGUGUGCACAAGGAAGCAUGGUUUGAAGAUGAAUCCUAAUAAAUAUGCAUUUGGUGUAUCGACAUGCCAAUUCUUGUGUUUCAUGGUGCAUUAGAGGGGGAUUGAGAUUAGUAGAAGAUCCAUUGAUGCAAUUAACAAGGUGGUUGCUCCUGCCGAUAAAAUUGAAUUGCAAUCAUUGAUCGGCAAGAUUAAUUUCAUCAGGAGGUUCAUAUCUAAUCUAUCGGGCAAGAUUAAAGCUUUUAGUCCACUGCUCAAAUUAAAAGCCGAUCAAAAGUUUGUGUGGGGGGUUGAACAGGAGUUAGCUUUAGAUGAAAUUAAGAAAUAUUUGAUAAACCCUCUGGUCUUAGUUCCACCUCAGCACGGAAAGCCUUUCAGAUUAUAUUUAUUGACCAAUGAUACUGUUAUCGGUUCAGCCCUUAUUCAAGAAUUUGAGGGGAAGGAGUGUGUCAUUUAUUAUUUAAACAGAAGAUUGGCGGAUGUUGAGAGAAGAUAUUCAGCUAUCGAGAAACUGUGCUUAUGUUUAUAUUUUGCUUGCAUUAAAUUAAGGCAUUAUUUGCUAUCGACCGAAUAUACUGUCAUAUGCAAAGAUGAUAUGGUCAAAUACAUGUUGUCAAUGCCGAUUUUGAGUGAUAGAAUCGGCAAGUGGAUCUUAGUGCUAUCAGAAUUUGAUCUAUGCUACAAAUCGGCCAAGGUAGUUAAGGGGUAAGUUAUGGCUGAUUUUGUUACUCAACAAUGCAAUGCAGUAGGUUCUAUGGAAGUUUCUCCUUGGACGCUUUUCUUUGAUGGAUCUAUGUGUGAUCAAGGGGCAGGUAUGGACAUUGUAUUGAUUUCACCUCGAGGAAGGAGGUAUGAGUUUUCAUUGCUGAUUGUUGCUACAUCGACAAACAAACAGGCUGAGUAUCAAGCAUUGGUGAAAGGGUUGGAAUUACUUAGAGAAAUACGUGCCGAUGCUAUUUAAGUCUUUGGUGAUUCUAUGCUUGUUAUAAAUCAAUUAAUUGGGAUUUAUGAAUGCCGGAGCGAAAUUUUAAUUUCAUAUUAUGAAAGAUGCUUGCAAUUGUUGAAAGAAUUUAAAGAUUUCCGUCUAGAACAUUCCCCGAUUACAUAAUGAAGAAGCUAAUCGGUUGGCUCAACACGCCUCGAUAUAUCAACCCACCCUAGAAGUACUCACAUCAGCAGUUGGUGCCGAUGACUAGAGAACGGAAAUCGUCGAUUACUUGAAAGACCCAUCUAAGAAAGUUGAAAGACGCAUUAGAUUUCAAGCCACUAAGUACGUGCUUCUCGAUGAUGAGUUGUAUUAUCAAACUUUGUAUGGGCUUUUUACUCAGGUGCCUUGGCAAUGAUGAAUCAAAGAAUUUGAUGGGUGAAAUUCAUGAGGGAGUGUGUGGAGCACAUCAAUCGGCUUUCAAAAUGAAGUGGCUGAUCAGAAGGAACGAAUAUUUUUGGCCAACUAUUCUUGAAGAUUGUUUUAAAUAUUUCAAAGGAUGCCAAGGAUGUCAAAAGUUUGGUAAUAUCAAAGAGCGCCUGCAUCGGCUAGGAACCCUAUCAUUAAACCCUGGCCGUUCCAAGGAUGGGCUAUUGAUCUUUUCGGUCGGAUUUAUCCGCCAUCAAGCAAAAGGCAUAAAUUUAUACUCGUCGCCACCGAUUAUUUCACUAAGUGGCUUGAAGCAAUUCCUUUGAAAAAGGUGACAUCAGCCAGUACGAUUGAUUUUGUAACGGAGCAUAUAGUUUACUGAUUUGGUAUUCUUCAAACAAUCACUACCGAUCAGGGUACUAUGUUUACAUCGGGAGAAUUUGAUGAGUUUGCAAUCGGUAUGGGAAUUAAAGUUUUAUAUUCUUCUCCUUAUUAUGCUCAAGCUAAUGGGCAGGCCAAAGCCUCUAACAAAGGGAUCAUUAAACUAAUUAAGCGUAAAAUUGAGCAAAACCCUAGGCGGUAGCAUACAAUGUUAAAUGAAGCCCUGUGGUCAUAUCGGAUGGCUUGCCAUGGUGCAACUAAAGUGUCGCCUUAUCAGUUGGUAUAUGGGCACGUUGCAGUAUUACCUUGGGAAAUUAAAACUGGCUCUAGGCGGAUAUUUUCUCAAGAUCAGUUGACUGCCGAUGAUUAUAAUAUUCUAAUGAAGGAUGAGUUCGAAGAUUUGGCAAGUCAUCGGUUGAAAGCUUUGGUUAGCAUUGAAGAAAAUAAGAAGAGAGUGGCCAGGUGGUAUGAUAAAAGGGUAAAAGCUAAAGAGUUUGCUGAUGGAGAUUUAGUUUUGAAAUUGAUUCUACCGAUUAGGGCUAAAAGUUUUAAGUUUGGUAAAUGGUCUCCUAAUUGGGAGGGUCGUUAUCGGAUAAGUCGAUCUGCUCCUAGCAAUGCAUAUAUAUUAGAAACCCUCGAAGGGAUUGAAUUUCCCAGAGCGUUAAGUGGAAAGUAUUUAAAGAAAUACUACCCGAGUAUUUGAGUUGACGCAUGAAAGUUUAAGUGCUGAUAACAAUCCUAUUGGCUGGACAAAAUACUAGUGUUUAUAAAGAGGACUGAUGCAACACGCUACUGAUAAAGAAAUUUACAAGCCUAGCAAAGUCCGAAUGGCCGAUAUUGGGUGUAAGCGAGUCUGGUUGGCUUCCUCUAUUUCUUUGGUGUCUUCAUCGGCUAAACCCUCCACUAGCUUAAGUUUCUUCUUCAUCAGGAGUGCUUUGCGAGCUUGGGUGUCUCUUUCUUGCUGAAGGCCUUUGAUUUUGUCGGGCAGCUGACUUUCUUCCUAUACAGUCUGAGUCAAUGCUUCUUCAACUUGCUUAAGUUCAGCUAGCAGAGCUUCCUUCCUUGCCGACAGAUCUAAGAUCUUCUGCUUCCACUCGGUGCCUGAAGCCUGUAAAUUGCCGAUGCUCUUAUGCUUCUCAUCGGCAAUGUGCUUCACUUGCAGCAUUUCUUCUUUAAGUUGAGCCAGGGUAGCUCUAUCGGUAAUGCGUUGUGCGGCUUUUUGAUAUUGAAGUUGACGACUCUCCAGAUGGGCAGCUUAGAAAAGUGCUUCUUCAACAUCGGCAGGGACCUGGCCACACAUUGUCUUGAAGAUAGCUUUUGCUGGGUCAAAAUCAUCCUCCAGUUGAGCUGUAUCUUGCUGCAAUAAGCCCAACAGAUCCUCAAACUUGGAUUUGACUUCCGCCAAUACUAUUCCAUGCACCAGUGAAGAGCUUGCCUCUUCUCCUUCGUCAUCAGAAAUCUUGAUGGCAAAGGAGAAUAGGCUGUCGGGAGAAUCUUGCUCCCAAGGAGGAUAGAGGGAGUAAAUCAGUUGGAGGUGAGCAUGAAUAUUGCAAAUAUGAAGAUCGGUCAAGUCAGAUAGCUUACUUGUUUUAAGACAAUUUCUUGCCUUUGGCUAGAGGAUGUAAUCUUGAUUGUGUCUUGAGGAGGAUCAGCUGGAUCUGCCCAUGGAAUAUCUUUAGUUGUAAAAUCGGUUAAUGCUAAGAAUGAUGAUAAUUUCUUUACAAGUUCAUCGGUGAUAAUUUCUUGGAUAGCCAAUAUUAUACCUUGUGUGGAAGCAAUAGUCAUCGUCUCAGGAACGACGGUCGAUGACGUGCCUUGGUCAGACGGGUCAAUUGUUUGCUCAGGUGCAUCGGCCGGUUCAGAUUGAUUGGGAAGCACUGACUGAGGUGGAGAGGAUUGUGUCGCUUUCUGCCAUUUUGGCUGAGUCUUAGUGCUUGUCGGAGGUUUCAACUUGGGUUGAGCUUUGGUGGCUACUGGCUGGGGGGGCAUCAGCACUCGACGAAUGAACAUCUUGAGCUCUUGCCGAUGUAUUGGUUUGUUGCUGCAAGGCGCAUGUAAAGCAUAAAUGUCUUAUAAGUUGAAUAUAAAGGCAGGAAAAUAGUUUUGAAAGUUUAUCAAGAGUAAAAGUAUCUGGUGUGGGACAAGUUACCGAUGAUGUCCUAGUUAUGGUCGAUACACCCUAAAAAGAUAGUGUAAGUAUGAACUGAGAUUAGCACAGUUGAAGUAAUUAAGGGUUUUUACCUUGAAAGCUUGUGCUAAGGUGGCAGCUACGACCGAUGGAGUGGCCUUUGAGCGAUUGGUAGUCAUUUUCUUGAAAUGAACUCCUCGGUGCAUCAGAGCUGCCAGAGUGGGUGUUGAUAUUUGGGAAAGCAAUAAGGAAUUGAUCCGCAAGCGCAUGGAUAUCGGUGAGUAUUGACGGUCCUUAAAUAUCAAAUUUAAUUAUCAAAUAAAUAAAGAAAAGGAUCCAAAUGAAAUCAACAUCUAGACUUAGGGAUUUAUCUGAUGGAAUUCCACGAGUUUUGGUGUUUGUCUAUUUCUGCAGGGGGUUAUCAGGAAAUAUGGAAGAAAGGCCCACACGUCGGGAUUACAUAGAGAUAUUAACGUGCCGCGCAAUUAUCUUACAUCUAGAAGACUCCAGAAGCCACGAGACCGAAGCGGAGACGAAACGGGGCCAGAGGCAGGGCACCCGCCCUGUUCCCCUGGGCGCCUGCACCCUCCCUGAGUCCAAUCAGGACUCUGCUUCGUGGGAGAUCUUCACCGACCUAAAGGAUGAAUCUAAACCAUACAAUCUAUGUCGGUUUGAUCCAACAGCCCAUAUUCACUUGAAGGGACUAUAAAACCAGACCCCCUGGCCCCUGGAGGAGAGAGCCUCUCAACCCUAAUUCAUUAUUCUCAAGGGAGAAGAAGCCUCUGAUCAAGAUUAGAGCCACCACAUCAAUUAGAUAUCUAGAUUAGCAUAGCUACAUAGGAUUAGAACUAGGAGUCAAUCUUCGAUUGGUUUCCGGAUCUGUCAAGAGGAUUCUUGGUAAUUCUCUAAUUGUGCUUCUAAUUGUUUUCUAAUUAUCUUUGUUCUUCAAUAUUAUGAAUAUGACUUUGUUCUACUUCAAUAUAUUGCUUAUGACUUUGCUCUACUUGCUUAUAUUCAAGAUUGUAUUGUUCUUAGUUUAUCAUAGUUAUGUACUUGGCUUAGUUAGAUUGGAUCUAUAUACAUGCUUAGGAUCGUAUAGCGUUUAUCCAUCGGAUCCAUGGGUAAAUGAUAGAUAUUGUGUAGGCGUGGUGCUUAUACCGUAUUUAUCUGCGAUUGUACCCAAUAUGCCAGAUCGUGGGGUAGUUCGUGAUAGUGACAGCUUCAUUGAUUCUUAUAUAGUCCCCCUCUCGUGUGUUGGGCUGGCAGAGCAAUAUUAUUAUAGGGGAGUGAUUGCUAUGUUUCUCAUUUACCUUGCUAAUAUCACUAUGCAUGGGCGUAGUCUUGUCUCACAAUGAUUGCUAAGUAUGCUUGCACUAACUAUGAUAAUGCUAGACUAUAUAGUUGAGAAUAACUUAGGAAAUAUUCUUGUAGUUCGUUCUAAUUCCAUGCUAAUGACUUUCUAGAGUAUCUAAUUGAGGUGCUUAUCAUAUUUAUAUGUGGCUGAUCAGAUCAAUUAUCUUUGUCACUAUUCAUUAUUUCAUAUAUCUUUUAUGUGACACUUAUCCCUGUAUGAAGAGUUAGAUAAAUGUUCUCAAUUACAUAUGCAAUGAUAGAUACUCAAUCUCAUAUUCUAUUCUGUAAUCAAUAUUGAUGAUUGCUAAUCCCUUCCCAGUGGUAAAAAUAUAAAUAACGAUACCUAGAAUACUUCCCGGUUAAAAUGCUACAUCGGUAUUAAUCAGUGCGCUUGCAGAUCCCAUUCAUUAUUUAUUUAGAAGAGCAAUUGCAUAUUUCAAUACCGCGUCUCUUAUAUCAUGCUGGGGAUGACAACUUGGCUUAAGUGGUGUGAGGGAUAGGUUUGGCAUUUUUGGCACCGUUACUAGAUUUAGAGAACUUAGUCUACUUUUGGUAACGAUGUUAAGAAUACCCAACAAGUAUUUUUGGCGCCGUUGCCGGGGAAGGUUGAUUACUAAUCAAGAAUGGAAUAAAGGAUUUUGAGUUAUCAUUCGCAUCACUAAUUUGAUUGAGCUUAUCUAUUCUCUCUUACAGUUUUACCCCGAUAUUUUUCUAUUUUAUCUUAUGCAGGGGAAUGUAUGAAUAGAAGACAUCUUUCAGGAAAUUUUGUUUACAAUCCCGAAGCAUUAUUCAAGAAGACAAGAGCCAAGCUCAAGAAGAGCUCAUCAACACUUCAGCAAGAAGCUUCAUCCAAUCAAGAAGAUCACCGGAACUUGUCUUCAGAGUUCGAAGCCAUGGCGAACAAAUCAAUCCGUGAGUUCUCAGCUCCCACUACUGACAACAUCCGCACUGGACCUGCUGCAGAGAUCGACGACAACUUUGAGCUCAAGCCUGGACUUAUCAACAUGGUGCAAUCCAACCAGUUCUGUGGGAAGGCACACGAAGAUGCUAGUGCUCAUCUACAACACUUCCUAGAGAUUUGCAACACAUUCACCAUAUCAGGAGUUUCCAAAGAUGCUAUACUACUUCACCUCUUCUCAUUCUCACUAUUAGGAAGAGCGAAGCAGUGGUUCUACGCUACAAAGGAGAAGAAUACUACAUAGGCACUCUGCUCAACAAACUUCCUGGCUAAGUUCUUUCCCAUGGGCAAGACCAAUGCUCUCUGUGGGAAGAUUACAAGUUUUCAACAACAAAAUGACGAAUCUAUUCCAGAAACAUGGGAGCGCUUCGAAUACUACAUCCUAGAAUGUCCCCAUCAUGGAAUGGAGAGUUGGCUAUUGAUGCAGACGUUUUAUCAUGGGCUCAGCAACAGUGCCCGAGAGACCAUGGAUGCUGCAGCUGGAGGAGCAUUCUUAUCACUUACUAUACCACAAGCCACAGCUCUUGUGGAGAAGAUGGCGUCCAACCAAAGCUGGAAUGAAGAGAGGACCCAGACACGCAAGAGAGGUGGAGGUAUGCAUCAGCUCAAGGAGGUAGACAUGCUGUCUGCAAAGCUAGACCUGCUCAUGAAGAAGCUCGACGAUAGAGCUGGAGAUAAGAAAGAAGUGAUGCACAUCUACGACUCUCACAUGACUUGUGAGGAGUGUGGAGACACUGGACACUUAGGCAAUCACUGCCCUGAGAUACUUGAGGAUGUGAACUACGUCAACAAUAACAACAACAACUACUACAACCGUCCUCAACAAAAUCAAGGUUGGAAUCAACAGAGGCCUAACUACUCAGGUAAUUAUCAAGGUAACAAUUCUUACAACAAUAAUAAUAAUUUUCCACCUCUGAGAGAGUUAGUGUCUAAUCAAGGAAAGCUAAUGGAUAACCUAUCUAAGAAAUUGGCAUCUAAUGAUAAAAUACUAGAAAAUAUAAAUAAUAGAAAGGAAAGUUUCUCUACUGCCAUCAAGAAACAAAUUAGCUUUAAUAAAAUGAUUGAAUCUCAGUUAAAUCAAAUAGCUGCUGUUGUUCCUACUACUAACCCCGGUAUACCAUAACAACCGGAAGGAUUAGAAUCUGCAAAUCUUGUAGACAUGUUUGAUGCAGGCAAUAAUUGGAGUAACCCCGUCACUGAUUUCACUACUGACCUUUUGCCGGUCAAGAGAGGUGAUCCAGGACGCCCCGUCAUCCCGAUCUCCAUCGGCAUGGUGGAUGUCCCAGAAGCACUCUGUGACUUUGGCUCCAGCAUCAACAUUAUACCCAGGGUACUCUAUGAAAAAUUCUUUACAUAUCCUUUAUUAGAAACAACCAUGUGUUUGCAGUUUCCAGAUCAGACGAUAACUUUUCCCAAAGGAAUAGUGAAGAACCUCUGUGUCCGAGUUGGUACCUUAUAUACCCCAGCAGACUUCGUAGUGGUAGAGACCGGAAAUGAUGAGAGGGCAUCUAUCAUCUUAGGGAGGCCAUUCUUGAACACCACGGGAGCUGUCAUCUACGCUAGUGCUGCCAAGAUCAGUUUCUACAUCAAAGGGAGGAAGGAAACAUUUUUCUUCAAGAACAAGACUACACAAAUCCCAGAUCAAUCCAGACGUGAAUCAAGGAAGAGGACCAACAGGAGAAACAGGAACAAGCAAGUGUGGACCGAGUCAGCUAAGAUGGUCACUGUAGUUCAUGGAGGUCAAGAGCAUCAACUUAAGUCACCAUUUUUGACCAAGAAGAACGACCCAGGAAUGCCAAGCAUCUAUUGCUCCAUAAAUGGAUACAGCUUCUACAAGACGUUUUGCGACACCAGAUCGGGCGUCAACAUAAUGGCCUGUUGGGUAUUUUAAACGCAAACAGAAAAAUCCGCAAGCGCACGGAUACCGAUGUAGCUUUCACCUGGGAGUAUUCCAGAGUAUCGAUUUUCCACAGAGAACGUGAGUGUACUAAUUAAGAUCCAAGAUCGCCCAAGGAUAACUAUAUAAUUAUUUUUUGUGGGAAGAGAGGAAGUUUCCUGAGAGUUCUCUAGUUGAUCUAAGAAUCAAGAAUUACUUAAAGAUUAUCUAUAUCUGGACAUCAGAGCACUAACCACAGAAAGAGAUGAGAAGGGGGCUACGAAGGUUUGACUACGGUCCUACAAACACCGAUCUGAAUGAGGUGGAAUACGUCGACCGUUAGGGCUGUCACUACCCUAAGGUUACCACAACAAUCCGCAGGAUUGGGUGCAAUUCCAGGUAAUCGCAAGACUAAACAUCACGUCUAAUCUAUUAAUUACUACUCUAGCGUUAUAAAGACUAGAGCACUUGAUGCAAGCGGGAAUCCAAUAAAUAACUUGAAUGUAAAUAAAAGUAAUUAAAGAACUCAGGAUUAUGAAUUGAAGAACCUGGAAAAGUAUAAUGUUAAGGAAGAUCCGACAGAUCCGGCUCCUCCUCCGCUCUCCUCUUCUCUCUCCCUAUUUUCUAGAUUACAACUAGAACUAACUAGAACUAGAACUAGAGGAACUAGAACUAGAACUAGAUGAACUAGAACUAGAACUAGAUGAACUAGAGGUAGAACUAGAUGAACUAGAGGGAUCCUCUCUACUUGGAUGAAGAAUUGAAACCCUAGCUUUGAUUCUGUAGAAGAGGUAUGAUCUCCAGGGGCCAGGGGGGUCUGGUUUUAUAGUCCCUUCAAGUGAAUCUGGGACGUCCGAUCAAACCGACAUUGAUCGUGUGGUUUUCCUUGAAGUAUUAGGUCGGUGGAGCAUGAUCCCCGAGUUGUACCCUGAUUGGGCAGAACAGGUGGGCGGGCGCCCUCACGACUAGGGCGGGCGCCCUAUCCCUGAGGCCUCUCGUCUUCCGCUUUGUUCCCGUGGCUUCUGGAGUCUUCUAGAUGAUAGAAAAUUGCGCGGCACGUUAAUAUCUCUAUGUAAACCCGACGUGUGGGCCUUUCUUCCGUAUUUCCUGAUAACCCCCUACAGAAAUAGACAAACACCAAAACUUGUGGAAUUCUGUCAGAUAAAACCCUAAGUCAAGGUGUUGGUUGCAUUUGGAUCCUUUUCUAUGAUUAGUUGAUGGUUAAAUGUGAGCAUUAAGGACCGUCAACAAGCUCCCCCAAGCUUAACCUUUGCUCGUCCCUGAGCAAAGAUGAACUCAAGAGUUUCUGCAGUGGCUUCAUAAAUUAAAAUACACAUGCAUUCAAACAAGAUCUCAUCUCUGGGUUAGGGUAACUGUUAAGAUUUAAACUUACUCAUAUUACCUUUCACCAUGGGGCUUGCAACCGUCACUUGUAUCUUGAGUAGUUAAAAGAUAGAACGGUCUAGUCAAGCGCUAUGUCUCUUGUUCUUCGAUUAACUAUAGCUCUGGAGUUUUUGCAGAUUUUCAAAUAAAACUCAGAGAUUCCUUGUAUGACUCUCUCUAGUCUCUCCUUUGUGGUAUUUCUGGAUCCUUACCAAUGCAGUAAUGGUGCACGCCUUCUCUCAAAGUAUGUGGUAUUUUUGGUAUGAAGCAUAGUGGCAUUACCUUCUCUCUCACCCUACUCUAAUAAGGUUUUGAUAUCUGGAGCUCAUAGGUGGGAGACAGCUAAUACAUACUUACAAGACAUUUAUUGCAUAGUCAAACCAUGGAUCCAGAAGAACAAGUCAAUAAGUCAAAUCAAGAUGUGCAUGUGUGGCGAAUGAUGUAUGGUGAUGAUGGUGAUAAUGAUGGUGAAAGUCUAAUUCUACUUUUGCUCUUUUGAGGGGAUACAUACCUUUCUUGCACUUUGAAGCUUUUUGGAGAGAAUGAGAUGCUCUAUAUUUUCUUUUUAUUUCCUCUCAGGUGGGUAUCUUGUACCCCUAAUUCUACUGUCAGACACUUGUCCAUUUUUACCUCUCGUCUCACUUUUUUCUUUUUUCUUCGAGGUUCCGGGCACUUGCCCCUUUUUAUUUCCUCGUAUUCUUCAUUUUUUUUUCUUUUUUUAGAGCACUCAUCCUCCUAGAAUAAUGUGGCAAGUGGUAGUAACCAAGAUAACUCGAGCAUGUAUUUCACAGGGAAUAACAGGGAUAGGAAAAUAUUUUUGGCUAUUCUCUCCCGGAUUAGGAGAAGAAUAAUUUUGGGUGAAUCUGGAGAUGGAAAUGAGUGGAUAUAUGUGGAUGGUACUUCCGGAGUAGAAGUAGCAUGUAUGAGUGAACGUGCAAGUGAAUCUUGAUUUUAACCACAUGACAAGCUCCUAAGGGUCUACACAGCUUGACCACACUCAAUGCUCAUAAGCAGUAAAAAGUAAAUAUGUGGCUCAAAGUCUAGCAAGCAUGUAUAUAUGGCUGUGGUAGGAUUUUAAUCUCUCAUCAUACAGGAACUCAUCAUGUGUUAUUUUAAAGAUUUUUCAAAGAUAAAAUUCUCCAGAAUUCUAGCAUCUCUAGGAACAGAUAAACAGCAGCUCAACCUUCCCAUAUCAUAUCCGUUAACGACUUAGACUUUAGAUCAAGUACUCUUCCCACAAGUUCAGGUUUAGAGCAAAUCUUAAUUAAUAACAGUCAUGCCUAAACUUGAGAGAGAUUUCAAUUUUAAGAACUAGUCAUGGCAGAGCAACUAUUCAUCAUUUCCAUGUGAGAGCUUAUCAUGAGGGUUCAUAGCAAACUUUAUUUAUUUAUUUAUUUAGCAAACUAAGCAAAGAUAUAUAUAAGCACAAAAUCUUUAUUUGGGUUUCUAUGAUUAUUCAUCUUUUUAUUAUUAGAGUAAAGUAUAAACUUGAGUAGAAUACUUAGCUGGAUAAAUGGGGGUGCUCUCCCCCAAGCUGGAUUUUGACGUGGUUUCUUCUAAUGUAGCUAGCAAGUGGUGAAGGUGUAUUUGAAUGUCAGCAGCACCCUAACAGCGAUUAGGAUGUCCUCCGUCUGCUAGUCUACUUUGAUCCUUGAAUUCUGUGGAGCUCAAAUAGACAACAAAGCUUUGUGGAACUAGUUAAGUGUUAGCAUAAAUAUCUAGCCUUUAUGAUGUUGAGCCUCCUCAAUAAAUGUUACUCUCUUUAGUAGGAUCACAAUCUUAUUUAUAUUUCAUUUUUAUAGGACAGGAAUAUAUAUUUAUUUUUACGCCACCACAGUGAAUGUACUUAUGGGUUUUAUGCCAUGAGCAUACUCACAUGGGGCCUACUAUUUUUAACAUUUUUAUUUUCUUUUUAAGAUGGUGUGAACCUGAUUAACUAAGCAAACUAUUUUAAAAUAAUUGAAAGGAAAAAGAUAACUACCAAGUUUACCUCUUGGCAAGGCGUUCGGUGUUUUUAAGUCCUCCGAACGGGACUCUCCAUUUUCUCAUUCGUCCUGGGAUUCGCUGGAUGGCGUAGUCGGUGGUUCCGGCGGUGCUUCCUCUUCGUGUAUAACUAUCUUCUCUCUCCACACCUGAGUCGGUGCUACGUUCUCCUCAGGACAGUUCUGUUCAAGUUGUAUGUCUUCAGACCUUGCUACUUUUCCUUCGUAGUCUGCUCAUCCAUCCUUGAUGAUUUGCCUCCUCUGGUUGCGGUUGCGUCGUCUUCUUCUUGUCCUAACCUGUUUAGAGUCUUGAACUAUAUAGUUAGGGUCAGUAAAAUAGCGGUGUACCUUCUCAGAAGUGCAUGUGGACUUCUCUGGUUCCAAUGUAGAUGAUUGCUUUAACGGUGCUGAGGAAGGGUCUCUUAAGGAUGAUGGAUGGAUCGUACUCGUCUUCUCCCAUGUCAAUAACCUUAAAAUCAUCUGGAGCUGAAUGUAUGUUGGUUGUAGGGGCAUGGUUCCAUGCAGGAGUUGAUAAGUGACUGCAGCCAUUAUCUUGACGUCAGAUCCAGUGUCGUAGAGUGUCUUCUAAAAAGAGUAUCCUUUGAUUGUGCACUCGAUGCUUGGAACACCAGGGUCGUCCUUCUUGAUCAAGAAAGGCGACUUGAGUUGACGAUCUUGACCUCCUUGAGCUGCAGUGACCAUCUUAGCUGACUUGGUCCACAUUUGCUUAUUCAUGUUCCUCCGGUUGGUCCUUCCUUGGUUCAUGUCAGGAUUGCUCUAAGAUUUGUGUAAUCUUGUUCUUGAAGGAAAACGUCUCCGUCCUUCCCUUGAUGUAGAAACUGAUCUUGGUAGUAGUAGCGUAGAUGACAGCUCCUGAGGUGUUCAGGAAUGGCCUCGCUAGGAUGAUGGGUGCCCUCUCAUCAGUAUCAGUCUCUAUCACCACGAAGUGUGCUGGAGCGUAUAAGGUACCAACUCGGACGUAGAGGUGCUUCAAUAUUCUCUUUGGGAAACUUAGCGUACGAUCUGUAAGCUGCAAACACAUGGUUGUUUCUAAUAAAGGAUGUGUAAAGAAUUUUUCAUAGAGUACCCUGGGCAUAAUGUUGAUGCUGGAGCCAAAGUCACAGAGUGCUUCUGGGAAGUCCACUAUGCCGAUGGAGAUCGGGAUGACAGGGCGUCCUGGAUUGUCUCUCUUGACCGGCAGAAGGUCAGUAAUUACUACCACAAUGGGGUUACUCCAGUAGUUACGUCCUCAAGCAUCUCAGGGUAGUGAUUGCCUGAGUGUCCAGUCUCACUAGUGUGUUUGUGCUCGUAGAUUUAGGUUCUUCACUUGGUGGAGUAUGGGAGUUGUAAAAGUCCUUCAUAUUUUGCUCAAAGUGUACCUGCUCAUAGAGACAAGGCAAAGAUAAAGUGCAUGAGCCCUGUUGGUGGAAAACACCAACAGAACCAAAAGUGUAUUUGUUCUCUCUAACCUUAAGCAUAGUGAGAAAGACAAAGUUGAUGGAUAAUAAGACCAUGAGUGUAACAUUUAAAACAUUCGUCAGAUCAGAUCACUCAACCUAAUGGAAAGAUAAUCUAUCUAUACUUAUGUUUAUAUAUAUAUAUAUAUCUUCCAAAGAUUGAGUGUGCAACAUUUUAGCUCAUAUGAUUAGGAGUGUGGGAUCACAAAGGUGGAAGGACUAAACAUAUUGAAUCGAUUGGGUUGGUUAAUCUAGAGUUGUAAAUCAUACAUGUUUGUCUCUUUUACUCAUGUGAACGCCAGAACCAAGGAGAAGCUUAUAAAAGUGAUAGUCAAGUACUUUAAGAUGUUACCUUACUUGAAGAGUGAUGGUACAGUAUCAGCUUGUGGAAGCUUUCCUCUCUUAGCGGUUGUGCAUCGUGUUUUUGGCACCCUCCAUGGAUCAUCUCUUGUGAGCUAUGCCUUCCUUGUGUAAAUUGUUAAACUUCUUGUGUGUCUCUCUUUGUCUCCAAUGUGAGUUUAUCUUAGGACUUCCCAAGUUGAUGUUGAAAGUUUUAUUUUUCUGCAGGGGUUAGUCUGACAAAAUAUACCAAUGUCUACACAAGCAGUUUUUAGUUCAAUAACCAAACUAGACUCCAUGUCUAAUUAGAUUAAGGAAGGUUGUUUAACCUAAGCACCAUGCUUAAUUUAAAAACCAAUAGAAGUAUGUACAGUACUUCCAAACUAACACUUACUAGGAUAAACAAAGGUAGCGUGAUGGCUUUUAUAGAGAUCUACUCAAGUGGAGAUGAAGUAGUGUGAUUACUAUUUAACAAAUUGAGCAUGUCUCAAAGGUAGGGACAACCAACAUAGCAACAUGGCAAAUGAUGUUUUUAUAUAAAGUACUCCCCCAAGCUUGAAUUUUGCAAAAUUCAAGUUUGGAUGAAUUUAAUUCAAUGUUGCAUGAUGAUUGGUUGUACAUACCUUGUGCUUGUCAUUCAUCCGAUCUUCUUGCUCGAAUCCUAGAAAGGUUAGUGACAAGAAUACCCGAAGGAAUUUUUUUACAAUUAUUCUUAUAUGCUCAAUACACAAGGUAAUGUUGCGAAAAGCUCAUGUUACGAUCUGAUCAAUGCUUGUUUUAGGACACUAAGCUUGUCCUUGGGAAACCAUAAAUUUAUGUCGGCGAAGUGGUUUCCCCUCCAACGCUGACCUAUAUCAAGAUCAACUCAAUGAGAUCUGCAAUAUUUAAUAUAGACAUAUUCAUCGACAACCGCCCUUUUAAAGUUUUUAUAAAUAGAAAGGAAGAGGGGGUUGGAGAUCUCGAAUGUGGUGAUGUUGGAGAGACCAAUGGAUUGUGAAGAUGUUGCAUAUGAGCAUGGAGUAAAUGAAGUGGCUAUGAAAUAAAUUCCAUGCUCAUUAAUGCUUAGAGUGAAAUCCAUGUGGUAUGGUGAAAAUGAUAAGGUGAGUGUGGUAAAAAAGGAAAAGAAAAAGGAUACACAGACGACUUGGUUCGAAACUAGCACAACUACCGUUCCCCGGCAACGGCGCCAGAAAGCUUGUUGGGUAUUUUAAACGCAAACAGAAAAAUCCGCAAGCGCACGGAUACCGAUGUAGCCUUCACCCGGGAGUAUUCCAGAGUAUCGAUUUUCCACAGAGAACGUGAGUGCACUAAUUAAGAUCCAAGAUCGCCCAAGGAUAACUAUAUAAUUAUUUUUGGUGGGAAGAGAGGAAGAUUCCUGAGAGUUCUCUAGUUGAGCUAAGAAUCAAUAAUUACUUCAAGAUUAUCUAUUUUGGGACAUCAGAACACUAACCAUAGAAAGAGAUGAGAAGGGGGCUAGGAAGCUCCGACUACGGUCCUACAAACACCGAUCCGAACGAGGUGGAAUACGUCGACCGUUAGGGCUGUCACUACCCUAAGGCUACCACAACAAUCCACAGGAGUUAUGAAUUGAAGAACCUGGAGAACGAUGAAGAACGAACCAGUUGCUGCAAAAGUACAAUGUUGAGGAAGAUUCGACAGAUCCGGCUCCUCCUCCGCUCUCCUCUUCUCUCUCCCUAUUUUCUAGAUUACAACUAGAACUAACUAGAACUAGAACUAGAGGAACUAGAACUAGAACUAGAUGAACUAGAACUAGAUCUAGAUGAACUAGAGGUAGAACUAGAAGAACUAGAGGGAUCCUCUCUACUUGGAUGAAGAAUUGAAACCCUAGCUUUGAUUCUGUAGAAGAGGUAUGAUCUCCAGGGGCCAGGGGUCUGGUUCUAUAGUCCCUACAAGUGAAUCUGAGCCGUCGGAUCAAACCGACAUUAAUCGCACAGUUUUCCUUGAUCCUUUAGGUCGGUGGAGCAAAAUCCGCGAAACGUGUCCUGAUUGGGCACUGUAGCUGGGCGGGCGCCCUGCCUCCGAGCCCGAUUGCCUUCCCGUUCGGUCCCAUGGCUUCUGGAGUCUUCUAAUGUUAGAAAAUUGUGCGGCACGUUAAUAUCUCUAUGUAAACCCGACGUGUGGGCCUUUCCUUCGUAUUUCCUGAUAACCCCCUGCAGAAAUAGACAAACACCAAAAGUCGUGGAAUUCUGUCAGAUAAAACCCUAAGUCUGGGUGUUGGUUGCAUUUGGAUCCUUUUCCAUGAUUAGUUGAUGGUUAAAUAUGAGCAUUAAGGACCGUCAACAACAUGCUUGCUAGACUUUGAGCCACAUAUUUACUAUUUACUGCUUAUGAGCAUUGAGUGUGGUCAAGCUGUGUAGACCCUUAGGAGCUUGUCAUGUGGUUAAAUCAAGAUUCACUUGCACGUUCACUCAUAUAUGCUACUUCUACUCUGGAAGUACCAUCCACAUAUAUCCACCCAUUUCCAUCUCUAGAAUCACCCAAAAAUAUUAUACUCCUAAUCCGGGAGAGAAUAGCCAAAAAUAUUUCUGUUUUUUCCUUGUGAAAUAAAUUCUCAAGUUAUCUUGUUACUACCACUUGCUAUAUUAUCUCAAGAGAUGAAUGCUCUAAAAAAAGAGAGAAAAAAGAUACGAGGAAAUAAAAAGGAGCAAGUGCUCGGAACCUCGAAAGAAACGAAAAAAGUGAGACGAGAGGUAAAAAAAGACAAGUGUCCGACAGUAGAAUUAGGGGUACAAGAUACCCACCUGAGAGAAAAGAAAAAGAAGAGCAUCUCAUUCUCCUCACUAUUCAAAAAGCAAGGAAGGUAUGUAUCCCCUCAAGGAGCAAAGUAGAAUUAGAAUUUCACCAUUGCUACCACCAUCAUCACCAUACACCAUUCAUUCGCCACACAUGCACAUCUUGAUUUGACUUAAUGAUUUGUUUCUUUCGAUCCAUGGUUUGACUAUGCAAUACAUGUCUUGUAAGUAUGUAUACUUUAUCUCCCACCUAUGAGCUCCAGAUAUUAAAAGCCUUAUUAGAGUAGGGUGAGAGAGAAGGCAAUGUCACUAUGCUUCAUACCACAAAUACUACAUAUCUUGAGAGAAGGCAUAUACCAUCACUGCCUUGGUAAGGAUCCAGAAAUACCACAAAAGAGACAUCUGAGAGAAUCAUACAAGGAAUCUCUGAGUUUUAUUUGAAAAUCUGCAAAAAACCCCAGAGCUAUAGCUGAUCAAGAAUAAGAGACAUGGCACUUGACUAGACUGUUCUAUCUUUUAACCACUCAAGACAGAAGUGACGGUUACAAGUCCCAUGGUGAAAGGUAAAGUAAGUAAGUUUUAAGUCUUGACAGUUUACUCUAACUCAGAGAUGAGAUCUCAUUUAAAAAGCAUGUGUACCGUCAAUUUUUAAAGAUAUUGCAACAACUUCUAAUCCAUCGCUGAGUCUAUCCUUGCUCAGGGACGAGCAAGAGAUAAGCUUGGGGGAGUUUGUUGACGGUCCUUAAGUAUCAAAUUUAAUUAUCAGAUAAAUAAAGAAAAGGAUCCAAAUGAAAUCAACAUCAAGACUUAGGGAUUUAUCUGAUGGAAUUCCACGAGUUUUGGUGUUUGUCUAUUUCUGCAGGGGGUUAUCAGGAAAUAUGGAAGAAAGGCCCACACGUCGGGAUUACAUAGAGAUAUUAACGUGCCGCGCAAUUAUCUUACAUCUAGAAGACUCUAGAAGCCACGAGACCGAAGCGGAGACAAAGCGGGGCCAGAGGCAGGGCGCCCGCCCUGUUCCCUUAGGCGCCCGCCCCCUCCCUGAGUCCAAUCAGGACUCUGCUUCGUGGGAGAUCUCCACCGACCAAAAGGAUGAAUCUAAACCAUACAAUCUAUGUUGGUUUGAUCCAACGGCCCAUAUUCACUUGAAGGGACUAUAAAACCAGACCCCCUGGCUCCUGGAGGAGAGAGCCUCUCAACCCUAAUUCAUUAUUCUCAAGGGAGAAGAAGCCUCUGAUCAAGAUUAGAGCCACCACAUCAAUUAGAUAUCUAGAUUAGCAUAGCUACAUAGGAUUAGAACUAGAAGGAGUCAAUCUUUGAUUGGUUUCCGGAUCUGUCAAGAGGAUUCUUGGUAAUUCUCUAAUUGUGCUUCUAAUUGUUUUCUAAUUAUCUUUGUUCUUCAAUAUUAUGAAUAUGACUUUGUUCUACUUCAAUAUAUUGCUUAUGACUUUGCUCUACUUGCUUAUAUUCAAGAUUAUAUUGUUCUUAGUUUAUCAUAGUUAUGUACUUGGCUUAGUUAGAUUGGAUCUAUAUACAUGCUUAGGAUCGUAUAGCGUUUAUCCAUCGGAUCCAUGGGUAAAUGAUUGAUAUUAUUGUGUUGGCGUGGUGCUUAUACCGUAUUUAUCUGCGAUUGUACCCAAUAUGCCAGAUCGUGGGGUAGUUCGUGAUAGUGACAGCUUCAUUGAUUCUUAUAUAGUCCCCCUCUUGUGUAUUGGGCUGGCAGAGCAAUAUUAUUACAGGGGAGUGAUUGCUAUGUUUCUCAUUUACCUUGCUAAUAUCACUAUGCAUGGGCGUAGUCUUGUCUCACAAUGAUUGCUAAGUAUGCUUGCACUAACUAUGAUAAUGCUAGACUAUAUAGUUGAGAAUAACUUAGGAAAUAUUCUUGUAGUUCGUUCUAAUUCCAUGCUAAUGACUUUCUAGAGUAUCAAAUUGAGGUGCUUAUCAUAUUUAUAUGUGGCUGAUCAGAUCAAUUAUCUUUGUCACUAUUCAUUAUUUCAUAUAUCUUUUAUGUGACACUUAUCCCAGUAUGAAGAGUUAGAUAAAUGUUCUCAAUUACAUAUGCAAUGAUAAAUACUCAAUCUCAUAUUCUAUUCUGUAAUCAAUAUUAAUGAUUGCUAAUCCCUUCCCAGUGGUAAAAAUAUAAAUAACGAUACCUGGAAUACUUCCCGGUUAAAAUGCUACAUCGGUGUUAAUCUGUGCACUUGCAGAUCCCAUUCAUUAUUUAUUUAGAAGAGCAAUUGCAUAUUUCAAUACCGCGUCUCUUAUAUCAUGCUGGGGAUGACAACUUGGCUUAAGUGGUGUGAGGGAUAUGUUUGGCAUUUUUGGUACCGUUACUAGAUUUAGAGAACCUAGUCUACUUUUGGUAAUGAUGUUAAGAAUACCCAACAGUGAGCACUUCACCCGGGAGGUUAUCCAAAGUAUCGUAUUUAUAUUUUUACCACUAGGAGAAAGAGUGCAUCUGACUAACCCAGUCUAUUACUACUAACCAUUAGGCUACAAAGAAUGUUUCUCGAUGUGAGCGAUGUAUAGAGAAUACUACAACCGUAAUCUCUUUCUAACCUUGGUAAGGAUGAUCUACUGUUCUAUUGGGAAGCUUACGGAAUCUAGACACCAUAGAGGAUGUUCAACCCGCACCUAUAAACCCUAUCCUUCCUGCUAACGAGAUAUGGCCUGCAAAGGUAACUCGGAAAUGUCACGUUCCUCGCUACUACCACGGUCCAGCUAGUCAGAGGAUAUCCAUGAGUAUCCUAGCCCAAACACCAUGUCUACGCUAGAGAUGAUUACUCUAAACUCUACGCGAAGAGAUUAAAGUAAACUCAUAAACUAAAGAACAAUAAAACAAGAACUUACUAGAAUUUAGAAGUCGAAAUACUGAAGAAUCCUAGGAGCAAGCUUCGGGUUAGGAGAACUUGAUCCCGCAGGUACAACCUCGGAGUAGACACCGACAGGCCGGGCUUCCUCCGAUCUACACCUCCACUCUAUCUCUCUCAAUCUAGUAGAAACUAGAAGAUCUAAUUCUACUCACAUUGGAUGCUAAGCCCUAAGUCUAUUUAGAGGAGAGGUAUUCUUUCGAGGGCUCCUCUCAACUCUAUGAUGAACUUGUUCUCCUCCAGGGGCCAGGGGGUCUACUUAUAUAGUUCCCUCAGGUGAACGUGGGUCGUUGGAUCAAACCGACAUUGAUUGAACGGUUAUCCUUGAUCCUUUAGGUCGGUGGAGCAUAAUCCUGAAAGAGAGUCCUGAUUGGACUCCAAAGGGGGGCGGGUGCCCUGGUCCGUAGGGCGAGCGCCCUGGGCUAGGCCCCGUUCUGCCUCUGCUUCGUUCUCGUGGCUUCUGGAGUCUUCUAGAUGGUAGAAAAUUGUGCGGUGCGUUAAUAUCUCUAUGUAAUCCCGUCAUGUGGGCCUUUCUUCCUUAUUUCCUGAUAACCCCCUGCAGAAACAGAUAAAAAACAAAACUCGUGGAAUUCUAUCAGAUCAAACCGUAAUCCUAGGUGUUGUUUGCAUAUUGGUCCUUUCUCUUGUUUAUUUGAUAAUUAAAAUUGAUACUUAAGAACUGUCAACAAAUACCCCCAUACUUAGGCUUUUACUCGUCCUCGAGAAAAGGAUGGUUAAGAAAAAUAUCUAGGGUAAAACAUUUUAAAACAUUUUCUUCAUACCUGCAGGGUGUUGUAAAAAUUCACUGUGUACUGUAGUUAGGGAAGUAUAUGGUUAAGAGUAGAGAUCCUUUAUUCUCAAUCCUGUUACUUGGAGUUUUUAUAUAUUUUUGAAAAGAAAUCUAGCAUACCUUUAUCCUCACAGGUUCUCUCAGGUCACUCAUUAUCUCUUAUAUCUCACUGAGGCUGUUUUAAUUUGCAAAAAUUCUCAAGCAUACUUACUUUGCAUUUAUUGCCUGAUCAAAACGGGAUCCGAGGAGAAGACUGCCAUACUCUUAGAUCAAAGACUUUGGAAAUUAAAAACAUGUCAACUCUUACUGGCAUAUUGCUUAUUAGAGGGACCAUGGGCUAUUAUUUUCUUUCUUUUCUCUUUUUUUAGGUGGAUACCGAGGUACCCCUAAUUCUACUGUCGGACACUUGUCCAUUUUUUCUGCGAGGUUAUCGAGCACUUGCUCCUUUUUAUUUCCUCGAAAUAUCCUUAUUUUUGCAUAGCCCAUGCCUCUAAUGCAAUAAUACUUUGGAAGAGUGUAUCUUUCUGAAUAAAUGUCUUGAUCUUAGGAGCAUGAUAAAUCUCUCAACAAGGGUCUAACUCAUUUUGAACAAACUCAAUACAAAGUAGAUAGCUUUUAUAAUUAUCAUGAUUAAUAUUUUCAGGUUUAUCAGGCAUAUAAAACACUGAGGAUGGUAGCUACAAUUUUUUGAAUAAAUUCUCCAAGCAACAAUGAUAUCAAGAAUAAGGUACUCAUACUCUACCAUCUCACAUUCCACAAUGACUUAAGUAACACAGGGUUUUAAAAUGAUUUUUCAAUAAUUGCAGGUUUUCAGGAAAUAUCACAGAGUGAGAUUAAUCAUGAUUAGAAACAUUUUAAUCUUUUUAAUUUAUCAUGUCAGAGACAAUAUUCUGCAUAAUCCAAGUAAAGUGUGCAGAGUAUGUAACUGAAUCGUGGAGUGGUGUAGUCGAAGUGUGUUUGGCAUGUCGAGGGAUCUCCCCCAUACUUGUUUUCUGCUUUCUUGCAUAAAAGUAAAGUAGAGACACACAAGACAUAAUAAUAAUACUCUUUAUUAAUCUUGAGGCAUUUAUUACAAAUUACUAAUAGCAAACUGACGAUAAUAAUAAAUCUAAACCGAAUUUAAAGAUAAAUAACUAAGAUGCAUUGCCUCAAGAUCUAAUCUAGAUAACUUAGCGGCGCUCUAACUCCUUGAUCUUAUUAUUGGCACUAGCAAGAUCAUGCCUAAGACCUAGUAUCACCAUGUUGUGGUUAGAGAGCUGCCUAGUGAUGGAGUUAACCGAGGACUGGAGGUCUAUGAUGACCCUAUCUAGCCUGCGAACGUCCUCAUCAAUAUCUACUAUAGUCUUGCGACGCUUAGGAGGUGUCUCGAGAGCAUUGAGAGCGUGCUUCGGGGCUGCCUUUGGAGGGAUGAAACAGACUUUGGCUGCUCUAAUCCCCUCAAAGUAAGGCCUCUCCACGUCCGUAGUGUAGCGGAUGCUGCUAAUCUCGCCGCUACAGUUGGUCUUGACUCCAAUGACCCUCUCAUUGGGUCAAGGUGGAAGGAUCCUAGUGCCGGCUGGCACCUUGAUGGUGGUCUCCUUCUUGGCUGAUGGUCCCUUGAGAAGUAGGGGUUGUGGCGGUGCGGUGAGAACUGGUUGAGCAUGGUAGGAUUGGGCGGAGCUGUGCUGGCAUAAUGGCAUGGCUUCUAGCUGUCGCUCUAUGUUGGCCGGGACGAGAGCACGGGCGUCGGGGUCUUACUUAGGCUUCUUGUUGAGGUAGUAGGGAACGACUUCCCAAUCGUCGUGGAACUCUUCGACCAUUGGAGCAGCGAGGAACUAAGCAAGCUCUAAUUGAAGAAGGAGAGAAGGCUUGAAUAGAUUGGUGUUUGAAAACUGACGUCAGGGGUCUGUUUAUAUAGGGGUCAAAAAGUGCCUCUAGGGGUUGUUCGGGUUACUCCCGUCGCCGUGCGUGUGAAACUUUUCAUCUGAAGGAUUAUUUGGUUUACCAUAAGUGUGUUUUCCAUGACAGGGGAAAUCGGGACCGAGAGGGGGUAGGGGCUGGGCGCCCGCCCUGUGUCUGACCCCUUUGUGGGUCUGCUUCCUCGAGCGAGUUUCUAGAUGCAAAACUUAUUAGGAAAAUAUAUACAUGGCCCUAAAACGUUAGAUUAAAAAGGUUGGGCUCUAAAUCUCCAUGGGAAGGUAGAAAUGGAUUACGUCUAUUUCUUCUAAUUCUUUUUUAGGCUCUAAAACUAAUUUAAGACGUUGACCAUUUACCUUGAAUAACGUACCUUCGUCAUUUUGAAGUGUGAUAGCUCCGUGGGAUGACUAAUUGAUUACCUUGAAUGGUCCUUCCCAUUUACUCUGGAGUUUUCCAGGCCCGAAAAGCUUCACCCUAGAAUUAAAAAGAAAUACCUUAUCUCCGGGUGCGAACUCCUUCUUCUUGAUCCUCUUGUCAUGCCACCUUUUGAUAUGCUUUCUCUCGCCAUUCUUCCAAUUCUGAUAGUUGCAUUGUUCUAUGGUCUCCAGCGACAUCUAGGUCCAUAUUCCAUCUCCUUAUGGCCCAAUGUGCUUUGAAUUCUAGUUCAACAGGUAGGUGGCAAGUCUUCCCGUACACCAAUUGGUAUGGGGACAUUCCAAUUGGGGUCUUGUAUGUUGUCCGGUAUGCCCAGAGUGCAUCGGGUAACUUGUCUUUCCAUGCCGUUCCCAUUUCAUUCACUGUCUUCUGAAGAAUAUUCUUGAUUUGCUUGUUGGAAGUCUCUGCUUGGCCACUUGUCUGAGGAUGAUAGGGGGUAGCGACGCUGUGACGGAUUCCAUGUUUUGAUAGAUAUUGGUUGAAGCGUUUGUCGAUGAAGUGUGCUCCUCCAUCACUUAUCACUACUCUGGGGACUCCAAAUCUUGGAAAUAUAAUUUCUUCAAACAUCCUCUUUGAACUGAUGUUGUCGGCAUGCUUCCAAGGUAAUGCCUCUAACCACUUGGUGACGUAGUCAACUGCCACCAAGAUGAACUCACACUUCUUUGAUGGGGGAAAUGGACCCAUGUAAUCUAUUCCCCAAACAUCAAAGAGCUCAAUCUGAAGGUUGUUGGUGAGUGGCAUGGCAUCCCCUGUGUUUAUGUUUCCGUGUCUUUGACAUGGCCCACAUCUUCUGAUAUAUUGCUUCGUGUCUUCAUACAUUGUAGGCCAGUAUAAUCCACACUGCCAGAUCUUUGAAUGUGUACAGAAUGCUCCAUAAUGACCUCCAUAAGGUGAUGAAUGACAUGUGUCAAUGAUCUUCCAUCCUUCCUCGGUGGUCACACAUCUCUUGAGUAAACCAUCAGAGCUUACUCGGAAGAGGUAUGGCUCAUCCCAUAUAUGUGAAUGACUUUCUUGAAUAAGCUUAUUCUUGUUUGCUCCUAGUGGUACAUACCCUGAAACCAUAAAAUUAACAAUAUCUGCAUACCAGGGGUCAGACGUGUUAAUCCUGUAGAGCAUGUCGUCCCAGAGUGAAUCAUUGAUGGGGGUUUCGUGUGGAUUCUUAAAAUACAUUCUAGACAAGUGAUCAGCAACAAAAUUUUCUACUCCCUUUUUAUCUUUUAUUUCUAAGUCAGAUUCUUGAAGUAAUAAGAUCCAUCUAAUCAGGCGAGGUUUAGCAUCUUUUUUAGUGAGAAGAUAUUUUAGUGCAGCAUGAUCAGUAUAAACAAUUAUUUUAGCUCCAACUAAAUAAGAUCUAAAUUUAUCAAUGGCAAAGACAACAGCCAGAAGCUCUUUUUCAGUGGUUGCAUAAUUAAGUUGAGCUCCUGUCAAAGUUUUACUGGCAUAAGCAAUUGCAUGAUGCUUCUUAUUUUUAGUUUGUCCCAAAACUGCCCCCACAGCAUAAUCCAUAGCAUCACACAUAAUUUCAAAAGGCAACGACCAAUCAGGGGGUUGAAUGAUUGGUGCAGAGAUGAGUGCAUUCUUUAAUAAAUUGAAAGAUGUUAGGCAUGCAUCAUCAAAUUCGAAAGGAACAUCGUUGGCUAGCAAAAGAGUAAGUGGUCUAGCAAUAAAUGAAAAAUCUUUUAUGAAUCUACGAUAAAAACCAGCAUGGCCAAGAAAGCUUCGAAUUCCUUUUACAUUCACAGGUGGAGGUAGUUGUUCAAUUACUUCAAUUUUAGCUUUGUCUACCUCAGUACCUCUUUCAGACACUAGGUGUCCCAACACUAUUCCUUCCCUCACCAUAAAAUGACAUUUUUCCCAGUUAAGAACUAAGUGCUUUUCUUCACAUCUUUGCAAAACCUUGUCUAAGUUUUCAAGACAACUAUCAAAACUUUUUCCAUAAACAGAGAAAUCAUCCAUGAAAACUUCCAUAAUCUCUUCAAUCAUAUCAGAAAAUAUAGAUAUCAUGCAUCUUUGAAAAGAAGCUGGUGCAUUACAUAACCCAAAAGACAUUCUACGGUAAGCAUAAGUUCCGUAUGGGCAUGUAAAAGUGGUUUUGCUCUGAUCAUCGGGAUGGAUCGGGAUCUGGUGAUACCCUGAAUAUCCAUCUGUUGGUGCAAAAGCUGAUCUGCAAACACAAAGGGCUAAUACCCGAUUUAAACGUUAAGGCGUGCCAGCCGAUUUGACCUUACUAUCGGCAAAGGUGAUAACUCGAACACUUUGGUCCCAACCACAGCGAUGCGCUCGGAUGUCACGGCCAAGAGGUGCUCACGCGGAACUUGAGAACGCGCCGAGCUUAAGUCGACGAAUUCCUAAGAACUCGUAGUAAAAAGGAAAAUGUGACGAAGUCGUCGAAAAAGUAGAUGCUGGAAUAUGAGUAAAAAUUUGUGUUUGAUUGAUUGAUAGAUUGUUCAUUACAAGGCCCUAGGGUCUACAUUUAUACCCUGCUUAAAGAGCUACAAUCAGACACGACUAGGACUCAAAUUCCAAAUCAAACGGAAUCCGUAUACAAAACAAAUUUAAAUAACUAAGGAAAACAUAAAACUAUCCCCUUGUAAUCGACCGGGACACCGCCACAGAUCAAUCGGCAACCUCUACGCUUUCCUUCAGAAUCAUCGCCAGACCUCCUGUCAUGGCCAUCGGCAAACACUGAUACCGAUCAUCGGCACGAACAUGUCACCACCUCUGGACUUAGUCACAUUCAACUGUCUCUUCAUCGGCAACUUCCCUGCAGACUAGUUACCGUUGCUCCAUCUGCCGAUCUAUACUUUACCGAUCCCCAGGUACGUGUCUAAAAAUGGUGUCAACACAUGCCCCCUAAUUUCGGAGUAUAAAAUCAUUAAUGCUCCAAAAUUCUCUGCAGUAAUGAUGCCUUUCCGCAAUUAAUUUUCCCCAUUUGGUAACCGUUCGUCAAAUCCGAACAACCUUGGCCCGAUUCUCUUGUAUAUUCCUCAAAUUCCUCAACCUCCCGAUCCAAACCUCUCCACUUUAUGCACCCAUCGGCAAUAUUACCGUUAGAGGGAACUGCCGAUGGACCGACCAGGAGAUCUUGCACAGUGAAAUAUCUCCAAAAUCAUGACCGCUUGCCGUCAAAUCAUCUGCGCAAACCCUUGAUUACCAUGCGAACAGUUACCAUAUCCACCUGAGUACCCUCGGAUUUCACGGAUGCGGCGAAGAGAUAAGUCAGAUUUGCCCCUGCCCGUUUUGUCCUAUAAAUACUUCCUUCUCUGGUACUCGUUCUCCAUCUUGUCAUUCUACAGCCCAAAAUCCACUUUCACGGCGGCGGCACCAUCCGAGGUCUCCAAGAACUUCAACGAAGGCUUUCUUCACCAAUCCCCCAAGUCUUCGACCUUCUUUCUUGUAAGAAAAUGGCCAUCAACUUCAUCGUGCCUGAGGUCAGUUCACCACCCCUCUUUUCCGCACCUUUACUGUACUCCUGUUCAUCCGCAAUUCAUCUUACUGAAUACCCCUUUUUCUUUAUUGUUCUUCUUUUUAUCCUCAAAAACCUCUAGGAUCUGGCUGAUAAGAUCGUUAUUCCUACCGAUCAACCGCACCUCCAAUGUCUUGGCCCACUAGGAAACCCAGAUCCUACCGAUCUGAUAAACGCAGAGACAAACAGAGUUCCUUUUAGAGCCGAAAACUUUUCCCUAGAUCUAUGGAAAGAUGCCUUCCGUUCCUGGCCCAGUCCUACCAAGGGAUGGAAGGAUUGGUUCUGGAGAGUCAGCCACUCAAAUGAGGUUCAAUGGGGCGAGCGAAAAUUAGAUCGGUGCAUUAGGUUGUCUCUUGCCAAUAUGGAGAGAAAUGAGUCACUGCUAAUUGCUGCCUCCUACUUUUGGUCGGACACGCUUAACGCUUUUGUCCUUGGCCACGGCCCUACUUCUCCUACACUUGCCGAUGUGCUCAUGCUUACCGGCUUAGAUAUAUCCACUCCUGAUAACAGCCAUCUAUUUGACACCAGACCCAGUUCUAAGGUAGAAUCUCGCUCUAUCGGUGGUUGGUCUGGGUAUAUUCAGAAAUACCGAAGAACAGGACCUGUUAAUCCAAAUGAACAGACCACUUUCCUGAAUAUGUGGCUGGAUAAGUUUGUAUUCUGUGGCCGAUCGGCAGGACGGACCUCUGUCUACUUAUCGGCAGCAGAAAGAUUAGCCGAUGGUGGCCGAUUCCCUCUUGGCCGAUACCUGCUCGGCUCUGUCUAUCACCUCCUCCACCAUGUAGCCAGGAAACUUCUGCUCGGCCAACCCAUCAGCAACUUAGGGGGUCCUUGGUGGUUUAUCAACAUGUGGCUUAGUCUUCACAUGCACAAGCGCCUCGAAUUCGACCUCUUUGCACAGCGCUUCCCCAGGGACAUAGCCGAGGACAAUGAACUGCAUGAAGAAGAAUCGGCAACUCGCCCUCCCUUGAACUUUGGCGAGGCUGCCAUAGUCUUACCUGGCACUGGUGGUAAUGAAGACCAGGUUAGCCAAUUCUUUCUGACUCUAUAUGAAGGUCUGACUAGAGAACAUCGAGCGUGGAUGCCUUAUGAAAAUCCAGAUACCAGAUUUCCCCUGAUCUUCCACCCCUUCAAUUAUGCUCUCAACAAGGACCGUGACGUGAUGAUUGCAAUUAUCACCCCAAGGGCCAUACCCGUGAACUUCUUUGGCAGUGGGAAAGCUUCUAACCUGACCUAUGAAUUUUAUAACCCAUCGGCACUAGCUCGCCAAUUGGUUUCGGCCAAUUGCCGAUCGCACUUUGCUACGCCGAUGUGAUAAAGCCAAGGGAGACUAUCACCAGCAAUCUUGAAUGGAUCAGGGUAGCACAACUUCCGCCAAACACCGAUACAGAUGUCGAUCUAUCGGCUUGGAUCCCAGCCCUCUUCAUUACUCAGGCAUACAAACAGUGGUGGGAAGAAUGGAAAGAGAAUCUGUUCUGCAGAUCGGCCCUUACAUACCGUGGUAUGAUCGACCCCAAAUACAAAGUCCCUGAUAAUACUGUAAGUACUUUAAACUGAUACUCCAACCCUUUCAUUUUUACUUCCCAUCGGUAACUUACUUUCUUUGUUGUAUACAGGUCGAUGAUAUGCCACCAUUAGUCAGCAGGAGUGGCAGGCCGAUUGAACUCCUUCCAUCGGGCCUGAUUUCUUUGAUCGGCAACAACGCUCAAACCUUGGCUACUAUAAUGCAUCGGGGUGUGCGUCUUAAGAAAGUCACCACCAAGCGGACGAAAACAUCCCCAUCGGUAGCUGCCACUGCUUUGGCACAAGCCUUCAAGGUAAAUUCUCAAAUUCUUCAACUUAUACCGAUUCCAUUCUUAUACUUACACAAAUUUUCAGGACACAUCGGCUAGCAUGGGAGCUUCAUCGGUAGCUUUACUAUUUUACUAGAACCUCAUCAAUAUCCUGUUACACUUGUACUCACAAAACUUUCAUUGUUGUAUCAGCACACUAGCAAAUCGGCAAAGACCAGAAGCACGACUGCCGAUGCCCCCCAGUCCAGCCAACCAAAGAGAAAAGGUUCCAAGAGCACCAGAACACAAGCCAAGCGUCAGAGAACAGCAACGCCUCACCCUCCUCCAAGGUCACCGAUCCUGAUGGAAUUGUCUCCCUCUUCUCCAGAAGCUCAGAUACAACAAGCGCCGUCUCCUCUUCAGCCACAAGAAGAACCCCAAACAGAAGAACUCCAGCUAGAAGAACCUCAGCCAGAAGGAACAUCGGCUGAUGUACACGAGCAGACCGCUGAUCCAGCAAGCUUAAUCAUAUCAUUGGUAGUCUCCUUGAUUCAGACAAGUACUGCACCCCCUCAAGGUAACACACUUUCUAUUUAUUGCCGAUGAACCUGUUGAUAUUUGGGAACGCAGUAAGGAAUGGAUCCGCAAGCACACGGAUAUCGGUGAGCCCUUCACCCGGGAGGUUAUACAGAUUAUCGUAUUUAUUUUUUUACCACUAGGAGAAAGAGUGCAUCUAACUAACCCGGUCUAUUACUACUAACCCUUUAGGCAACAAAGAAUGUUUCUCGAUGUGAGUGAUAAAUAGAGAAGACUACAACCGUAAUCUCCUUCUAACCUUGGCAAGGAUGAUCUACUGUUCUAUUGGGGAGGCUAACGGAAUCUAGACACCACAAAGGAUGUUCAACCCGCACCUAUAAACCCUAUCCUUCCUGCUAACGAGAUAUGGUCUUCAAAGGUAACUCGAAAAUGUCACGUUCCUCGCUACUACCACGGUCUAGCUAGUCAGGGAAUAUCUAUGAGUAUCCUAGCUUAAACACCACGUCUACGCUAGAGAUGAUUACUCUAAACUCUACGCAAAGAGAUUAAAGUAAACUCAUAAACCAAAAGAACAAUAAAAUAAGAACUUACUAGAAUUUAGAUGUCGAAAUACUGAAGAAUCCUAGGAGCAAGCCUCGGGUUAGGAGAACUUGAUCCCGCAGGUACAAGCUCGGAGUAGACACCCACACGCCGGGCUUCCUCCGAUCUACACCUCCACUCUAUCUCUCUCAAUCUAGUAGAAACUAGAAGAUCUAUUUCUACUCACAUUGGUUGCUAAGCCUAAAAAGCAAUUUUAUUUAGAGAACAGGUUUUCCUUCGAGGGCUCCCCUCAACUCUAUGAUAAACUUGUCUCCUCCAGGGGCCAGGGGGUCUGGUUUUAUAGUCCCUUCAAGUGAACGUGAGCCAUUGGAUCAAACCGACAUUGAUUGGAUGGUUAUCCUUGAUCCUUUAGGUUGGUGGAACGUCGUGUGUGAAAAGAGUCCCGAACCAAGUCUAGAGGGGGGCAGGCGCCCAGGUCAACUGGGCGGGCGCCCAGUGCCUGGCCCCGUUCGGCCUCCGCUUCCUUCCCGUGGCUUCUGGAGUCUUCUAGAUGGUAGAAAAUUGCGCGGUGCGUUGAUAUCUCUAUGUAAUCCCAACAUGUGGGCCUUUCUUCCUUAUUUCCUGAUAACCCCCUGCAGAAACAGAUAAACAACAAAACUCGUGGAAUUCUGUCAGAUCAAACCCUAAUUCUAGGUGUUGUUUGCAUAUUGGUCCUUUCUCUUGUUUAUUUGAUAAUUAAAAUUGAUACUUAAGAACCGUCAACAAAUACCCCCAUACUUAGGCUUUUACUCGUCCUAGGGAAAAGGAUGGUUAAGAACAAUAUCUGGGGUAAAACAUUUUUAAAACAUUCUCUUCAUAACUGCAGGGUGUUAAAAUCCACUGUGUACUGUAGUCACGGAAGUAUAUGGUUAAGAGUAGAGAUCUUUUCUUCUCAAUCCUGUCACUUGGAGUUUUUGUAUAUUUUUGAAAGAAAGUUAGCAUACCUUUUAUCCUCAUAGGUUUUCUCAGAUCACUCAUUAUCUUUUAUAUAUCUCACUGAGGCUAUUUUAAUUUGCAAAAAUUCUCAAGCAUACUUACUUUACAUUUAUUGCUUGGUCAAAACGGGAUCCGAGGAGGGGAGUGUCAUACUCUUAGAUCAAAGACUUUGGAAAUUAAAAUCCUUGUCAACUCUUACUGGCAUAUUGCUUAUUAUAGGGACCAUGGUCUAUCAUUUUCUUUUUGUUCUCUCUUUUUUUUUAAGUGGAUACCAAGGUAUCCCUAAUUCUACUGCCGGACACUUAUCCUUUUUUUCUACGAGGUUGUCGAGCACUUGCUCCUUUUUAUUUCCUCGAAAUAUCUUUAUUUUUUUGCAUAGCCCAUGCCUCUAAUGCAAUAAUACUUCGAAAGAGUGAAUCUUUGUGAAUAAAUGUCUUGAUCUUAGGAGCAUGAUAAAUCUCUCAACAAGGGUCUAACUCAUUUUGAACAAACUCAAUACAGAGUAGAUAGCCUUUAUAAUCAUAAUUAAUAUUUUCAGUUUUAUCAGGCAUAUAAAACACUGAGGAUGGUAGAUAGAAUUUGAAAUAAAUUCUCCAAGCAACAAUGAUAUCAGGAAUAAGAAACUUAUACUCUACCAUCUCAUAUUCCACAAUGACUUAAGUAACACAGGAUUUUUAAAAUGAUUUUUUAAUAAUUGCAAGUUUCAAGAAAUAUCAUAGAGUGAGAUUAAUCAUGAUUAGAAACAUUUUAAUCUUUAUCAUGUCGGAAACAAUAUUCUGCAUAAUCCAAGAUAUGUGUAAAGUAAAGUGUGCAGAGUGUGUACCUGAAUUGUGGAGUGGUGUAGUCGAAGUGUGUUUGUCAUGUCGAGUGAUCUCCCCCAUACUUGUUUUCUGCUUUCUUGCACAAGGAUAAAGUAGAAACACACAAGACAUAAUAAUAAUAAUAAUAAUAAUAAUAAUAAUAAUAAUAAUAAUAAUAAUAAUAAUAAUAAUAAUAAUAAUAAUAAUAAUAAUAAUAAUAAUAAUAAUAAUAAUAAUAAUAAUAAUAAUAAUAAUAAUAAUAAUAAUAAUACUCUUUAUUAAUCUUGAGGCAUUUAUUACAAAAGACUAGUAGCAAACUGACGAUAAUAGUAACAAACUGAUGAUAAUAGUAAACCUAAACCGAAUUUAAAGAUAGAUAACUAAGAUGCAUUGCCUCAAGGUAAAGUGUAAAGUAAAGUGUGCAGAGUGUGUACCUGAAUUGUGGAGUGGUGUAGUCGAAGUGUGUUUGUCAUGUCGAGUGAUCUCCCCCAUACUUGUUUUCUGCUUUCUUGCACAAGGAUAAAGUAGAAACACACAAGACAUAAUAAUAAUAAUAAUAAUAAUAAUAAUAAUAAUAAUAAUAAUAAUAAUAAUAAUAAUAAUAAUAAUAAUAAUAAUAAUAAUAAUAAUAAUAAUAAUAAUAAUAAUACUCUUUAUUAAUCUUGAGGCAUUUAUUACAAAAGACUAGUAGCAAACUGACGAUAAUAGUAACAAACUGAUGAUAAUAGUAAACCUAAACCGAAUUUAAAGAUAGAUAACUAAGAUGCAUUGCCUCAAGGUAAAGUGUAAAGUAAAGUGUGCAGAGUGUGUACCUGAAUUGUGGAGUGGUGUAGUCGAAGUGUGUUCGGCAUGUCGAGUGAUCUCCCCCAUACUUGUUUUCUGCUUUCUUGCACAAAAGUAAAGUAGAGACACACAAGACAUAAUAAUAAUAAUAAUAAUACUCUUUAUAUACUCUUUAUUAAUCUGGAGGCAUUUAUUACAAAUGACUAGUAGCAAACUGACGAUAAUAGUAAAAUCUAAACCGAAUUUAAAGAUAAAUAACUAAGAUGCAUUGCCUCAAGAUCUAAUCUAGAUAACUUAGCGGCGCUCUAAUUCCUUAAUCUUCUUAUUGGCACUGGCAAGAUCAUGCCUAAGGCCUAAUAUAACAGUGUUGUGGUUAGAGAGCUGCCUAGUAAGGGAAUUAAUCGAGGACUGGAGGUCUAUGAUAACUGUGUCUACCCUGCGAAUGUCCUCAUCAAUAUCCAUUAUAGUCUUGCAACGCUUGGGAGGUGUCUCAAAAGCAUUGAGAGCAUGCUUCGGGGCUGCCUUUGGAGGGAUGAAACGAACUUUGGCUGCUCUAACCCCUUCAAAGUAAGGCCUUUCCUCCUCCAUAGUGUAGCGUACACUGCUGAUCUCGCCGCUCCGGUUGGUCUUGACUCCAACGACCCUUUCAUUGGGUCUGGGUGGAAGGAUCCUCAUGCCGGUUGGCACCUUGAUGGUGGUCUUCGUCUUGGAUGAUGAUCCCUUAAGGAGUAGGGGUUGUGGCGGUGCGGUGAGAACUGGUUGAGCAUGGUAGGAUUGGGCGGAGCUGCGUUGGGGUAAUGGCAUGGCUUCUAGCUGUCGCUCUGUGUUGGCCGAGACGAGAGCACAGGCGUCGGGGUCUUCCUCAGGCUUCAUGUUGAGGUUGAAGGGGACGACUUCCCAAUCAUCGUGGAACUUCUCGGGCAUUGGAGCAGCAAGGAACUAAUCAAGCUCUAAUUGAAGAAGAGAAGGCUUGGUGGUUUGGUGUUUGAAAACUGAUGUCAGGGGUCUGUUUAUAUAGGGGUCAAAAAGUGCCGCUAGGGGUUGUUCGGGUUGCUCCCGUCGAUGUGCGUGCAAAACUUUCCAUCUGAGGGAUUAUUCGGAUUACCAUUAGUGCAUUUUCCAUAACAGAGAAAAUCGGGACCGAGGGGGAACAGGAGCUGGGCACCCGCCCACCUGAUCUGGGCGCCCGCCCUCUCUCUGGCCCCUCUGUGGGCCCACUUUCUCGAGCGCGUUUCUAGAUGCAAAACUAUUUACGAAAAUAUGUGUAUGACCCAAAAACAUCAGACUAAAAAGGUCGGGCUCUAAUUCUCCAUGGGAAGGUAAAAAUGGACUAGUCUAUUUCUUCUAAUUCUUUAUUGGGCUCUAAAAAUAAUUUAAGACGUUGACCAUUUACCUUGAAUAACAUACCUUCGUCAUUUUGAAGUGUGAUAGCUCCGUGGGAUGAUGAAUUGAUUACCUUGAAUGGGCCUUCCCAUUUGCUCUGGAGUUUUCCAUGCCCGAAAAGCUUCACCCUGGAAUUAAAAAGUAAUACCUUAUCUCCAGGUGUGGACUCCUUCUUCUUGAUUCUCUUGUCAUGCCACCUUUUGACUCUUUCUUUGUGGACCUUCGAAUUGUGAUAUGCUUUCUCUCGCCAUUCUUCCAAUUCUGAUAGUUGUAUUCUUCUAUGAUCUCCAGCAACAUCUAGGUCCAUAUUCCAUCUCUUUAUGGCACAGUGUGCUUUGAACUCUAGUUCAACACGUAGGUGGCAAGUCUUCCCGUACACCAAUUGGUAUGGAGACAUUCCAAUUGGGGUCUUGUAUGCUGUCCCGUAUGCCCAGAGUGCAUCGGGUAACUUGUCUUUCCAUGCCGUUCCCAUUUCAUUUACUGUCUUCUGAAGAAUAUUAUUGAUUUGUUUGUUGGAAGUCUCUGCUUGGCCACUUGUCUGAGGAUGAUAGGGGGUAGCGAUGUUGUGAUGGAUUCCAUGUUUUGAUAGAUAUUGCUUGAAGCGUUUAUUGAUGAAGUGUGCUCCUCCAUCACUUAUCACUACUCUGGGGACUCCAAAUCAUGGAAAUAUAAUUUCUUCAAACAUCCUCUUGGAACUGAUGUUGUCGGCAUGCUUGCAAGGUAAUGCCUCUACCCACUUGGAGACGUAGUCAACUACCACCAAAAUGUACUCACACUUCUUUGAUGGAGGAAAGGGACCCAUAUAGUCUAUUCCCCAGACAUCAAAGAGCUCAAUCUGAAGGUUGUUGGUGAGUGGCAUUGCAUCCCUUGUAUUUAUGUUUCCGUACCUUUGACAUGGUCCACAUCUUCUGAUAUAUUGCUUCGUGUCUUCAUACAUUGUAGGCCAGUAGAAUCCACAUUGCCAGAUCUUUGAAUGUGUACGGAAUGCUCCAUAAUGACCUCCAUAUGGUGAUGAAUGACAUCUGUCGAUGAUCUUCCAUCCUUCCUCAGUGGUCACACAUCUCCUGAGUAAGCCAUCAGAGCAUACUCGGAAGAGGUAUGGCUCAUCCCAUAUAUGUGAACGACUUUCUUGAAUAAGCUUCUUCUUGUUUGCUCCUGGUGGUACAUACCCUGAAACCAUAAAAUUAACAAUAUCUGCAUACCAGGGGUCAGACCUGUUCAUCCCAUAGAGCAUGUCGUCCCGGAGUGAAUCAUUGAUGGGGGUUUCCUGUGGACUCUUAAAAUACAUUCUAGACAAGUGAUAAGCAACAAAAUGUUCUACUCCCUUUUUAUCUUUUAUUUCUAAGUCAAAUUCUUGAAGUAAUAAGGUCCAUCUAAUCAGGCGAGGUUUAGCAUCUUUUUUAGUGCGCAAAUAUUUUAGUGCAGCAUGAUCAGUGUAAACAAUUAUUUUAGCUCCAACUAAAUAAGAUCUAAAUUUUUCAAUGGCAAAGACAACAGCCAGAAGCUCUUUUUCAUUGGUUGCAUAGUUAAGUUGAGCUCCUGUCAAAGUUUUACUAGCUUAAGAAAUUACAUGAUGCUUCUUAUUUUUAGUUUGUCCCAAUACUGCCCCCACAGCAUAAUCACUAGCAUCACACAUAAUUUCAAAAGGCAACGACCAAUCAUGGGGUUGAAUGAUUGGUGCAGAGAUGAGUGCUUUCUUUAAUAAAUUAAAAGAUGUUAGACAUGCAUCAUCAAAUUCGAAAGGAGCAUCCUUGGCUAGCAAAAGAGUAAGUGGUCUAGCAAUAAAUGAAAAAUCUUUUAUGAAUCUACGAUAAAAACCAGCAUGGCCAAGAAAGCUUCGAAUUCCUUUUAUGUUCACAGGUGGAGGUAGUUGUUCAAUUACUUCAAUUUUAGCUUUGUCUACCUCAAUACCUCUUUCAGACACUAGGUGUCCCAGCACUAUUCCUUCCCUAACCAUGAAAUGACAUUUUUCCCAAUUAAGGACUAAGUGCUUUUCUUCACAUCUUUGCAAAACCUUGUCUAAGUUUUCAAGACAACUAUCAAAAGUUUUUCCAUAAAUAGAGAAAUCAUCCAUGAAAACUUCCAUAAUCUCUUCAAUCAUAUCAGAAAAUAUAGACAUUAUGCAUCUUUGAAAAGAAGCUGGUGCAUUACAUAACCCAAAAGACAUUCUACGGUAAGCAUAAGUUCCAUAUGGGCAUGUAAAAGUGGUUUUGCUUUGAUCAUCAGGAUGGAUCGGGAUUUGGUGAUACCCUGAAUAUCCAUCUAAGAAACAGAAGAACGAAUGGUUUGCUAACCGCUCUAGCAUCACAUCUAUGAAAGGUAAAGGAAAAUGAUCCUUUCUCGUGGCUUUGUUCAGUUUUCUAUAGUCUAUGCACAUCCGCCAUCCUGUGACGGUGCAUUGCGGAAUUAGCUCGUUCUUUUCAUUCAUAAUAACAGUCAUGCCUCCCUUUUUAGGCGCAACUUGAACUGGGCUUACCCACUCACUGUGCAGCAUAGGAUAUAUAAUCCCUGCAUGCAGCAACUUUAUAACUUCCUUUUUAACUACCUCUCUCAUAGUGUUGUUAAGUCUACGUUGGGGUUCUUGAGAAGGUGAAACAGAAGGAUCUGUUGGAAUACGAUGGGUACAAAUCAUAGGACUGAUUCCUGUAAGAUGUUGGAGUGAGUAACCGAAAACUGAGUGAUGUUUCUCAAGAAUGGUCAUUAAUCGCAGAGUUUGCUCCUCAGUGAGUUUAUCGCUAAUGAUCACAGGAAACUCUGGAUUAUUGUUUAGGAAAGCAUAGAUAAGACCGGGUGCUAAAGUUUUAAGCUCUAUGGGGGGGUCUAGGUGUUUCUGCAAACUCAUCUAAGGGUUCAGGUUCAGAAGGUUCGGCUUCUUCUUCUAUGAAGAAAGGAGUUUCGUCUUCUAAGUCUGAUUCUUCUAAAAGUUCAAGAGAUGCAUCCUUUACCUCCUCCAUAGGAUCAGGCAAAAGAUAUGACUCGGCCUUAUUAUUCAAAGAGUGUGAAAUUGUUAUUGGGAUUUUAAAAGCUUUUCUAAAAGAAAUGUGUAGCUUUCCAGUAUGACCUUCAUAAAGGAGUCUUCUAAAAGGUUGUCCUAUCAACAGGUCGAGGUCCCAUGUAUCAAAGAUAUAGAAGUUCAAAUGAACCAUGGAGCCUUCUACCGUAAGAGGUAGGACAUUAAUAAUUCCAAGACUGGGGACUAAUCAUCCUGAAGAUUCCUUUAUGACUUUUGUUGUGGGGGUUAAGACAAGAUUUUUAAAUAGUUUAAGUGCAAAAGUUUCAAACAUGAUGUUGAUCCCCACAACAGGAUUAUAGAGAGCAUUAAAUCGAUCAGAAUUAUAAGCACAGCGUAUAGUUAUAGAGGGUGUGCCCAAAUGGAUCACAUUAGAGGAAAGCUCUGAUUCCUCCAACCACUCGCUACUCAUGACUGAGAUAAGCUCUCUCAAUUGAUAUUCACUUGGAAAAUAAAUGCUAAACUGGCCAUUUUGGGGUUUAUCAAUAGAAUGGUAGUUUGAAAUGUUUCCAAAGUCGGCAAAAAGAUCGGAUUCUAUAUCCAGCAUGAAGUCCGGUGGUGGAAUUUCUUCCUCUUGUGGCUCAGAACAUGGGAUAGCUAAAGUAGAUGAAGAAUUUGGCAGAGUGUCUACUUCGGCUUCGUAGGUUUCAUCAUGAAGGGUAUUAUCCAUCUCAGCUUCUAGGAUUCUAUCAAGGAUCACUCUAGCUUCAUCAGUAGGGAUGCGAAAGAAAGAACCUCUAGACAUUGUGUGUAGCAUUUGUUUGUGAUUUUUCUAAAGACCUCGAAAAAAGUGAAAUAAAAGAAUAGGGUCUUCAAGAUUAUGGUUUGGACCAGAUUCUAAAAGAUUAGAAAAACAUUUCCAAGAUUUUCCCAAAGUUUCAUUAUCUUUUUGUUUAAAAGAUAGGACUUCGAGUCUAAGGUCGCCGAUACGGUCGAGAGAAUAAAAAUCUAGACAAAAGUUGGCUCGUAAAACUCCACAUUCACCUCGUUGUUGACUUACCUUCUGACUGUAUCAUUGUCUAGCUUCUCCCCUUAAGGAAAAAGGAAAAAGCUUCCAACGUAAAGUUUUAUCAGAAAUGCCUUCAAUGCGAAGACAAUCACAUGUUUGCUCAAAAUCUCUAAUAUGAAGGUAAGGGUUUUCGUCUUCCUUUCCCGAAAAAGAUAGGUUUUGAAUCAUAGCAAUCAACCUAGAACUUAACCUAUAUUGGGAUGUUUGGAUAGGCUGUGAUGACUCCCAUGGUAAAAGGUCAGUUUCCGAAGGUGUUGCAAAUUGGUAGAUUGAUUGAGAAUCUUGGUUUUCCAUAAGGUAAGAGAAAAUAAAUACAGAAUAUAAAAGAUAAGAAAAGAUAAAAGUAUAGAUACAAGCUAGUAGUAAGACUAAAGGUUAUCUCAGCAAACCGUCUUUCUCCCCGGCAACGGCGCCAGAAAUGCUUGUUGAUAUUUAGGAACGCAAUAAGGAAUUGAUCCGCAAGCGCACGGAUAUCGGUGAGCAUUUCACCCGAGAGGUUAUCCAGAGUAACGUAUUUAUUUUUUUACCACUAGGAGAAAGAGUGCAUCUGACUAACCUGGUCUAUUACUACUAACCCUUUAGGCAACAAAGAAUAUUUCUCGAUGUGAGUGAUAAAUAGAGAAGACUACAACCGUAAUCUCCUUCUAACCUUGGUAAGGAUGAUUUACUGUUCUAUUGGGGAGGCUAACGGAAUCUAGACAGCACAAAGGAUGUUCAACCUGUAGACACCACAAAGGAUGUUCAACCUGCACCUAUAAACCCUAUCCUUCAUGCUAACGAGAUAUGGUCUGCAAAGGUAACUCGAAAAUGUCACGUUCCUCGCUACUACCAUGGUCUAGCUAGUCAGGGAAUAUCUAUGAGUAUCCUAGCCCAAACACCACGUCUACGCUAGAGAUGAUUACUCUAAACUCUACGCAAAGAGAUUAAAGUAAACUCAUAAACCAAAGAACAAUAAAACAAGAACUUACUAGAAUUUAGAAGUUAAAAUACUGAAGAAUGCUAGGAGGAAGCUUCGGGUUAGGAGAACUUGAUCCCGCAGGUACAAGCUCGGAGUAGACACCGACAGGCCGGGCUUUCUCCGAUCUACACCUCCACUCUAUCUCUCUCAAUCUAGUAGAAACUAGAAGAUCUAUUUCUACUCACAUUGGUUGCUAAGCCUAAAAAGAAAUUUUAUUUAGAGAAGAGGUUUUCCUUCUGUUGGGUAUUCUUAACAUCAUUACCAAAAGUAGACUAAGUUCUCUAAAUCUAGUAAUGGUGCCAAAAAUACCAAACCUAUCCCUCAUACCACUUAAGCCAAGUUGUCAUCCCCAGCAUGACAUGAGAGACGCGGUAUUGAAAUAUGCAAUUGCUCUUCUAAAUAAAUAAUGAAUGGGAUCUGCAAGCGCACAGAUUAAUACCGAUGUAGCAUUUUAACCGGGAAGUAUUCCAGGUAUCGUUAUUUAUAUUUUUACCAAUGGGAAGGGAUUAACAAUCAUCAAUAUUGGUUACAGAAUAGAAUAUGAGAUUGAGUAUCUAUCAUUGCAUGUAUAAUUGAGAACAUUUAUCUAACUCUUCAUACAGGGAUAAGUGUCACAUAAAAGAUAUAUGAAAUAAUGAAUAGUGACAAGGAUAAUUAAUCUGAUCAGCCACAUAUAAAUAUGAUAAGCACCUCAAUUAGAUACUCUAGAAAGUCAUUUGCUUGGUAUUAGAACGAACUACAAGAAUAUUUCCUAAGUUAUUCUCAACUAUAUAGUCUAGCAUUAUCAUAAUUAGUGCAAGAAUACUUAGCAAUCGUUGUGAGACAAGACUACACCCAUGCAUAGUGAUAUUAGCAAGGUAAAUGAGAAACAUAGCAAUCACUCCCCUGUAAUAAUAUUGCUCUGCCAGCCCAAUACACGAGAGGGGGACUAUAUAACAAUCAAUGAAGCUGUCACUAUCACGAACUACCCCACGAUCUGGCAUAUUGGGUACAAUAGCAGAUAAAUAUGGUAUAAGCACCACGCCUACACAAUAUCUAUCAUUUACCCAUGGAUCCGAUGGAUAAACGCUAUACGAUCCUAAGCAUGUAUAUAGAUCCAAUCUAACUAAGCCAAGUACAUAACUAUGAUAAACUAAGAACAAUAUAAUCUUGAAUAUAAGAAAGUAGAGCAAAGUCAUAAGCAAUAUAUUGAAGUAGAACAAAGUCAUAUGCAUAGUAUUGAAGAACAAAGAUAAUUAGAAAGCAAUUAGAAGCACAAUUAGAGAAUUACCAAGAAUCCUCUUGACAGAUCUAGAAACCAAUCGAAGAUUGACUCCUUCUAGUUCUAAUCCUAUGUAGCUAUGCUAAUCUAGAUAUCUAAUUGAUGUGGUGACUCUAAUCUUGAUCAGAGGCUUCUUCUCCCUUGAGGAAUAAUGAAUUAGGGUUGAGUGGCUCUCUCCUCUAGGGUCCAGGGGGUCUGGUUUUAUAGUCCCUUCAAGUGAAUAUGGGCCGUUGGAUCAAACCGACAUAGAUUGAACGGUUAUCCUUGAUCCUUUAGGUCGGUGGAGAUCUCCCGAGAAACAGAUUCCUGAUUGGCCUCCAAGUCAGGGCGGGCGCCCAGGGCAGGAGGGCGGGCGCCCUGCCUCUGGCCCCGUUCGGCCUCCGCUUCCUUCCCGUGGCUUCUGGAGUCUUCUAGAUGUAAGAUAAUUGCGCGGCACGUUGAUAUCUCUAUGUAAUCCCGACGUGUGGGUCUUUCUUCCGUAUUUCCUGAUAACCCCCUGCAGAAAUAGACAAACACCAAAACUCGUGGAAUUCUGUCAGAUAAAACCCUAAGUCUAGAUGUUGAUUUCAUUUGGAUCCUUUUCUUUGUUUAUUUGAUAAAUAAAUUUGAUACUUAAGGACAGUCAACAAAAUCCCCCAAGCUUACCUCUUGCUCGUCCCUGAGCAAAGAUAAUCUCCGCGAUGGAUUAGAAGUUGUUGCAAUAUCUUUAAAAAUUAACGGUACACAUGCUUUUUAAAUAAGAUCUUAUCUCUGAGUUAGAGUAAACUGUCAAGACUUAAAACUUACUUACUUUACCUUCACCAUGGGACUUGUAACCGUCACUUCUGUCUUGAGUAGUUAAAAGAUAGAAUAGUCUAGUCAAGUGCCAUGUCCCUUAUUCUUGAUCAGCUAUAGCUCUAGAGUUUUUGCAGAUUUUCAAAUAAAACUCAGAGAUUCCUUGUAUGAUUCUCUCAGAUCUCUCUUUUGUGGUAUUUCUGGAUCCUUACCAAGGCAGUGAUGGUAUAUGCCUUCUCUCAAGAUAUGUAGUAUUUGUGGUAUAAAGCAUAGUGACAUUGUCUUCUCUCUCACCCUACUCUAAUAAGGCUUUAAUAUCUGGAGCUCAUAGGUGGAAGAUAAAGUAUACAUACUUACAAGACAUUUAUUGUAUAGUCAAACCAUGGAUCCAAAGAAACAAAUCAAUAAGCCAAAUCAAGAUGUGCAUGUGUGGCGAAUGAAUGGUGUAUGGUGAUGAUGGUGAUAACAAUGGUGAAAGCCUAAUUCUACUUUUGCUCUUUUGAGGGGAUAUAUACCUUCCUUGCUUUUUGAAACUUUAUGAGGAGAAUGAGAUGCUCUUUUUUUUUCUCUCAGGUGGGUAUCUUGUACCCCUAAUUCUACUGUCGGACACUUGUCUAUUUUUACCUUUUGUCUCACUUUUUCUUUUCUUUCGAGGUUCCGGGCACUUGCCCCUUUUUAUUUCCUCGUAUCUCUUUUUUUUAGAGCACUCAUCUCUCGAGAUAAUAUAGCAAGUGGUAGUAACAAGAUAACUUGAGCAUUUAUUUCACAGGGAAAAAACAUAAAUGUUUUUGGCUAUUCUCUCUCGGAUUAGGAGUAGAAUAUUUUUGGUUGGUUCUGGAGAUGGAAUGGGUGGAUAUAUGUGGAUGGUACUUCCGGAGUAGAAGCAGCAUAUAUGAGUGAACGUGCAAGUGAAAUCUUGAUUUAACCACAUGACAAGCUCCUAAGGGUCUACACAGCUUGACCACACUCAAUGCUCAUAAGCAGUAAAUAAUAAAUGUGUAGCUCAAAGUCUGGCAAGCAUCUAUAUAUGGUUGUGGUAGGAAUUUAAACUCUCAUCAUACAGGAACUUAUCAUGCAACAUUUUAAAGAUUUUCAUAAAUAAAAUUCUCUAGAAUUCUAGCAUCUUUAGGAACAGAUAAACAGCAGCCCAACCUUCCCAUAUCAUAUCCGUUAACAACUUAGACUUCAGAUCAAGUUUUCAUCCCACAAGUUUAGGUCUAGAGCAAGCUUAAAUUAUAACAGUUAUAUCUAAACUUGAGAGAGAACUUCAAAUGUGCAAACUAGGUAGAGCAACUAUUCAUCAUAUCCAUGAUAAUGUUUUAUUUAGAUACAUAUUAGCAUAGCCACUUUAUUUAUUUAUUAAACACACUAAGCAAAAGAUAUAUAUAUAUAAGCACAAAAUCUUUAUUUGGUUUUUCAUAGUUAUAUAUAUUUAUAUUCUAAUAUAAUAUAAGUGUAAAGAUAGAUAGAAAUACUUAUCGGGAUAAAUGGGGGUGCUCUCCCCCAAGCUGAAUUUUGACGUAAUUUCUCUUGAUGUAACUAGCAGGUGGUAGAGGUGUAUUUGAAAGUCAGCAGCAUUCUGACAGUGAUUAGAAUGUCCUCCGUCUGCUAGUCUUCUUGAUUCUUAAAUUCUGUGGAGCUCAAAUAGACAACAAAGCUUGUGGAACUGAUUAAGUGUUAGCAUAAAUAUCUAGCCUUUAUCAUGUUGAGACUCCUUAAUAAAUAUUACUCCCUAUUUUUUAUAUUUUCAUUUUAUAAAGCAGAGAAGAAAUAUUUAUUUUGUUUUUAUGCCACAACAGUGAAUGUACUUAUGGGUUUUAUGCCACUCGUCUACUCACAUGGUGCUUACUGUUUUUUCACAUUAUUAUUAUUAUUUUUUUUAAGAUAGUAUGAACCUAAUUAACUAAGUAAACUAGUUGAAAUAAUUGAAAGGAAAAAGAUAACUACCAAGUUUACCUCUUGGCAAGGCGUUCGGUGUUUUUAAGUCCCCCGAACGGGACUCUCCGUUUUCUCAAUUGUCCAGGGAUUCGUUGGGUGGCGUAGUCGGUAUUUCCGGCAGCGCCUCCUCUUCAUGUAUAGUUAUCUUCACUUUCCAUACCUGACUCGGUGCUACGGUCUCCUCAGGAUAGUUCUGUUUAAACUCUACAUCUUCUGAUCUUACAACUUCUCCUUCAUAUUCUGCCCAUCCAUCCUUGAUGAUUUGCCUCCUCUGGUUUCGGUUGCGUCGUUUUCUGACCUGCUUAGAUUCUUCAACGAUAUAGUCAGGGUCAAUAAAAUAACGGCGUACCUUCUCUGAGGGGAAGUGCAUAUGGACUUCUCCAUUUCCAAUGUAGAUGAUUGCUUUAACGGUGCUGAGGAACGGUCUUCCAAGGAUGAUGGGUGGAUCGCAUUCGUCUUCUCCCAUGUCAAU